GAAAAGGUCCUCCUCCAUCUGACAAUCAACUACUCCAUUAUAAAGACUUGGCUAUUUUCUUCUUCGAGAAGGACAUGCGCCCUGGCGCAACAAUGAAGUUCCAAUUCCCUAGAAAUUCAAACACGGCUACUUUCCUGCCACGCGAAAGUGCUCAAUCGAUCCCCUUCUCCUCUAACAAACUAUCAGAAAUUUUCAACCAUUUUUCAGUGAAGCCAACAUCUGUGGAAGCCAAAACAAUUAAGCAAACAAUCCAAGAGUGUGAAGCUCCAGGCCUUAAGGGAGAGGAAAAAUAUUGCGCCACAUCUUUAGAAUCAAUGGUUGAUUUUAGCACUUCGAAGCUUGGAACAAGAAACGUUGAAGCAAUCUCGACGGAGGUAUUGGAAAGAGGAGCCACCAUGUCCAUGCACAACUAUACAACAAUGCCGGGACUGAAGAAGUUGGCAGGUGACAAAGUCGUUGUGUGUCAUAAGGAGAACUAUCCCUAUGCUGUGUUUUUCUGCCAUGCAAUAAAACAAACAGCAGCAUAUGUUCUCUCCCUGAAAGGCGAUGAUGGGGAGAAGGUUAAAGCAGUAACCAUCUGCCAUCUAGACACAUCAGAAUGGAACCCAGAGCAUUUGUCCUUCCAAAUCCUCAACGUUAAGCCCGGAACAAUUCCCAUCUGCCAUUUCAUUUCCACUGAUGGUAUUGUCUGGGUUCCAAAACACAAAUCUGCAUGAUCAUCACUUAGCACUGUACGUAUAAUAAGCUUGGUUGGGUUGCACCCUAGGCCUGUAUAAUUAACUCCCUACUUAUUUCUGCCUCUUUAGCACUGUACAUAUAUAGACUUCAACUUGUACUCGUAUAGCAUGCUGGAAAAAAAAAGGACCAAUAGGGAGAAAAUGGUGAACUAAGGAGAGACUAAUACUUCUGGUUCUUAGAAGGCAUAACAGAAAUAAUAGAGCACACUGCUUGAAUGCAAGUCAAUAUUGUUAGAAAAUUAGGAGAUUUACUUCCUAAUAUAUUAUGAUUCUAUUUAUUUCCUUUUGUAUUGAUAUUAUGUAAUUAGGACUUUAUCUUAGUUUCCUAGUAUAACCCUACUAGGGUUUGUACUCUUGUAUUAUAAAUACCUCCUUUUGGAGAAUGAAGUAUAAUCUGAAAAUAUUCUAUCCACUUUGUUUGACAUGGUAUCAGAGCAAACUUUUCUAGUGACCUGUGUGUUGUGCCAACCCGUAUUCUAGCCCCAUAUUUUUUCUCUACCUAUGCCGUGUGUGCCCCCCCUCUGGGUUUGUGGGUUGUGUUGUCGUGUUGGUGUCAUUCCUAUCUUCGUGCAUCUGCCGUAUUUGAGCCUUUGCUGUGUUCCGCUGUGUACUCUGUUGUGUUCAUACCUCUAUUGUGUUCGUGCCUGUCUUCGUGCAUCUGCUGUAUUUGUGUCUCUAUUGUGUUCCAUUGUACAAUCUGCCGUGAUCUGUUGAAUUUAUGAUGUAAUCAUAGGUGAUAACUCAUUUGUUGGUGUUGUUGUUGCUGUUUCUGGAAAUUUAUGUGAUUCAGACUCUAUUCCAUUUACUGGCUACAAUACUUAGAUAAUUGAUACUGGUACUUAUGAUCAUAUUGACAGGACUCGCCCCGAAUUUCCUGAAACCCGAGACGAAUUCUGUGGAAAUUCCUGACAUCACCCCGAUGUCGGGCCCACUUCUAAAACUAUAUCCUUUUUCCCCAAAAGGAAUAAAGGCAUAAGACUUUCUACCGAAAUUUCGGUAGAGUCUCCUAUGUAAAUUGAACAUUGCCCAAAAUUUUAACCUGCAUAAAACACAUUUUAUAUUACCCAACUGGCAGCAUGCAUAAAGUAAUAACAUGCAAUUCACAUAAACGGCCUUCGGCCUUCCGAUAAUUGGCAACAAACCACCAAGUACGCUAUCAAAUCAAUUUAUACCUUAAACAAGGCAAACAAUAAAUUCAAUCACACUUAAGAAUGUCAAAGCAAUCCACUACAUUUAAUUUUCUCAACAGCCAACAUACGAGGUUUUAACCUCCUAACACAAACACACUUCGUUCUCACUCAAAUAGCAGGACCAACUUCAAGGUCCGCAUCAUACUCAAUAAUACACAAGUAAAGUUUAAACCGCGGCUGCACCUAGGCACUACCCUAGGCUGCCUACGUACCCUUAUUGAGGGAUCAAGCCACACGUAGUUCUUCCUACUAAAUCCUGAUUUCCAAACACAUACAAUAAUACCUUUAUUCAUCUCUCUGUUAAUCACAUAAUCUUCCCAUACGCCGGAAAUUCCAACUCUACGUAUGGGGUCUGUCAUCACGCCGGAAAAUCCUACGCCACGUGUGACCUAACCAUCAUAUCAUCUCCCUAUACGUCAGAAAUUCCAACACCACGUAUGAGGUCUGUCAUCCAGUCGGAAAAUCCUACGCCACGGGUGACUUGACAAUCACAUAAUCUCUCCAUACACCAGAAAUUCCAACGCCACAUAUAGGGUCUGUCUCAAUGUCGGAAAAUCCUAUGCCACGCGAGACCUAACAAUCACAUAAUCUCCCCAUACGCUGGAAAUUCCAACGCCACGAAUGGAGUCUGUCUCAACGCUGGAAAAUCCUAUGCCACUCGAGACCUAACAAUCACAUAAUCUCCCCAUAUGCCGGAAAUUCCAACGCUACAUAUGGGGUCUGUCAGCAUGCCGGAUAACCUACGCCACGUGUGACUUAACAAUGAUAACAUCUCCCCAUACGCCGGAAAUUCCAACGCCACGUAUGAGGUCUGUCCUCACGCCGGAUAACCUACACCAUAUGGAACCUAACAAUCAUAGGGUGGUACUUAGGGUAGUGCGUAUAGCACUUCAAACCGACAUUCAAAACUCUAUUUAUACCUUUAUAAAUUUAUAUAAAAAUAUAUAUAUUAAGUUCUAAAGUUGUAUAAGCCUCAACCACAAUCUAGCAUCCGAUAAUCCCCCCCAAUUUAAAACAAUAAAUUAAUAUCAUAAACCCACAUAAUCAACAUAACUUAACAACGCUCAAGACCUGUCACUAGUGUCAUUGUAAUCCUCCUAGGAAGGUAAAACUACUUCGGAAGAGUCACGGUCAACUAAGGGUCAAACUACCCAAACUUGGUCAAAUGGGCCCACGGGCCCCACGACCUUCAAAUUCCGAUUCCAACCUACCGAAAUUUCUUAUGGGUUCUACAAGGUUUAGGACACUCGUCUUGCAAGUUUGGUCCAGAUCAGACGGUCGGAUCGCUCACGAUCGCACGAUCGGACGGUUACUAUAAACCUAGCCCUAGGGUUGGUAUUUUCGGAGUAUCCAGGACUCCGUUUUACGAUCCGUCGAAUCCUAUACGAUCUUGAGGAUGUCCAAACUAACAUAUAAUAAAUCUAUGACUAUCCAACGGCUCAAACCUAUUGAACCCAGAUAACGCACAAUAUGCGAAAUCUGUUCAAUAGUCAAACGACGUCCGAAUUGAGAUCCGCGAAAACCUACGCACUCGUGACAACUUGAGGACCUCAUUAGGACAAACUGUAGCUUCACCACCUUUGUCCACGCGCCUGCAGCGCAUGGGUGUGUAGAGUAAAUUCCGAUGAUGGAAAAACUCUACACCACCGCUCACCCUUCCUAUCCUAAAUACUACUCGAGGCAAGGAUCACUUCAUUCAACUACGGGGAGGUCCCAUUUGGACGGCAACUGGCCCAAAUUUCACUUUGAAAUCCGGCCAAAACCUAGGUUUUCAAAUCGGUUUUCUAGACAUCAAAUCGAUCCAAUCCUAUCCCAUAGACAGCUAGAGCUCAGAAAAUAGAUGACAAACCAUACCUCACCCGACGGAAUUGGUGGCUGGAGGAGAAAGAUUGAGCGAUGAGAAGUUCUGUCAAAACCGACUCGUUUUCGACUGAUUCCAGCGAGCACAGUUGACGAUGAUGGCUAAGACUAGUCGGGAAAAGACAAGGGAGAGGUGGUGAUUCGAACGGGACCGGUCUCGAGGCCAGUCGUUGACUGUGGAGGCUGCAAUAGCCUUGAAGGGUGGCGGCUGUAAAAACGAAGGGGAGGGGGGCUGUUCACGAUGGAGGAGAGAGAGAGAUAGAUAGAUAGAUAGAGAAAAAUCUGAAUUUUAUAAAAAUUCCAUUUUGAAAUAAUUACGAUUGUGCCACUGAGUUUCUUUUGACCGUAACUUCCUCGUUACAACUCCAAAUCAAGCCCACUAUGUAUCUAUGAACUCAUCUCGUCGAGCUCUACGCAACGGUAGAGCUGAAAUUCUCAAAUUUCUUCCUGAUCAAAAAGUCAACUUUAAACCCAAUAAAAUAUUCUAUGGGUAUAAUGGUCUUUUAUCUACAUAAAUUAAUAAUUUCCAAUUUAUUUAGGACCGGGUCGUUACACAUAUGACUUAUGAUGCUAUAUUUUUUUAUGAGUUGUCUAGUAAUACUCGUGACCCAUACAUAACUAGUGCUAAUGGCUUGCCCUAUCCAAUUACUGGCGAGGGCAUAAUCUCUCACUCCUACUCUGUCCUUGUCUCGUGUGUUACUCGUUCCCAAUAUCCAUUGUAACUUGUUGUUUGUUGGCCGAUUACUUGAUACACUUAAUGCUUAUGCUACUUUCUAUCCUACACAUUGCUCUUUUCAGGAUCUCAAGACUUGCGAGACGAUUGGGCAUAGUAAACGGAUAGGGGGCUUAUAUUAUUUGACAUUGUCUUCUGCACCAAUUCGUGGUUGUGUCAUUCAUACUGUUCAAAGUUGUAGUGUCAAGGACAAAUAACAAAUUUGGUUAUGGCAUCGUCGCUUGGGACACUCGUCGUUCGGCUAUCUUAAGCGUCUGUUUCCAUCUUUAUUCCGCUCUUGUGACGAGUCCAGUUUUAAGUGUGAGACAUGUAUUUUGGCCAAGAGUCAUCGCACUGUGUUUCUUUUAAGUGACAGUAAAGCUGCAAAACCUUUUGAUUUAGUAUAUUCGGAUGUAUAGGGACCUGCUCGUGUGACUUCUAAUGGUUUCUAUUGGUCUAUUACUUUUAUUGAUGACUGCACUCUCCCCAUAGUCCGGAAUUACCAACGCCACGUAUGGAGCCUGUACGCACGCCGAAAAAUCCUACGCCACGUGGGACCUCAUCAUCAUAUCACAUAGUCUCCCCAUACGCCGGAACUACUAAAGCCACGUAUGGGAUUCGUCUCAACGCCGGAAAAUCCUACGCCACGUGAGACCUUACAAUCACAGGAUGGUACUUACACAAUGUAAUCAAACCAUCUUUAUCUCUUUAAUAUAUAUAUAUAUAUUCCCAAUUUCCCCAAGUUUAAAACAAUAAACUAGUUCCUUAAACCCACUAAUUAACAUAACUCAACUAAUGAUCAAGACCUAUUGAAAGGACUCGCCCCGAAUUUUCUCAAAACCUGAGACGAACCCUUUGGAAGUCCUGACAUCACCUCGAUGCCAGGCCCACUUACUAAAAACCGAGACUUCCUGCCGAAAUUUCGGCAGAGUCUCCCCUAUAAUUUGGACAUUUUCCAAAAUUUAUACCUGCAUGAAAAUGCAUUUAAUAUUCCCAAUUGGCAGCAUGCACAAUAUAAUUUCAUGCAAUUCACAUAAAUGGCCUUCGGCUUUCCAAUAAUUCUUAACCAGUUACCAAACAAUUCAAAUACCAAUUAUGACUAACAUUUAGUCUACGGCUGCGCCUAAUAACCUUAGGCUGCCUACGUACCCUCCUUGAGGGAUCAAGCCACACGUAGUUCUUCCAUAAAACUCAAUUCCACACAUAGGUGAUACCUUAUUUCAUCUCUCUGUAUUUCACAUAAUCUCCCCAUACGCCGGUACAACCAACGCCACGUAUAGGGCCUGUCAACACGCCGGAUAACCUACGCCACGUGCGACCAUGCCAUACUAUCAUCAUAUCUCCCCAUACGCCGGUACAACCAAUACCACGUAUGGGGUCUGUCUCAACGCCGGAUAACCUACGCCACGCGAGACCUGCACAUCAUAUCACAUAACUCCCCAUACGCCGGUACAACCAACGCCACGUAUGGGGCCUGUCCCAACGCCGGAUAACCUACGCCACGCGGGACCUCAACAUCAUAUCACAAAUCUCCCUAUACGCCGGUACAACCAACGCCACGUAUGGGGUCUGUCGACACGCCGGAUAACCUACGCCACGUGCGACCUCAACACAAUAUCACAAUAGCUCCCCAUACGCCGGUACAACCAACGCCACGUAUGGGGCCUGUCUCAACGCCGGAUAACCUACGCCACGUGAGACCUAACUUUCACUUGGUGGUGCUUGUAGUGAAUCCAACAUCCAGGGAGGUACCUAAAGUAGUGCGUAUAGCACUCCAAACUGACAUUCUAGACUCUGUUGUACCCAUGUACAACCAUAUAUAAUUAUAGUUAUAUAAAUUAAUUCUAAUAUUGUGUAACCUUCCACAUUCAUCUAGCACCCGAUAAUCCCCCUUAGAAAGGUGAGAUUACUCCGGGAGACUCACGGUCAACCAAGGGUCAAACUACUCUAACUCUGGUCAACCGGACCUGCAGAACCCACGACCCCCAAUUUCCGAUCCGAAAGUCUCUAUGGGUUCUACCAGGUAUAGGACACUUGUCCUGCAAGUUUGGUUCAGAUCGGACGGUCGAAUUUCUCACGAUCGCACGAUCUGACAAUUAAUAUAAAAUAUAAACUUUAAAAUUAUUAAUCGAAACAUCCGGGGCUCCGAUUCACGAUCCGUGAAUUCCUACACGAUCCUAGAAUUACCUAGAUUAACAUAUAUUAAAUUUGGGACCAUCCGACGGUCCCAACCUGUCGAACCCGGAUAACGUACAAUAUACGAUCGUCCGUUCGAUAGUCAAACGACGUCCGAAUUGAGAUCCGCGAAAUCCUAUGCACUCGUGACAACCUAAGGAUCUCAUCGGAAUACAGUGCUACUUUUUCUACAGUGCCCAAAGCGAUAACGCUUCGCCGGAAAAUCUCAACAUCACGGCUCCAAAAUUCCUACUCUAGGUAUAACACCCUAUUUGGAGCCACUUUUGUUCUUGGACCUACCCCAAAAAGUGGCCGAAAAUGGCCGAUCACGGCAGCCGAAGUUUCGGCCGAUUUUCAAUUCGAAAAUCGAGUUGUCUACGCUAAGAAUCGAUCUAAUCCUACCCAACCAUCAGCUAGAGUAGCUCGAGAGGUUCAAAAUCCAUACCUGGGUCGACGGAAUUGGUGGCCGGAGGAGGGAGAUCGGCGGCUUUGAAGUUUGGACGACGUCGGCCGCUUCAUCUCCAGAUUCCGGCGAAUCCGCGGCGGCUGGCGGCGGGAGGUGGCUGGGGUAGGAAGAGGACGACGGCCCGGUCAUUUUGGUACCGGUCCCGUCGUCAUUGGUGGCCGGAGGAGAGCACGGCCGGCCAAAACGUGGCCGGCGGUCGUCGCGCGCGAGAGAGGAGAGAGAGAGAUCGCGCGGAGGAGAGAGAGAGAGAGAGAGAGAGAGAGAGAGAGAAAACCAGAUUUUUAUAAAAAAAAGUCCCAUUUUGAAAUAUUUACGAUGUGCCACUGGGCUUCUUUUGACCAUAUCUCUCUCGUUACAACUCCGAUUCAAGCCCACUACGUGUCUAUGAACUCGUCUCAGUACGACCUAUCCAAAAAUACAAGUCACGGUCCCAAACUCUCUCCGGUUAAAAAUAUGACUAAAAUACCCUUAAAUAAUGAAAUAAUUAAAUAAGGGUUAAAUUUGGGGUCGGGGUGUUACAUCUAUCACCAGGAUCAUUAUAAUCCUCCGAGGGAGGUGAAACUACCUCGGAAGACUCACGGUCAACCAAGGGUCAAACUACCCAAAUUUAGUCAAACGGGCCCACGAGACCCGCGACCUCCCGAUCUGAAAGUUCCUAUGUGUUCUACAAGGUUUAGGACACUCGUCAUGCAAGUUUGGUCCAGAUCGGACGAUCAGAUAGCUCACGAUCGGACGGUUAUUAUAAACAUAAACUUUAAGUUAUUAAAUCGGAACAUCCGGGGCAAAGAUUCACGAUCCGUGAAUUCCUACACGAUCCUAGAAUUGCCUAGAUUAACAUAUAUUAAUUUUAAGACUAUCCAACGGUCUGAACAUGUCAAACCCGGAUAACGCCUAAUAUGCGAUAUGCGAUAUCCGAUCGAUGAUCAAACAAUAAUCAAAUUCAAAUUCGAGCAUACCGUCACGCUCGAGACGACGAGAGGGUUAUUUUAGAACUCUAAGACAAGCCACCACAUGGCCCACGCGCUGACAGCGCGUGGUUGUCUAGAGAAAUUUCCAGCGGCGGGAAAAACUCCAAACCGCCAGCCAAGACUCCCAGGUUAGGUAAAUCACAUGUAGUGGAACAACUUUUGUUCUUGGACCUACCCCAAAAAGUCGACGGAAGUGGCCGUCGGAGGCCGAAACUGGCCUAAACUUCUAUCGCUUAAUUGACAACCAAAAUGCAGCAAUUGAUCCUAAAUAACCCAACCAGCAGCUAGAUCAGAUUGAGGGGAUGGAAAAGCAUACCUAGAUCGCAUGAUUUGGUUACCGAAAACGUCCGAACGAGCUUCCGAAAAAUCCGCAAAAAACCUUUCGGAUUUCUGCAAUUUCCGGCCAGCACCAGCAGUUCCAGCAGCUGAGGUUGGUCGGAAAAGGAAGAGGAGGUGGCAGCGGUUUGAACAGGUCCGGCCUCGUUGCCGGUGGUGAUCCGUGGUGGCAACUGUGGCUCUUGGAAGCCACGGCUGUGCAGAAAAAUGAAGGGGGAGGGGGCUGCGCGCGUGGGGAGAGAGAGAAAGUGAGAGAGAAUCAGAUUUAUCAAACCUUUUUUUGCCAAAAGUACGAGUAUGCCACUAAGGGUAAUUUGAUCGUAUCUUCUUCGUUACAACUCCGAUUCGAGCCCAUUACGUGUCUACGAACUCAUCUCGCUGUGCUUUACACAACGGUACGGUUGAAAUUCCCAAAUUCCUUCCCAGUCAAAAAGUCAACUUUAAACCUAAUAAAAUAUUCUAUGGGCAAAAUGGUAUUUUCUCUGAAUAAAUUAGUGUUUACUAAUUUAUUUAGGACCGGGUCGUUACAAUACCCAAAAAUUUCCUGUGUCAGAAUCAACACAUGGCAGCAGAGAAAGAAAGGGGAAUAGGACAAAAUAGUUGGUUAUCCAGCUGGAAAUCCUACAGAGCAAGGAUGACUAGUUAUACGAGAAACAGAUGACUAGUCAUCAUUUUAUGAAAUCAAUUUAAUGCAAUGUGAUGGAAUGCACAAUUUACCUUUGUCAAUUUGCUUGAACCUCUAUACGAUAGUUGUUAGUUAAGAACACCUAGAGAAACUAUUCUUAAUCUAAACUUGAGCUUGAUAAAAAUAAUAAAAAUCUUAUUACAAGAUUAUCAAGGAAAGUGUUGUGUCUACCCAAGUGCAAGUAGUCACACGUAGUAAUAAUCUUGGAAGUCCAAGUAUCGUAUCCUCAAGGAGCAGGUAGGCAAAUAUCUGCACACAAAGAAAUAAUUAAACAUACCACAAUAAAAGUGACAAGCAAAAUGGAAAAGUUAUUUAUUUGAUUGUUGUGAAAAUUGAAUUUAAAAAUGAAAUAUCAAUAAUGGAAAUGCUAAGGCAUCAAGGUUCAAUUCUUUAAACAAAAUAUGUUUCAUGCUCUUUACUCCAGAUUAUAACUCGAUUAAAAUCAUCAUCGAGAAACUUUAACCGGAAGAUAAAGAAAUUAAAACCAAUUUAAUUUUUCAAUGUAAUCUUUUAUUAAUGAUUGUUCAGAAAAUGGAAUUGCUUAAUAUCUACUCUUUUAAUUUAAAAGCAUGCCAAGUCAGUUCUUAACAAUGAGAAAAAUAAAAUUGAACUCAUGAAAAGGUAAUAGCACUUAACAUCAAUCAAAAUAAAAGGAUAUGAAAAUAUUGAACAACCAAAAAUAAAAGAAUUUAGCAAUUCAUACCGUAUAUUGGAUUAAAGAACAAUUCACAAACUUACUUAAAGAACAUUCCCUUUAGCCUUAGCUAGAGUUCUAGCAACUCAAUUACAAAGGAAAACAUAAACUAAAUGGAUAAAGAAAUCAGUCAUAGUGGUGCCCUUGCCAAAGAAGUUGAUGGGUAAUUUAUAGUGAAUGAGGUGAGUGGGAAGUUAAUACAUGGGUAAUGAAGGGUUUAAGUAAGGGAUUAAUUGGAUUAAACAUUGGUUGAUGGUGGAGAGUUAGUGGAAAAGAAAUAACGGUGAGGUAAAUAGGCGUUAAAUGGCUAUGAAUGACAUGAAAUAGGCUCUUUAGCUUCAACGGUUGUGUCUUCUCUUCUCCCUCUUUACUUCUCUUUAUAAUCACAAUAAUCCAACAAUCAAUUCUUCAAUAAAAUCCGCCAGCAAUUCUCUUCACACCUAGCUUGAACUUGGACAAAUGUAUGUCUUCAUCUUUUGGCUUUCUAACUUCCUACCGAAGAUAAAUUCACCUAAUAAGUUCACCAAAUUAAUAUAGAAAAUUCAUAAAUCCAGUUGAUGAGAAUAAAAUGUAACAAUAAGUGAAAUUAUAUUUAUUAAGUCAAAAUUAUAUCAUAAAGUCUCCAAAAUAAUAUUAAAAAUAUAUAAUUUAAGACUCUCAUCACAAAGCCAAAAGAAAAACUCAAAAUGCAUACAUUAACAGUUUUGCCAUAUUGAAUUAAUGUCUUCUAGCUAUGUACCUUAUCUUUUUGCCGGGCCAUGAGUUGAAUGUAGAGGCAGAGCAUGGACUUGGGUCAAGUUUGACUUGUAAAAUAAUUAGGAAUUGAAUGGCUCCUACGUUCAAUUAUUUUAUUAUUAUUAUUAUUUUUUGUCCGAGCCAUUCAAUUCCUAAUUAUUUAGAUUUUUGAUCUAGUUAGCAUCCACAAUCAUGCUCUCUAUUUUUUUUUUUUGGUCAUAAAUGCCAUAACUCUUUUUUUAUUGGUCCAUCUCUAUUAAAAAAUAAAAUAAAAAAUAGUUAGCAUUAAAUAAAGGUUUGAAAUUCUCAUUAAAUAAAGCAGCAUUAAAUUAUAGGGAGCAACUAGGAGUCAUUUCUCUCUCCUCAAGUUUAGGAGCUCCUACAGGUCUCCCUAUUUUAGGAGGUAGAUAGGGAGCAUUGUUGGAGUUGUAUUUUUACAAUUUCUCCCUAAAAUUUGUCUAAGGAUGUGGUUUAGGGAGCCCAUUGUGGAUGCUCUCAUCUCAAGGAAAGAAAACCCCAAGUUUGCAAGUAAUUUUUCUACGUAUGUAUAUAUGAAAAACUGACAUUUAUGAAAAUAAUAAACCCAUAUUUUUAUGUAAGCCAACUUUCUAAAUUCAUGUACUGAUAUUUAUUAGGGAAAUAUUGGAGAAACUGAUUAUUUUGAAAAAUUAAAUGUGAAAAACUGAACAAAAUUUUGACGGGUUACAUAUGUCAACUCAUUCAGCAGCUUAGGUUGUGAAGACCUAAGCAACAACCCUAGUGCACUGUCGAUCACUUCAGUGUCUACCGAUUUUCCUUUCCAUAUUGUUAGAUUAUUCCCUGCUGUAACACUUGCAUUUAGAAAAUAAUAGUACAGCUCUUAUUAGCAACAGUUUUACACACUUGCAUGAAUCUCACUAUGUUAAAGCAAUCACAUAGCACACCUUUAUUGAAAACAAAGCUAGCCCUGAUCCACUCCUUUACAUACUUAAAAACAAAACAAAACGAAAAAAAGAUAGGGAGAAAAUGGCUACGGACUUACUGCCGACAAAAAGAGAUAAUAGCGAACACUGUUUGUAUGACAGUGAGUAUGAGAAGAGUAACCGCUGCAAAGAGAGAAAAAGCUGCCCAGGCCCAGGGUGAGUUGAAAUACUUUUGGCUCAAAUAUGCCAACCAUCUGUUCCUGCACUUCUUGCAGUACUUGUUUAGAUUGUCAGCAAGACCACCAAAAUAGAAAUUUUGCUGGUCCGGAGCAACCCCCUUGCAAAGUUGGUUAAUCAUAGUAGAAACCUUAUUGUUGUCACCUAGUGUGUUUACAACAAUUUCACUCUCAACAAGUAAAUCUACAUCCCUUUUGGUUUUUACAAAUUUAUCCAGGAGGAAAACAUAAUCGCUUAAGUAAUUGUCUGUGCAAUGGCAUUGUUCAAAGGCAAUGAGAUUUCUGAGUAUAAGCUCUGUGUCAUCACGUAUUUCUAGUUUUGGAAUUUUCAGAGUUCCAUUAUGGAACUGUAUCGCGAAUAAGUCGUUGCUUGACUCCAGACGACUUGAUUCCGGACGAAACUUAACUCUGGCCUGGUGUAGUUUUGUCACGCUGGGUAUACAUGGGAGUUCUCCAGCUUCUGAGGUACCGGUAUCCAAAUAUUGCACAUGUAAAGUUCUAAUAAAAUCAACAAAAUGUAAAGGUGGUUCAGUCCCCUCCACUUCGUCUUCCGACCUCUGUAAACCCACUACCUUUUUGAAGAAAUGGUAAGAGAGCUUAAUCAUUGAAGGCCUCUCAGUCUCAGAAUUCUUAACUCUGACUUUGCUUGCAUCGAAAAGAUCCUCAAGAAUGAAAAAUGGCAGCUAAUUUUCGGGCAAAAGCAUGUCGGGCACUAUAUUUGUUAACAUUUAUGGUUUUUUAAAUAUCCAGUCAUUAUAUCGUCUCGCAAUUCUUGGAAAUGGUACCUCAACAAUAGCUCAAUGACAAAGGCAGCAUCAACUAGAAUGAUACUUACAAACUUGUCGCUACUCUUGAAGUGCUGAGCGUUUCCAUAACGACCACGGAGUUCAUCUUCUUGGGCCUUUAUUUUCUCUGCAUAAUCCUUCAAGCUAACCUUAUUAUUCCGAUGAAGAAAAUUUUGUAGGUACCUCGGUUUGUACUCUUCCAUGGCUUCUAAUUCUUUGUUGUCAUGGUGAAUUGGGCCUAUUGAGACUACUUCCGGGGUGUAAGCGUUAUUUCUGCCCCGUAGUCACGAAGGAACCCUGUAGAUACAGCACUCAUCAGAGGGCCUAUUGAGACAAACUAUCCAACCGCCGCUUCAAAUCUGCUACUGGGGUUUUGUGGUUUUCUACGCCAUGUGGAGCUCCAUUGCUGCAUCCUUCCACUUCUAUUAUGUGUUGUUCUGAUUGUAAGUGAUGAGGGUUAUUGGCACCAGGGGCGGAUCUAGCCCUUUUUUGGCUAGGCAGCCACCCAGUCGAGAAUUUUCAUAAAAACAAAAUAGGUACGUAUUGUUGUAAAUGUAUGAGUUGGUGGAUGACCACCAUACCUCUUAGCAUUCACCUUUUCUAAUUCUAUGUAACUAUACACUAAAUGCCAUAGUUAUGGACUUGUAACUUAUGAGUUGUUAAUGUUUUCUUACGUGUAAGCCUAUAAAUAAGAGGGCUAUCUUGGCAUAUGUGUUCGUCACUAACUAUAUAAUUUAAGUUGUUUUCAGUGACUAAUUUAAAUAAUUGUCAGAAAAUUUGGUCAUUAAAAAUUAAAAAAUAAGGGUCAAUUAUUUUAGUGACCAUGAAGUAUUAUUAGUCAUUAAAUUCAUUGUAUUUGUGACCAUUAUUUAUGUGGAAUUGGUCACUACUGACCUUUUUUCUUGUAGUGUACAUUCUUGCCUUAAUACAGUUAGGCUUAUUUUUAUACUAAUUUCUCUAACAUAACUUUUGCACAUUCUUUUUAUAUUAUAAUAAAUAAUCUUACCCAGUUGAGUUAUAAACCAUUUUCUUUUAGCACGGAAAAUCGACAUUUUGACAGAGAGUUGAAAAGCACUCCCCAAUUUUAAUGUCAACCACUUGGAAAAAAAAAACAUAAAUUUAAUGACAACAAUUACAUUUAGCAAUGCAACCUAAAAACUCAACCUUUGCGCUCCUUUCACCACGCAGAUAGCAGGGUGAGGAUAUUCGAAUAAGAACGAAGACAGAAGCUAAAGGAAUUGCGAUAGCUAACCAUAGUCUGCAUUUCUUACCAUCUGAACAAUGCCACCAUUUUGUUUGGUAAGUAUUUAAUAACAUUUCUUGCUCUACAUAAAGUAAUAUUAAAGCGAAAUUUCCCUAAAUUUUUCUUACCAACAAUCCAUACCCAAGAAAAGGGGAGAUUCACUAUUAUACUCAAUAUAGGAGCCCAACUUAUUUAUAAUAAUUAUAAAAAAAAACCCUCUAUGAAAUGGACUUUAGAAACACACCUAAAACCUAUUUACAACAAAACAAAAAGACUUUUAACUUUUUUUAAAUUACAAAACUGUCAUUGAUUUCUUAAACAAACCCAACCCCAAAACCUCAUAAAAAAGCCCAAAUACUCAAUAAAGCAGCAAAGUAAUUUAAUAAUAAAAAUUAAAUUCAAUAGAGUCAGCUGUUAUUUUUUGGGUUAUUUUUUAUUUGUUUAUAGAAAUUAAAGAGUGCUGCUAAAAGAACCCUAACAUUAACUAAAUACACCAAAUGAUCUAAGUACACCCUAAUAUUUUAAUUAAAAUACAAAAUUAACUAAGUACACCUUAUUUAACUACCAAAAUUACCCGUGUUACACCCUAAUACACUCUAUCACUGUUCACCCGUUUAGUUUUUGCUCCUGUGAUGGAAGGGUAAAGUUCCCCACUGCCUUGGAAACCAUUGACUGGUCAACAAGUCAGCUUUCUUUGCUAUGUGAGCGUGCCACUGUUAGCAAUGAAAAUCCUAACAGACUUCUUAAAAUGGAUACUUGCGCCCAAGUUACUGAUUUCUAAACAGUGAUUGUGAUUUGGGUGAGGAAUAUCUCCAAGUAAGUUCUUUUCCUGCAUCAGGCUGGUGAAGACUUUAUAAUUUUCACAGUAUAAAUUGGUAGUUCUUGCCAGAAUAGAUGAUAUAAAGUGGACGGUUUUUAGGCAGAACUGCGUUUUACAAAAUUAAGAAGGAAAAAUCAACUCUAAAAAGACAAAAAGAUGGCUGGAAUCCCACUUCUGCCUGGGUAGAAACUUCAGAUCCGGGCUGGACCGAAUACAUUCAUGAUGGACUGAGCUGUUAACAACUUCAAUUGCUUAGCUUUAGCUGUAAAUCGAUACCAAAGUUCAAUUUUGGCAGAGCUUUAAUCUACUUCAAGCCUUGGAAGGCUUUUGAGCGGGCAGAACUGCCGUCUCUUCUGGCUAAAAGAGGCAGAAAUGGCUGAAUUUGAGGUUUACUGAGCUGGAACUGCACUGUUGUACCUGUUCUGCUUGGUCAGGGCUUUCCAUAAAUUUGUUGAGGUUUUCAUAUUUGUGAAAAACUCAAACUCUGCUUGUUUUGGCUUUUGCUGAACCAAAUUUGUAACGAGAGAAGUCUUGUUUUGAAUGACUUUUCUCUAAGUUUGAGCUUUUGAAAUUCUAGGAGAGAGAGAGAGAGAGAGCUUUUGAUUGCUCCAGUUUGUUUGAAGGUUCUCAAUGAUCAAGUGAUCAUUUUGAGUUUUUGCCUUUAGCUUAUUUUUGGUUGUUUGUUUGAUUAUCCUUUGCUCUAUUCACCUUCUCCUAUAUUUAUAAGAAAUGCUUUGAAGUAGGGUUUCUUUCUUUUAAUAAUGGGCGGCCAAAAUUCUCAAAAGGUCUUUCAUUUUUUUAAAUACGAAGAAAAAGGGGUUUUCUCAAUUUUGGCAAAUAAGUUCUCAACAGUCAAUUCCAUUGAAAGAGAACCUGACUUUUCUUUAAUUCCCAACUGCCCUUGUGAGAGCUCAAUCGUGAUGGUCAGUUUGCUUCUCCAUUUUGAACAACUUCCUGUUUCCUGUUUAUCUUUUUAGAAAAUACAAUCUGGGUAUCCCUUGAAAGAUGGUGCCUUUUUUGGAGUAGAAACAAUGUCUCUAAAUAUAAAAGGGUUUUUUUUUUAUCUUUUGGUGGCAAAGAUUUCAAAGACGUCCCUUCUUUUCGCCUGCCUCUGUCAACUUUUUAUCAACCCAGUUGAAAUUGUUGACUUUCCUAAAUCAAAAAAAGAGAUUCACGUGGGUCUGUUCCUUUUGGCUCCUUCCUCUCUUUUAAUCAUGCCUAACCUCUUUUGAUUUUACUGGAGCCAUGGGCUGAUUGCUUCUCUUUUCGAGGCCCAAGUUUAUUUGCAGAGCCCAAACUGCUUGGGCCCUGUGGUUUUGUCUUUGUUGUUUUUGGGCUUUUUAGGCUGGACGUGCCAAAAUUAGGCCCAAACAAUGUCCCCUAAGUUUGAAUCGUUUCUAGAACGGUUCGAGAUUUAAUGAUUUUGGCCAUUAAUUCGUGCGCGCCAACUUCUUUCGUUUAAUGCACGUCUGCCUACCACGAGCUAGACUUCAUGGGAAACUGUUUUGUUACUAGCUAGUUACUUAGCUAGUUAUUAUCAUAUGGCGUCUCGUCUUCCUCUUCCCACGAUUUCAAGCCCCUUUUUUAAGAAAUUCGAAACUCCAACUUCUGUUUAUUUCAAAAACUAGCUUCUUUUUAGACCUCGACAAUUCUUAGUUUUCCCCAGAAUUCUCACUUUUUCUUCGACCAGACUCUGCCUUUCUUAUCAUUUCCUUUCCUAGUUCAACACUUCUGAUCAUGUCUUCUCCCAAGACUCGUGCUCAAGGUUGGUCCUCCUCAGUUCCUCCUAAUUACAUCACUGGGACUGGGAUUGACAAUCACGCGAUAGAGGUUAGAAGCAAACUGAUAGGACCCGCCCCGAAUUUUCCAAAACCCAAGGCGAAUCCUGUGAAAUUUCCGACAUCACCCCGAUGCCGGGCCCACUUACUAAACACCGAGACUUUCUGCCGAAAUUUCGGCAGAGUCUCCCCUAUAAAUUGGACAUUUCCCAAAAUUUCAACCUGCAUAAAAACACAUUUAAUAUUCCCAACGGGCAGCAUGCACAAAAUAAUUUCAUCCAAUUCACAUAACGGCCUUCGGCCUUUCAAUAAUUUUCAACAAACUACCAAGCACACUAACAAAUCAAUUCAUGCCUCAAACAAGGCAACCAAUAAAUUCAAAUAUGCAUUAUGACUACCAAAUUUCGACAUGCAUCAUUUUGCUUUUCCAAUCUCAAUAGAUGAGGUUUUAACCUCCUAACACAAUCACAUCUAUGUUCGCGGCUGCACCUAAUAACCUUAGGCUGCCUACGUACCCUCACUGAGGGAUCAAGACACACGUAGUUCUUCCUUAAACCCAAUUCCACACAUAGGCAAUACCUUUAUUCAUUUCUCUGUAUUUCACAUAAUCUCCUCAUACGCCUGUACUACCAACGCCACGUAUGGGGUCUGUCAACACACUGGGUAACCUACGCCACGUGCGACCUCACCAUAUUAUCACAUAAUCUCCCCAUACGCCUGUACUACCAACGCCACGUAUGGGGCCUAUCGACACGUUGGAUAACCUAUGCCACGUGCGACCUCAACAUAAUAUCACAUAAUCUCCCCAUACGUCAAUACAACCAACGCCACGUAUGGGGUCUGUCUCAACGCCGGAUAACCUACGCCACGCGAGACCUGAACAUCAUAUCACAAUAGCUUGCCAUACGCUGGUACAACCAACGCCACAUAUGGGAUCUGUCGACACGCCGGAUAACCUACCCCACGUACGACCUCAAUAUAAUAUCACAUAAUCUCCCCAUACGCCGGUACAACCAACGCCACGUAUGGGGUCUGUGUUAAAGCCGGAUAACCUACGCCACGCGAGACCUGAACAUCAUAUCACAAUAUCUCUCCAUACUCCAGUACAACCAACGCCACGUAUGGGGUAUGUGGACACGCCGGAUAACCUACGCCACGUGCGACCUCGAUAUAUUGUCAGGUAAUCUCCCCAUAUGCCGGUACUAUCAAUGCCACGUAUGGGACCUGUCCGCAAGCCGGAUAACCUACGCCACGUGGGACCUAACUUUCACAGGGUGGUACUUGUAGUGUAACCAAAAUCCGGAAAGGUGCCUAGGGUAGUGCGUAUAGCACUUCAAACUGACAUUCUAGACUCUUUAUACCUUUACAAACAUAUAUAAACAUAUAUAAUUUAAUUCUAAUUGUGUAAACCUCAACAAUAGUCUAGCACCCAAUAAUCCCCCUAGGAAGGUGAGACUACUCCGAAAGACUCACGGUCGACCAAGGGUCAAACUACCCUAACAUUGGUCAAACAGGCCCACGGGGCCCACGACCUCCAAAUUCUGAUCCGAAAGUUCCUAUGAGUUCUCCGAGUUAUAGGACACUCGUCCUGCAAGUUUAGUCCAGAUCGGACGAUCAGAUCGCUCACGAUCGCACGAUCUGACGGUUAAUAUAAAACAUAAACUUUAAAUUAAUAAAUCAAAACAUCCGGCACUCCGAUUCACGAUCCGUGAAUUCCUACACGAUCCUAGAAAUACCUAGAUUAACAUAUAUUAAAUUCAAGACCAUCCAACGGUCCCAACCUAUCGAACCCAGAUAACGCGCAAUAGGCGGUAUCCGUUCGAUAUUUCCCUUUAAUAAUUUAAAUAAGGGAUUUAAUUUGGAGUCGGGGUGUUACAAUCUACCCUCCUUAUAAAAAUUUCAUCCUCGAAAUUUCAUACCUGCUAGAAGAGGAAUCUGCCAGAACUGACUUUAGGAAGAAGUUCCUGAGUGUCACUCUGCCAAGAGAUCUGCCCCACGGAGGUGGGAAGCCUCCAAACUAUCAUUUGGGAGCAGAAGUCUAUCAUCGCAACUUCUGUGCAAGGCAACUUGGCUGCCCCAGCUUAUUCCACUAAAAUCAUACAGAAGCUGCAAUCGGGCCACUUCCUUGAGAGAUGCGGAUGAUCUGGAAGUGCACAAAGAUGCUAGAUGUGCAGUAAACAAGAUAAAUAACAGCGCAGAUGCCCUCUAUCCAGCCUGGGAACUGAACUCCUGCAGUUCUGCCGAUUUUGACGCUUGGUGGAAAUCCAGGUUUCAUGGUCUGCCAGCCUCCAUUGCUGCACUCAAGGUGAUUUUUGAGGGCUGGGACUCCUGGACUGUCUACGCGGAGGUGGAUGCCAAGAACUUCAUGGUGCAGACCAUCAAAGACAUUAAUGCCCAGGGUAUAGAAGGUAACUUUCAAUUCUGUCUGUCUUGCCUAUUCUGUCUCUUAGUGAUGAUGCCUAACAGUUUUGUUCUGUAUAUAUCAGACCCUUAUUUGACAGAAAACAUAGGUGGACAGUCUGUCCAAGCUGGAGAUGUGAUUGGUAAGUUUUUCACUAUUCUGUUCCUUUCAUUAUUUUCUUGCUUGAUUGACUUCUGACUUUGUCUAUUUCUUGUGUAGUCAUUGCUGUCAUUGCUGCUGGGACUUGGAGCUUCCCUCUGGAGAUGAAGAGGAUCUAGCUGCUGAGGCUAUUCCUUUUGGCAGAACAUCCAGCUGCUGAGGCCAUUCUUUCUAGCAGAAGGAAGAGAAAGGAAAUUUCUUCUGCCCAGCACAGUGCUGCUCAGCCUGCGACUUCAGGUAAGUUCUGACAGUUUGAGCUUUUCGUAAUUCUAUUUUGUCCUAUUCUGCCUUAUGUUCUAAUGGUUUAUUGUCUGCUUAUUGUAGCUGAAAGUUCCUCUCCUCCUCCUACUAAGUCAAAAAGACUUAAAAAGAGGACUGUGGUGGAAUAUAUGGCCAUGGAGGAGUCUGCAGCAGUUCCCACCAACACUUCUGGGACGGAUGAAGAGCUGAGAGAGGCCUUCAAGACAGUGGAAUAGGAGAAAGAGCUAGAAGAAACAGAAGAAGAACCUCAAGAAAAGGCAAAAGAAAUGGAAGAAAAUGUGAGUAUUGUUUUCUGGCUAUGUCAGCUUUUCUUUUGUUUCUUCAUUUCCUCUGUUCUGACUUCUGUCUAUGUAUAGAAGGAAAUCCCCGCUGAAGUGAUUGCAUAGAGCAUUGCUUUGGCGCAGAGGCAGCAGGAGAAUCAAAGGGCAGAGCUGACCAGCUCGGAGUUGGCCCUUUUUGAAGACGCAGAGGCAGAACACUCAACUGUUGUUCCAGCAGCUGAGGAGCAGGUGGAGCAGUCUGCAUCAGAGCCUGUGGAGCGAGCAGAACUACCUGUUGCAGUCCCAGCACCUGGAGUGGAAGUGGCUGCUGUUGUUCCCGAAGUUGUGGUAAUUUUUAUUCUACUUCUGUCCACCUGUUUCCUGCAAUUCUGUUCUGUCUGUGCUUCCUUAUCUAUUAGUCUUUUCAGGUAGAAGUGCCUAGGCCUGCUGGGGUUUUGGCAGUGGUGACCAGCCCCUUGAAGCCUCUCAUCGUUGCUGUAAGUGUUAAUGCAUUCCUGGGCUUUUUCUUUUCUGUCUCUGCCUAGUUCCUACUCUUGUUCUUUUCUGCAUAUGCCUAUCCAUUCCCUUCCAAGUUCAUCUGCCACAGCUUCCUAUGCUGAUUCGGAGCUGGCAGAAUUUGAGGCUCUGGAUCUGAACGCCCAGCUAGACAAGCUGAACCCUAAACCCUUGAGAAACUCAGCUCCACUCCUUGCAAGGCAAAGUCCAAGGCAGUGGAGGAGGCUAUGGAGAGACUGAAGAUCUGGCAAUCAACUGAUCUGGAGCUGGAUAAGGACAGGGAAGCUGUUGACCAAUUGAUGAAGGAUCUGGACCUUCUGCACAGACAGAACAUGGCCCCCAAACCCAUACUUGAGAUGAGCCUUGGCUUGGGAAGAGAUGUGCUCAACCUCCACGACCGUUACGAGGAUCUCAAGCCCACCUUCAAGACCUCUGAGUUCUGCAAAGCCACCCAUAAAGCCAACUUGGCUGACUAUGCAAAGCAGAAGGCAGAACUGGACCAGAUGGUUGCAGGAUACAAGGAAGCCAAAGCCACUAUAGACAAGUUGGAGAAGCAGAUUGAAGAGCUUCAAAAACAAUUGGCAGAGUGCAGAGAGGUGCAGAGCAGGCUCGGGGCUAGACUGAGCUCUAAGACCAAGGCCACCUUCCUUGUGUAGAAUAUGGUUUCAGCUUCUAGGCCAGCUUUGGAAAUUGCAGAGGCUUCAAUCCACCAGGGGUGCUACUUCAGAAGGAACUCUCCAUUAAAAAGGCCAACUUGCAAGAAACCCUUAGGAAAUUAGGGUUUUAGAUUCUAGUUUUUUUUUAAAGAAAUGUAAUAAAUAAUUUAGCCAUAAAAAGUGGCUAUAUUUAAAUAAAAGUUCAUUUAUUUUUGUGGGAAUUCCAAAUUCUUUCGACAAAAAGAAAAGAGAGAAAAAGUAAUUUAAAGCAUACUUAACAAAUUACAACGAAAAUGAAAGUGAUCAGAAAUUCAAACAACAGUUUUAUCUUGCUGUCUCUCUAUUCCGGGAUCUGUCUGUACCGCCUGUGAAUCCCACAUAGUUGGAUAGAACUUUUUUAACCAUUUGUCAUUAAUUGGUGCAGUAUGGACAUCUCCAUCUCGAUCAUGUAAUCUGUAUGCCCCCAUUCCAAGGAUCUGAUUAAUUAUGAAAGGACCUUCCCAUGUAGGUGACCAUUUUCCAUAACCAUCUAUAUGCGUUCCAAGGGGCAGAACUGCUUUCUAGACUAUUUCCCCCUCUUCAAAACUCUUGUUCUUGACUCUUUUGUUGUAAGCCCUUGAUACAGCUUCCUUUCCUGCUAAGAGUUUGUUGAGGGUAUCGAUCCUGCUUGUAUCCAAUCCUUCCAGUUCUAGCAUCAUAGCUUGAGAGUAGUCUUCUCCAACCAAACUGUGUUGAUGAGCAAUUCUGAGGGAUUGGACUGCUAUCUCCAUAGGCAGAAUUGCAUCGUGGCCAUAGGUGGUCAUGCCAGUUGCUUCUCUUCUUGAAGUUCUAUAUGCCCACAGAGUUUCUGACAACUUCUCAUGCUACUAUUUUGGAUUUUUCUCAAGCAUUUUUCUGAUAAUGUUGAUGAUCACCUUGUUACUUGAUUCUGCCUGCCCAUUAGCUUGGGCAUAAUAAGGGGUGGAUUGAAGCAGUUUGAAUUUAAAUGCUCCUGCCAUUUCCAACAUUUCUCCAGAUAUGAAAGAAGAUCCCCUAUCAGUUGUGAUUGAUUCUGGAAUGCCAAACCUUUGUAUAAUCUGCUCUUCUAUGAAAGUGAUGAUUUCUUGAGAUGCUGUGGACUUAACAGGCUUGGCUUCCACCCAUUUGGUAAAAUAAUCUGUAGCUACAAUAAUAAAACAGUGUUGUUUGCUACUGGCUGGAUAAAUCUUACCAAUGAGAUCCAUUGCCCAUCCUCUGAAAGGCCAUAGUUUUACUACUAGAUUCAUGGGAACUGAAAGAGCCUGCUGGAUUAGCCGAGCCAUUUCCUUUUAUGCUACCGAUUUCUUUUAUGCUACUGAGCCGGGCAAAACCAAUAAAAUAAAGAAAGGCAACGAAUUUAUUAACCGAGUAUAAAGGAGAGAGAGGGAUUCGAACCCUCGAUAGUUCUUUGUUUCGAACUAUACCGGUUUUCAAGACCGGAGCUAUCAACAACUCGGCCAUCUCUCCGAAAUAAAAUUUAUAUUUUAUUCCACCUAAUAGAACAUGGACAUAUGAGUUGAUACGAUUACUAUCUAUAGAAAGAUAUCAGGUGUGAGUCUAUAGGUCUAUCUAUCUGUAUAUAUAUAUAUAAUAUAGAUGCAUGAUCCAGCAAGCAUGCCCCUGAAGUUGACUUACGCUCAAAUGUAGAAGAAUCAGCCAUGGCAAAUAGGUAGCUGAAUUGCAGCGGAAUAGAUGAGCAACGGUGUCACUCCCCCUCAUAUCCAACGAUGUAUAAGAGUCGAGAUUUGGAGAAAGCAAUACCGAAAAAUAAAGUUGCAGAACUCAAAUAAAGUUGCAUCUAUCUCCCCAUCAAAUCCGACACUGGUAAAGGGUCGAGAUUUGAAAGAGGAGAAAUUGAAAUAAUAGUAAAGAGACUCAAACAUGCAGUCUCAUGGCAGAAACAAAUGCAAGAGGGGAAGAUGGUAGCAUACGGUUGUCCCAUGAAGAAAAAACUUUAGAAAAGGAGAAUAGUAAGGGAGGAAACCCAGCAAAUCAUGAACAGAGACAAAGACAAAGAUAAGGUACUCAAACUGAGAAGCGGAAAGGCAACUCAAGAGAGCAACCGAAGAAGACAGAGGCCCGCAGAACAGUCAAAGGAAAGGCUCGGCGAGUGGUGACGAUGCUCGCGGAGGAAAGCAACGGCUCGGUGAGCAGUGACGAGGCUCACGGAGUAAAGAGACUUGUUAUGAAGUUUCAAAGAUAGAGAAGCUGAGACAUCAAGAAAGACCAUCUGGCAUACAAAGAUGAAAAAUAAAAUUUUUGGAACAGUAGCAAAGAAGCAUGUGAAGGCUAGGUGCGGUGAAAACACAUAUGAAAGGAUGAACAAAAGAAGAUGACUAUACAAGAUGAAGACCCAUGAUGGGUUAGAAAUGAGGAGUGCCAACGACUCUCAAUUUGGCAGAGGCUAUCACAGGUUAGGAACCUGGCUCUGAUACCAUGUCAAACAAAGUAGGGUAAAUAUUCAGUUAUGCUCAGAUAUGCUCAUAUUAUUAUUCUUCUCCAAUAUGGAGAUAUUUAUACAAGUACAAAGAUGUGUUAACCCUAAAUAAAAUAGAAAAUAUAUCUAAAUUACAAUUGGAAGUAAAUCUCUAUUACAAUAUGAGUAAAUAAUAAUUGAUAAGUAACCAAAAUUCUAAUGAAAUAAGGAACUAAAAUCCUAAGUAAGUAAGGACUCGCCAACGAAUAAUAGUACAACUCUUAUUAGCAACAGGUUACAAACUUCUUCUACAACACACCAACAUGAAUCUAGCCCUGAUCAAUUCUUUUACAUACUUGAAAACAAAACAAAACACGAAAAACAAAAAACAAGAAACAAGAUAGGGAGAAAAUGGCUACGGAGAGACUUACCGCUAAUACUUGAUCAAUAACAGAGAUAAUAGAGCACACUGUUUGUAUGACAAUGAGUAUCAGAAGAAUAAUAGCUGCAAAGAGAGAAAUAGCUGCCCAAGGUGUGUUGAAAUACUUUUGUCUCAAAUUUGCCUUCCGUCUGUUCGUGGUCUUCUUGCAGUACUCGUUUAGUUUGCCAGCAAGAUCACCAAAAUAGUAGUUUCCGUGGUUCGGAGCAACUUUACUGCAAAGCUUGUUAAUCAUAAUGGAAACCUUAUUGUUGUCACCUAGCGUGUUUACAACAAUUCCAUUGUCAACAAGCAACUCUACAUCCUUUGGGGUGUUUACAAAUUUAUCCAGGAUGAAAACAUAAUCGCUUAUGUAUUUAUCCACGCAAUUGCCUUGUUCAAAGGCAAUGAGAUUUCUAUGUGUAAGCUGUGUAAUCAUGUAUUUCAAUUUUUGGAAUUUCCAAGGUGUUUUUCUUGAACUGUAUAUCGAAUAAGUUCUUGCUUGAUCCCACGUUAAACUUAACUCCGGCCUGGUGUAGUUUUGUCAUGCUGGGUGUACUUUGGAGCCCUCCAUUUUUUUUUCUUUUGGCAGAUGUAAAGUUCUAAUAAAAUCAACAAAAUGUAAAGGUUUUUUAGGAUCAGGAGGCAUAAAAGACUUACGGAAGGCUGGUGAGUUCUCCAAGUUUUCUAAACGCAGUGCCUGUUGGAAGAACUUGUAAGAGAGUUCAAUUAUUGAAGGCUCCCCAGUCUGAGCACCUGUGAGAUUGUAAAGAUCCUUGAGAAUGAAAAAUGGCAGCUGAUUUACGAGCAUAAGCAUGUCAGGCAAUAUAUUUUGUAGCACCCAUGGUUUUUUAAAUAUCCAAGCAUUAUCAUCCUGCAAUUUUUCUUCCUGAAAUUUUUCUUCGGAUUUAUUCCUCAACAAUAGCUCAAUGACAAAGGCGGCAUCAACUAGACUGAUAUUCACAAAAGCAGCAAUGUUAAACUUCUUAGGGCUAGUUUGGCGUUGCUGUGUUUUAAAAAAAAAUAUGCUUCUGCUGUGCUGUGAAAAUAAUCAGCUGUGAAAAAAAGCUACUAAGCGUUUGGUAAACUGUUUUUGAAAAACUGUUGUGAGUAGUCAAAGUGUUUGGUAAAUUUUUAUCAGAAGUGUUUUUAGUGUGUAUAAUGACCAAAAAGGACAUGAUGAUGAAAUUGUUUGUUAUUUUCUUCAUUCUUUUUCUACUUUUUUUUUUAAAAAAAAAACCCAAUUUCACUACAUAAAUUUUUAUUCUUUUUUAAUUCACACCUUUUUAUCAAAAAAUUUAAUCUACAAUUAACAUACAUAUUUUACCAUAAAUUAUAAAUUACUAUUAUAACAAAAGUAAUUCUAAAUAUUGUUAUAUUAAUAUGGGCUUCGGACAUGACAAAAAUACAAAAAUUGUUCAAUUUUAAAAUGCCCCAAUAGAUCACUACAAUAUAAAAGAAGCUAAUUAGAUGCAUUCAUUAAACUUGUAGCGAUGCUAUUUCUUAAUGCAUUCAUUAGCUUCUUUUUUUGGUUUCCAAUGGUUCUCUAACAAUUUUAACUAAAAAAACAACCAUAAUGCUUUGUGAACAAUAAAUUCAAGUCCAAAUCUACUAAUGCCCACACCAUACAUAUAUACAUAAUUGUUUCUUUCAUAAAACUUGAAGAUUCAAUAGUAAUUACACAGUUUACCAAUCUUGAUUCCAACUAUAUCCAUAAAAUUAAACUAUAAUUAGAAACAGAGGAGCUACAUGUGAUUACUUAUAAAUGUUGCCCACUCUCAUCAUCAUCUUCUUCCUCCUCUGUACUUUGCCUUUCACAAAUGGACAAGACCAGAUGGUAACGUACACGACAUGGUCCACAUAUAGAUAAAUUUUGGGUUCACUGGAGAACAUAAAAGAGUUUUUACACGAAUACAAAGUUAGUUAAGUAGUGAAUAAGGUAAAACUAUUCUGUACAAUUCUAGCUGAUGCAGUCCAAAAAGAAUAUAUGUCUAAUAACUUAAAUAACAAUAAAGAGAAACAAAAACCUCAUGAAAAAUGCUAGAGUAAAAGUUACAUAACUGAAUCGAUGGACAGAGAACUCCACAGGCAGAGAAACAGCAACAAAAAUUGUCAAAACAGUAGCAAGACCAUGUUGGAGUCAAGGCCAAAGAUCAUAUUUCCUGUGUAUCUUCUUCCAUUCUGAAUUAUUCUCGUAUUCAAAUACUGUAACUCUAUUUCAAGUGCACCCCAAAAUACUUAUCUAAGGCCAGUACAUAGGACUUCAUAAAGGGUGCCAUAAAAAAUAUUGCCCCUUAAUUGAUAAACAGAACCAAGAUCCCAAUGGCACACCAAAACUAUACCAACCACACCUACAUAAUAUGGACAGAAAAUCCUGUUGUUCUGACCUCUAACCACACCAAUGACAUUCAUUAGGAAAAUACAAAAGAUGGGUACCCUGCAUUUCUAACAUUUAAGAUAAAAUUCACUGCCAGCUAAUCACAAAUUUGAAAAGAUGGCAAGAAAAUUGGCUAUGCUUUAACAAAAACCAGAGCAGUCCUUGCAUAGACCUGACUUUUUGCUCCAAGCUUUAGCAGAUCACUUACUGGUAGAGAGCAGAGAACAUGUAUGUGAAUAUCUGAAGUUGGAAGGGUAAGCCAUCACAAACACCAAGAGAUCUGAUUCUCAUCUCUUGUUACAACAACAAAUCACAAACACCAAUACAUCUGAUUCAGAAUCUCAUAAACAAUGGAGGAACAAACACAUAUUCACACACAUAUAAAUCCCUAAACCGAAAAAAAAAAAAAAAAAAAAAAAAAAAAAAAAAAAAAAAAACAUGAAAGUAAUAGGAGAAUCAAAUUGAUUUGGGCCAAAAUUGCCUAAAAAGAAAACACUCCUAAAUAAACUUCAAUUCACUUUUAAAAACAGUAAAACGUGAUUGAAUCGUUCUUUAAAACAAUUCCCUAAUAUACAUGCAUGAUAAUGACAUCAUUUACCCCUAAAUCAAAUGCCUUUCACUGGUUAAGCCACAAGUCUGUGUUUUGGGGAUUGCUGAGCUGCAUCAAUCCUGCCAAUGUCAAUUCUGCCCCUAGGCUCUCUCAAAGUGCAUUUACAACCUAUGCUAACAUAUACUAGAGUUUGUGCUAGUAUCUAGAAAAUGCCAACACUAAUUUCGUAACACGUAGAAAUUGUUACAUAUUGGAAGUUUUUAUCAUUUUUUCUUCCAGUCUCUCCACCACUCACUAAUACAGAUUACUCAUGUGAUGAGUUUACAAAACCUAUUUCUCUACUCCCACAAAGACCAUACUUUUUCUCAAAAGACUAUAUCACUUUAUCUCUAUCUUUGUGAAAUGUAAAAAGUUGAAACUUUAAUGUCAAAUCUCGACAAAAGAUGAACUUCCAUCAAUUACAUUGAAUUUGAAUUUGUUGAACUUAAGUGGUUUUACUUUCUCUGUCAGCGUUUGAUGACUUGAUUUGUUAUUUACUUCUUCUUUUUUCCUUGGAAAUGUGUUCCAUCAACGUGAGGAAGAAAAAUAUGCACAAAUUAAUAUAUUUAAUAGAAGCACAAAUUAAUAUUUACAAAAAUAUGCACAAAUCAAGUAAAAUUAAUAAAGCAUAAAUUGGAAAGGGAAAAUAUGUAGAGGAUGCAUUGUAGGAUUGCUCAUGCCAAUAAUUGUACCCUCUAAAUAUAUAGGGACAUAAUUUUUUUUGUUUUCAUGACAUGUGGUCCUCAAAUUAUUGUUCUUAGCGGACUCUCCACCCCUCUCGAUUGAAAGCCUAUUGUGUAAAUCUUCAAUCCUGAAUGAUCCACCUAAAACUCAUGUUGCAAUACACAUCCACCCAUUCUCAGGCCAAUUAUUACUCCUAGUGGGCUCUCCACCCCCUCUCAAAUUUAAGUGGUCCAUUAUUAUUAACCAUAUAUUUUAUGGACCAGCUAGCUGUGAGGUUUUAUCUCAAAAACCUUUCUCUCACAUGCCACAAUUUAUGUCUGAUACAUCACAUCAUGCCAGUUGUCUCAAAUGAAUUUAAGUGAGUGAGGCAGUGUUACUUCUGGGUACCCCUCAUCGUUCGUGUAUAAAAUGGUGAAGCCAGUUGCUACUGUUACCAUAAGAGCCAGCUCCGACUUUCAAAAUAAAAAUUCCAACAAUGAUCUUAGUGCCUUCAAACGCAUGAGUUACUGAACAUGCAAAUAAAUACACUAUGAAUAAUAAAAGUGUUUGAUAAAUCACCAAAUUAUGGAACACUUGAUGAUUUAUCUCAAAUAAAAAUUCCAAGGCUUAUUUUAUAGAAUUUUUCUUUAUUACAAGAAAGAAAACAUGUUGAAAACCAAAUCUCCAAUUUCCAAGGCUUGACAGAAAAUCAAAAAAAUAUCUUUCCUAUUCUAGAGAUUGGUCACAUGUAGUUCAGAAAAUCAAAAAAAUAUCUUUCCUAUUCUAGAGAUUGGUCACAUGUAGUUCAACCAAUAGGAAAUGAGAUAUUUAAGAAAGCAAGAUUUUGAUCAAUAUCAAUAUCAAAUGAAUUCUUAUACGCCUAGUCAACUAUUAAGGGUAUCUUGACUCUUUGAUAUUGUGAUAUGAUUGAAACAUGAUUUCCAUGUUAGAAAAUUAAGGGGAUGUUAAAACAUGAAAGUAAUAGGAGAAUCAAAUUGAUUUGGACUAAAAUUGCCUAAAAAGAAAACACUCCUAAAUAAACUUCAAUUCACUUUUAAAAAUCGUAAAACAUGAUUGAAUCGUUUUUUUAAAACAAUUCCCUAAUAUACAUGCAUGAUAAUGACAUCACUUACCCCUAAAUCAAAUUGUCACGCCCCGGACCUGGGGGUCAGUGGAAAUCCCGCGCCCGGUGCGUGAGAAAAUAAAAAGUAAAAUAAAAUAAAAAGAAAGCCGAAACAAGGGUUUAAAAUAAACUUCUCUUAUAAAAAUAACUCUAAAAUCUUAUAACUUUACAAGAAAUAAAUAAAGCUCUAUCAUUCUUAUCUAAUUCAGACUCAACUGGUUUAGUCCUUGUCUUGCCCACUAAUUCAUCUGAAAAAUUAAGAGUGUUGCUAAACGAACCCUAAAAUUAAUUGAGUACACCAUACUACCAAACAAUUUAUUGAAUUUGUCAAGGUUUUGUUUCUGGGAACUCACGAGCAACUUUCCAGUGGGUUACCCAUCCUAGGAUUGCUCUAGCCCACAACUCGCUUAACUUCGGAGUUCCUACGACUCCGAAGCCAGUGAGCUCCCAAAAGGCCUCGUGCUAGAUGGAUGCGGGUGUGCACAUAUAAGGCACAUCACCACCUCUCCGUUGAUUGAUGUGGGAUCUUACAAAAUUACUAAUUUAUUCUAAUAUAAAAUGAUCAAAAAAGAUAAAAUAAUAUUGGUAUCUAUUGCUUUGAAUCCAUGCCUUCAAACAAAUUGACUUAAUUUUUAACAAACAACACGGAGUCCAGGAGAAGUGUAUUGAUCCAAGUUGAUUUUUGUAUGCAUAAAACUUAAACAAUCAAUAACACAAAGCAGUUCAUGCUGAAAUAUUGGAAACCCACACCCAAAGAGUUCUCCGCUGCGAGGUUGAAGGCAGGAGAGAUGGGUGACAGAUUUUACUUCCACUGCGAAGUUGGAGGCUAGGAGAGUCUGUGACUGCCAUGGUUGAGGGAGAAGAUGCGUUCAAAAUGCCUAUUGAUAUUUUACAUUAUUUUCUAUACAAGUUAACAGUGUUUGUGUAUUGUUAAAGGUGGAGAGACGUGUCAAAAUUUUAGACAAAGGACAGGAGGAGAUAGGGAAUUUGGGGACAGCAGAUCUCAACUCCCUUGAGACCCUAUUCUCUACGCCACCCCUCCCCCUCAACAACCCUAGUCACCAUUUCUCCUUCAACUCCAACGGCAACUCAUUAAAACCCAAUUCUCAAAUGCAACAAUCUAAUCCCAAUCCCAAUUCAGAUGUUUCUAAAAAACCAAUGGUUGUCGUGGUGGAGAACUGCAAUUCCAGGUGGUGGUGGUACCACAUGGGAGAGAGAAAAAAGAAGAAGAAGAAGCAGCAGAGAGAGAGUUUUUUAUUAUAUUAUUAUUUUACUGUAAUUUUUUAAUUUAAAAAAUUAAAAAAAUUAAAAAUUAAAGAGGAUGUACCAUGGGUAUUUUUGGUAGUUAAAUAGGGUGUACUUAGUUAAUUUUCAAUUUAAUUUAAACAUUAGAGUGUACUCAGUUAAUUUUAGGGUUCAUUUAGCAGCACUCAAAAUUAAACAAGGUAAGGGAUGAGCAAGUAGGGACAUGAGACCUUGCCACAGUAGAUUGAUAUAACUAAAUAUUAUCAUAAACAUCGAAAUAUAUAAAUAUUAUUAUGAUAGGAUUCAUAAUAAUUAAUAUAAAAGUAUAACAACAAGAUUUACAUUUAUGUACCAAGAUAAUUACACAUAUAAAUAUAACCAAUAUAUAUUUUUAUAUAUUUUAAAAUACAAGUCUUUACGUAAAUGCCCUUCACGGGUCAAGCCACAAGUCUGUGUUUUGGGGAUUGCUUAGCUGCAUCAAUCCUGCCAAUGUCAAUUUUGCCCCUGGGCUCUCUCAAAGUACGUUUAAAACCUAUGCUAACAUAUACUAGAGUUUAUGCUGUAUCUAGAAAAUGCCAACACUAAUUUCGUAACACGUAGAAAUUGUUAGAGAUUGGAAGUUUUUAUCAUUUUUUCUUCCAGUCUCUCCACCACUUAUUAAUACAGAUUACUCAUGUGAUGAGUUUACAAAACCUAUUUCUCUACUCUAGCAAAGACUAUACUUCUUCUCAAAAGACUAGAUCACUUUACCUCUAUCUCUGUGAAAUGUAAAAAGUUGAAACUUUAAUGUCAAACCUCGACAAAGUGUUCUACUUUACAAACUUCUUGUGUCUACCAAUUUCUACUAAAAUUAAUUUCUCUACGGUGCUCAGAUUCAUCAUAUGUGUGUCCUUAAUUUUAGUGGAAAUUGGAAGUUUCCAUAAUUUUUGCUUUAAGUCACUCUUCUGAAGGAAGUUGAGGUUCCACUCCAUAAUCCAAAAUGUCAGGUUGACUUAUGGCAAACAAUGUAAAUAUGUAGGAGUACUAUGACCUUUUAUAGCAUUUUUAGUUUGAAUUUGGGUUUUAUACAUAGAUUUCGAAAUUAAUAGGUUGAUGCCUAGGAAAUAGAAAUUGUAAGGGCCUAUAUUAGACUAGCCCUCUUAAAAAAUAUAUUAAUUAAUGAAUAUUUGUUCUUCUUGUUGUUUUGAAGUAGUGGUGGGAGGCAUACCAACAAAAAAAAAAAUAUAGUGAAGGCUUAUAAGAGCAUUUACAAUCAUGCUCCCUAUUUUUUAGUUAAAAUUUAGCUAAAAAUAGAAAAAAGUUAUUAUAGGAGCUCUUUAUAAAAUUUGAACUCCAAUCAUACUCCCUAGUUUAGGGAGUCAAAAAUACUAUAGUUAUUUUUUAAUUCAAUUUGAUUUUGGUUAAUCUCUAUAAAUAAAUAAAAAUAUGAAAAAAUAGUUAACAUUAAUUAAAAGUUUAAACUAUGCAUAAAACAAAGAAACAUUAAAUUAUAGGGAGCCACUAUGAGUCGUUACUCUCUCCUCAGAUUUAGGAGCUCCUAGAGGUCUCCCUAUUUUAUGAGGUGGAUAAGGAGCAUGGUUGGAGUUGUAUUUCUUCAAUUUCCUCCCUAAAAUUUGUCUAAGGAUGUGGUUUAGGGAACCCAUUGUGAAUGCUCUAACUCUGGUAAAACACGAGUGACAUGGACAACAUAUGUUACGUCGUACAGAAGAUUUUUGGGUUUCUUUAAUUGGUUAAGUAGCAUCCACAAUGAGCUUCCUAAAUCAUCUCCUUAGACAAAUUUUAGGGAGGAAUUGGAAAAGUACAAUUCCAACUAUGCUCCCUAUCCACCAACUAAAAUAGGGAGACCUCUAAGAGCUCCUAAAUCUGAUGAGAGGGAAAGGACUCUUAAUGACUCCUUAUAAUUUAAUGUUGCUUUACUUUAUGCAUAUUUUGAACUUUUAAUUAAAUCAAAUUAUUAUUUUUAUAUUAUUUUGUAUACAGACGGGUUAAUUAUAUUAAAUUAAAAAAUAAUUAAAAUAUUAAUGACUCUCUAAACUAGGAAGCAUAAUUGUAGAUCAUCUUAUAUACCUUAAUUUGAAGAUUCUUUAUUUGGGUUUCUUUCAAGACUUAUCACCUUAGCCACACCACCUACACGUCUGCAAGCUUCCGUAAUCUAACAAGGAAGGGGAGGCUGCGCAAUACUUAUCACCUUAGCCACACCACCUACACCACAAGACCAAUAUGUGUAGUCCAGCAGGCUUUCCAAUUUUAAUAUAUAUUAUAAAAUAAAAUAAAAAUCAAUCUAUUAUCAUAUAUAUUAUAAAAUAAAGAUUAUUGCUCCAUCCUCCAUGCACUUGCAUGCCCUCUUACAAAGUGUGAAGUAGAUUUUGUGUGCUCCAAGUCAUUGACGAGAGCUGUAACAUGGUUAGCUGGAUUUAUAAGAUCUUUUCUUUUCUGGGAAUUUUCUGAAUUAAGAAAAAUCAAGUAAAAUUAAUAAAGCAUAAAUUAGAAAGGGAAAAUAUCUAGAGGAUGCAUUGUAGGAUUGCACAUGCCAAUAAUUGUAUCCUCUAAAUAUAUAGCGACACAUUUUUUUUGUUUUCAUGACUUGUGGUCCUAAAAUUAUUGUUCCUAGCGGGCUUUUCACCCUCUCUCGAUUGAAAAUCAAUUGUGUAAAUCUUCAAUCUUGAAUGAUGCACCUAAAACUCAAGUGUCCCAGGCCAAUUAUUGCUCUCAUACCACUUGUUGUAAUAAACAUUCACCCAUUCUAAAGGAAAGAUAACCAUCGAUAUUAUCUGAAAUUUAACCACUUAAGUUCAUUAUGAUUAACUAUGUAUCUUAUGGACCAAUCCAAUCGUAAGGUUUUAUACUCAAUUAGAUCGACCAAUACAAAGUUCACACUGGAUUAAAAAGGGCUAUCGGUAGGGGAGUGUUCGGCACCCUUUACUGUGGAGCGCAACACAAGACCCCUUGCAUGCCCUCACUAAGUUGAGCCCAACUAUUUUUGAGCAUUAACAAUAUAUAUAGAUUGAAAAAAUAAAAUAAAAAUCAAUCUAUUAUCAUAUAUAUUAUAAAAUACAUAUUAUUGCUCCAUCCUCCAUACACUUGCAUGCCCUCUUACAAAGUGUGAAGUAGAUUUUUUGUGCUCCAACUCAUUGACUAGGGCUGAAACAUGGUUAGUUGGAUUUAUAAGAUCUUUUGUUUUUUGGGAAUUUUCUGAAGCACGGAAAAUCAAAUAAAAUUAAUAAAGCAGAAACUGUACCCUUUAAUUAUAUAUGGACAUAUGUUUUUUUGUUUUCAAGUCUUAGAUGACAUGGGGACCCCUCUCAAAUUUAAGUGGUCCAUUAUUGUUAACCACAUAUUUUAUGGACCAUCCAGCUUCGGUACAUUUCUCCCACAUGCCACAAUUGUAUAUUCACAAUUACGUCUGAUACAUCACAUCAUGCCACUUGCCUCACAUGCCACAAUUGUAUAUUCACAAUUACUUCUGGGUACCCCUCAUCAGUCGUCUAUAAAAUGGUGAAGCCAGUUGCUACUGUUACCAUAAGAGCCAGCUCCGACUUUCUUUAAUUUCUUGCUACAUCUGUUGCUAAGUUAAUUUCAGUCCUAAUGGGGUUUCAUCUCCCACUCAUCUUUGCUAUUCUCAGUGUAAGCUCUGCAAUUUGAUUAACUUUUCCAUUCUCUCUCAUUGUACUCUAUAUAUAUAAAUGAAAGUUUUGUGUUCCUAUAAUUCUCUCCGAUUUUAUUUAGUACGUACUUAAGUGUCGUCCACUAAUUAAUUACACUUUGUGAGAUUUGAUUUUAAUUAGAGUUCGAAUUAAUGUUGCAGCUAGCAGCGGUUGCACUGGCAAACAAUGCUGCUCAACCAGCACCUCAACUUUACUGGAACUCCGUCCUGCCAAACACACAGAUGCCAAGAUCUAUCAGUGAACUUCUGCAUCCUGGUUUGUGUUCAGCUCUUUAUAAUCUUAGAUAUCUCUUCUACCUGCCAUUUUACUAAACUAUGUUCGACCACAUAUUUAUCAGUUAACUACUGUCAUUACAAGAAUGACACUUAUUUUCCAAUAUAAUUUGCAGACUCCACAAAUGAAGAAAAGAGCAAACCUGAAAUUUUCCCAUUGCAGGGCAAUAGAGUUUACACUCAAAGCCAUUAUAAAAAACGUCCUCCUCCUCCAUCUGACGAGGGCAAACCUGAAAAUUUCCCAUUGCAGGGCAAUAGAGUUUACACUCAAAGCCAUUAUAAAAAACGUCCUCCUCCUCCAUCUGACGAGGGCAAACCUGAAAAUUUCCCAUUGGCCAAUAGCUUUUACACUCAAACCCAUUAUAAAAAACGUCCUCCUCCUCCAUCUGACGAGGGCAAACCUGAAAAUUUCCCAUUGGCCAAUAGCUUUUACACUCAAAGCCAUUAUAAAAAACGUCCUCCUCCUCCAUCUGACGAGGGCAAACCUGAAAAUUUCCCAUUGGGCAAUAGCCAUUACACUCAAAGCCAUUAUAAAAAACGUCCUCCUCCUCCAUCUGACGAGGGCAAACCUGAAAAUAUCCCAUUGGCACGUUCAGGUUACCAACGAAAAAAUUAUGGAGCAAGUCCUCCUCCAUCUGACAGUCAACUAAAGCAUUAUAAAGACUUAGCUAUUUUCUUCUUCGAGAAGGACAUGCGCCCGGGCACAACUAUGAAGUUCCAAUUCCCUAGAAAUUCAAACACGGCUACUUUCCUGCCACGCGAAAGUGCUCAAUCGAUCCCCUUCUCCUCUAAGAAACUACCAGAAAUUUUCAACCAUUUUUCAGUGAAGCCAACAUCUGAGGAAGCCAAAACAAUUAAGCAAACAAUCGAAGAGUGUGAAGCUCCAGGCCUUAAGGGAGAGGAAAAAUAUUGCGCCACAUCUUUAGAAUCAAUGGUUGAUUUUAGCACUUCGAAGCUUGGAACAAGAAACGUUGAAGCAAUCUCAACGCAGGUAUUGGAAGAAGGAGCCACCAAGUACAUGCACAACUAUACAACAAUCCCGGGACUGAAGAAGUUGGUAGGUGACAAAGUCGUUGUGUGUCAUAAGGAGAACUAUCCCUAUGCUGUGUUUCUCUGCCAUGCAAUAAAACAAACAGAAGCUUAUGUUCUCUCCCUGAAAGCCGAUGAUGGGAUGAAGGUGAAAGCAGUAACCAUCUGCCAUCUAGACACAUCAGAAUGGGACCCAGAGCAUUUGUCCUUCCAAAUCCUCAACGUUAAGCCCGGAACCACUCCCAUCUGCCAUUUCCUUUCCACUGAUGCUAUUGCCUGGGUUCCAAAACACAAAUCUGCAUGAUCAUCACUUAGCACUGUACGUAUAAUAAGCUUGGUCGGGUUGCACCCUAGGCCUGCAUAAUUAUCUCCCUACUUAUUUCUGCCUCUUCAUCAUGCGGUGUAAGAUAUAUGAUGAGAUGAAGUUUUCUCUUGUAACUAUGUAGACUACUUCAACUUGUACUCAUAAUAAAGCACGCUGUUGGGGGGUUCUACUUAAUUUCGUUCUCUCCAAUGUUUGAGUGUUGAAUUGUUACGUUGGAAUAGGCUGCUAAUGCAUGUAGUUAGAGAAGCCUUCAUUUAUAUCAAAGUCCUCAAACUAUCAAGAAUUAAUGUAUCCAGAAACAUAUACCAAGACGCAAAACAACAUAUUUUCCAUUCUCUGUCUGUAACACCAAGGCAAACUUCCUUUAUCACAUCAUUUAAAGGAUCAAAUUCCAGUACUAAUCUAAUCCAUCAUGUAAAGCAUACAAGUGCCUACCUAAAUUUGUCCAUUGGAUAUAUAUGUCACUUUUUAUUUUUUGAUAGAGAUAUAAAUGUUGAGAAAAUUAGAGUACACAACUCCAAUAUAGACUUGUUGGAGACAAAACAAGUAAACAAAUUACUUGUAUUAGACUCACAAAAUAUUACAACAAGACAACUCUCAAAGAAAAGACAAACUCUCACACUUCUCACAAGGACUACUUAACUUUAUAGCUUAUUGCAUAUAGCAUAUGCAAACACAAUUAGAACAUACCUACGUACACUAUGGGAACACUCGUGUAUAUUUGAACACAAGAAAACAUGUGCGCACCGUGCACGGUUCACAUGAAGUAAGAAAUGAAGAGGAAAUAAAGAAGAAGAAUACAAAAGAAAAUGGAGAUGAGAAAAAAAAAACACGAAUAAUGAAAAAUGAAUUGACAAUUAUAUAUGGUUGACAUUAGAUCUAAUAUUAUAUGUAAUAACUAAUGAUCUAAAAUAAACAUUAAAUCAAACAAUAAUUAAAAGAUUUGACAAUAUAAAAAUUUACACGUCAGCAAACUCACCAUGGUAAGUUUGCUGACGUGUAAAAAUUGUGAAUGGACUACAUCGAAAAAUAAUUGGCUUACAUCAAAAAUUAAAAUCACGUGGGUUAUUCCUAAGAAACCUUAAUAUUUUUAGGUUUAUAUAUUUUUUGUAUUUAAAAAAAAAAAAAAAAAGAGAAAUCUGACCAUGUAUGUAUGAUGAUGAUAUGCAUGUUAUUUUUAGACCUAAGGUAAAACAGACAAACUUUUUACUCCAUUUUUCAUGAGGUUUAUCACAAUAAUUAAACUGUUAUAUCCUCCAUUUUAGAUCUCAUGCUUCCAUUUAAAGAAAAGAAUAUCAACAACAAAAAAAGAAUAAAGUUACAACAUUGAUCAAUUCAAAUGUCCAACUACCGGAUCAUGAGCCCUUGCACUUAGCGAUAUGCAGAUAAAUGCGUAGUGUCUUAAUGCAGAAGCUCGGGAUCCCCAAUUACCAUUGAAACAUAAGAAACUAAAAUCUGCAAGAAAAUGCUAUCAAUUGAAAAAACAAUAAUUAAAAAACAAAAAAAGGAAGGGAAUUCGCACCCGCUAUGCAAAAAAGAGCAAGUCGGUUCAAUGAUUUUUUUCUUCUUCUUUUUGUUAUGGAAAUGAAAAGCUCAAUGAUGGGCUAUAUAUAGGAAGAAGCUCAAUGAUUGAAUUAUUAUCUUCUAUCUACAUUCUACCCUCUUCCUCGCUACAUACACAAAUGGUGCACACCAGUAACUAAGCUUGUUUUGGGUUUGGUGGCCCACUGUAAAAGCUCAAUGGAGAUGGUUUGAGGUAGAAUUUUCUCCUAUUUCAAUAGGACAAUGAUGAGAUCUAUGUAACAACAAAUUUCUUUAAUAAUGAUAACUAAAAAAAGUGUGAUUCAUUGAAUAUUUGCGGGGUUUUGUUCUAAGUCAACACCUCAAAUUCCUUUUACACCAUCAAAUUCAAAAAGUUUUAUUCAACCAUCUCGACCUUAUGCUAAAAAUUUAUUUUGUUCAUACUUAACGUACUAGGUAUUUAUUUUAUACCAACGAGUACGAUGGUCCAUAUAAGUAUUCUAAUCAUUCACUCCAGUUGCAGGCCCCAAUAAUUUAGAAGGGCCGAAGGUCUUUCUUUUUUUCUUUUUUCUUUUUUGAGAAAUUCUAUGAUUGCAUUCAUAAUUCAGGCAAAAAAGUCACUAGCCACAAAAGGGCCAGUACAACAACGGAGCGGUCUAAUAUCAAAAUUAAGACAAUCUAGUGUGUCUCCACUAACGAUCAGGCGAGCCGAUGGUCUUUCAUUGGAUGAAAGCUUCUAUCUACCGACCCCACUAUAUGAACUAUGCAAUGGUGAUGAUGUUACAUUGCAAAAAAUAAAAAGUCAAGGUUUCUUAUUAAUGUUAAUGAAGGCAUAGCAAAAAAUUUAUAGCUCCAAUGGUUCAAAGCAGUUACCCAUGCACUUGAGAUUCUGUGUUUGAAUGCCCUCUCCCCUAAUAUUGCUUGUAUAAAAAUAAAAACUUCUAAAAAGACAUUAAUAUUGUAUUCUAUAUUCUAUAAAGUGUUGGACAUGUCUUAUAUUGUUGACAACCCCCUAACACUUUGGUGGUGCCUAGUUAUAUUCAAUUCGUAUGUAUUUAAUUUGCCACUUACAUUCUUUCCUUAAUACAUUUAGGCUUAUUUUUAUACUAAUUUCUCUAACAUAACUUUUGCACAUUCUUUUAGUCUCUAAUAUAUAUAUUUUCUAAUAAAUAAUCAAGAUCUAAUAAAUAAUCUUACUCACUUGAGUUAUAAACUAUUUUCUUUUAGCACAGAAAAUCGACAUUUUGACAGAGAGUUGAAAACGACUCCCCAAUUUUAAUGUCAACCACUUGAAAAAAAAAACAUAAAUUUAAUGAAAACAAUUACAUUUAGCAAUGCAACCUAAAAACUCAACCUUUGCGCCCCUUUCACAACGUAGAUAGCAAGGUGAGGAUAUUCGGAUAAGAACCAAGACAGAAGCCAAAGGAACUGCGAUAGCCAACCAGAGUCUCCAUUUCUUACCAUUUGAACAACGCCACCAUUUUGUUUGGUAAGUAUUUAAUAACAUUUCUUGCUCUACAUAAAGUAAUAUUAAAACGGAAUUUGCCUAAAUUUUUCUUACCAGCAAUCCAUAUGGACAAAAAUAAAAUAAAAUAAAUAAAUUUACAAUUAUACUCAAUAUAGGAGCCCAAAUUAUUUAUAAUUAAAAAAACUUAUAUGAAAUGGACUUUAGAAACACACUUAAAACCUAUUUACAACAAAACAAAAAAACGUUUAACUUCUUUUAAAUUACAAAACUAUCAUUGAUUUCUUAAACAAACCCAACCCAAAAACUUCAUUAAAAAAAAAAAGCUCAAAAUAUUAGACUCACAAAAUAUUACAACAAGACAACUCUCAAAAAAAAGACAAACUCUCACACUUCUCACAAGGACUACUUAACUUUAUAGCUUAUUGCAUAUAGCAUAUGCAAACACAAUUAGAACAUACCUACGUACACUAUGGGAACACUCGUGUAUAUUUGAACACAAGAAAACAUGUGCACCGUGCACGGUUCACAUGAAGUAAGAAAUGAAGAGGAAAUAAAGAAGAAGAAUACAAAAGAAAAUGGAGAUGAGGAAAAAAAAAACACGAAUAAAUGAAAAAUGAAUUGACAAUUAUAUGUGGUUGACAUUAGAUCUAAUAUUAUAUGUAACAACUAUUGAUCUAAAAUAAACAUUAAAUCAAACAAUAAUUAAAAGAUUUGACAAUAUAAAAAUUUAUUGAGGACAAAAAAAGGCAAAAACUUAUGAAAAAUGGAAACAAUAAAUAUGAACUGAGUCAUCAACUCACCAUGGUAAGUUUGCUGACGUAUAAAAAUAGUCAAUGGACUACAUCGAAAAGUAAUUGGCUUACAUCAAAAAUUAAAAUCACGUGGUCUACCUACUAUAUAGGAUGAAAAAAUUAGGUGAACAAUAUACUUACACCAUGGGAACACUCCUAUAUAUUUGAACACAUGAACACGUGUUCAAGGUUAUAUAUUUCAUUACCUUCACAAUAGGUACCAAACCGUACCAUGCGAACAUUCAUAUACGCACAACAUACUUAUAACAUACCUACACUAUGGGAACACUCGUGUAUAUUUGAAAACAAGAAGACCUGUGCACCACCGUGCACGGUUCACAUGAAGUAAGAAGAUGAAGAGGAAAUAAAGAAGAAGAAUACAAAAGAAAAUGGAGAUGAGAAGAAGAAAAAAAAACACGAAUAAUGAAAAAUGAAUUGACAAUUAUAUAUGGUUGACAUUAGAUCUAAUAUUAUAUGUAACAACUAAUGAUCUAAAAUAAACAUUAAAUUAAACAAUAAUUAAAAGAUUUGACAAUAUAAAAAUUUACACGUCAGCAAACCCACCAUGGUAAGUUUGCUGACGUGUAAAAAUAGUCAAUGGACUAUAUCGAAAAAUAAUUGGCUUACAUCAAAAAUUAAAAUCACGUGGGUUAUUCCUAAGAAACCUUAAUAUUUUUGGGUUUAUAUAUUUUUUGUAUUUUUUUUUUAAAAAAAGAAAAGAAAUCUGACCAUGUAUGUAUGAUGAUUGUUGGUAAAUUUUAACAACAAUAUUAAAACCUUGCAAGUGCACAAAUCAAAUGAUAGUAUAGUAAGCAAGCAAGGGUCGAUCCCACAGAGAUUGUGAUCUAAAGAGAUGUUUAUCAAUGUCACGCAAUGAAAAUCAAAACAAAGGACUUCCAAACACAAGCCAACACCAAGGGGGGUUUUGAUUUGUUUUUGUGAAUCAAACAAAAUAAGGAAAAGGAAACAAAAGAGAAUUUAAAUUAGAGUUUAAGAGAAAUUGGUUUAAAAACAAUCAAGAACAAUAGCUAGGACUUACUAUCCACCUCCAAACAAUCAAUCAAUCCAUAAACAACAAUAGAUAAUCAAUUUCUAGCAAGCAUAUGAUGACGACACUCACAACAAGAUCAUGGCAUUUGACUCGAGUUGUAUGAUUCUCUCUUAAGUGUAUGUAAAGUGUAUGGCAUUUACAUCAAUACGUGUAUUCUUAAUUAAAAUCUAGUAUGACAUUUACUCAAAUUAACAAUCAAGAAUCCAUUAAGAUCAAAGAGAAUAUGAGUGUCACAAAAACCCUAAAACAUGACAUUUGUUAUUAGGAAUUCAAGAAUCGAUUUCUCAUAACUAGUUCUUAACCCAAUUAUUCGUUGCAAACAAGAACACAUUCAAUAUGGCAAUUGACCUAUGUUCUACAACAAUUUAAUUCCAAUACAUGCUUCUAAGUUAGCUACUCAAAGAAACAAAAUACCAGAAUUCACAUAACAUAGAGAAACCGAAAUCAUCACGCUUGUAGAAACUAAAAAUCCAUUAAACUUGUUUAUAAAAUUGAAAUCAUGUCUAGGGCUUCAAGAUUAAGCCCUAACUAACAAGAAAUUAGUUACUCAUGGUCUUGGAUGAACUCAAAAAUAAAUACAUAAGAACUGAAAAUUAAAAGAAGGAAGGAAAAGAAAGAACUCGUUCGCAGCUUUCUCCUCUUGCGCAGUUGACCUCUUUAGGACGUGAAUCCUUUUUAUCAGGCCUUGGCUCGUCUUUUAUAUCACUUAUAUCAGAGUUCUAAACCCUAAAAUUGACUGAAAAGUCGUCCAAGAAGUCUUGAUAAACAAGGAAUCCAAAUAGGAAAGUAAAAAUCACAAUUCCUAACUCCACUGGGAUAUACAGCUCAGCCCAAUGUUCACACGAUUUGGGGAUCUUCGACCUUGUAGAAAAAUUAUUAAAAAUAUAUUUUAGAAAGAUAAAUGUCUUAUCUUUCCAACAUAUAUAGCACGUAACUUGAAAAAUUUGGAAAGGCUUCCGUUUCUUCACAUUCACGUAACAUGUACGAAACUGUCCUGUCUGCACGUGGGCUAACUUUACUUGUAAUACUGUACCAAUUGGCUCGGUAGAAAAUUCUAGAAAAAUAAUAGAUUGAACUUCAAGAUGUUAGCUUUCAUCUCCAAUUGGUCUUGUGCUAAAAUUCCUCCGAAAAGUUGAUUUUCCCUUAAAAACCUUCUAAGAGCGCAGAAAAGCUGAAAAUCAGAAGAAUAAAGUAAUAAGCCCUUUUUAAAUCUAAUUCUCUUACAAAACCAAAGUAAAAAGAGUACAUAAAUGAGUAUAUUUAUGGACUUAUCAAUGAUGAUAUGCAUGUUAUUUUUAGACCUAAGGUAAAACAGACAAACUUUUUACUCCAUUUUUCAUGAGGUUUAUCACAAUAAUUAAACUGUUAUGUCCUCCAUUUUAGAUCUCAUGCUUCCAUUUAAAGAAAAGAAUAUCAACAACAAAAAAAAUAAUAAAGUUACAACAUUGAUCAAUUCAAAUGUCCAACUACCAGAUCAUGAGGCCCUACACUUAUAGACUACGCAUUUUCUCGUAUUUUGCAAAAUUUAGACCAUUAUAAUAAUCUAACCCCUUCAAAUGUGAAACAUCAUCAAGUUUUUUUUCCUUCACUAAACAGAAGAGUUAAGUUUUAUUUGUGGGUAACUAAACUCUUGUUUAGAGCAUGUUUUUUAUUAUUUUUUUCUUUCUUCUGUGUAAAGUAUAAUGGGUUAGAUUAUUAAUUGUGGGUGACUAAAAUCUUGUUUAACAACAAUAGUUAACGUUUGUUUAGAGAAGAAAAAAAACUUGAUGAUGUGCCAUGUUCUAAAGGAUUAGAUUAUUAUAAUGGCCUAGAUUUAGCGAUAUGCAAAUAAAUGCGUAGUGUCUUAAUGCAGAGGCUCGGGAUCCCCUACUACCAUUGAAACAUAAGAAACUCAAAUCUUCACGAAAAUGCUAUCAAUUGAAAAAACAAUAAUUAAAAAACAAAAAAAGGAAGGGAAUUUGCACCUGCUAUGCAAAAAAGAGCAAGUCGGUUCAAUGAUUUUUUUUCUUCUUCUUUUUGUUAUGGAAAUGAAAAGCUCAAUGAUAGGCUAUAUAUAGGAAGAAAAAAAUGGUGCACACCAGUAACUAAGCUUGUUUUGCGUUUGGUGGCCCACUGUAAAAGCUCAAUGGAUGUAACACCCCGACUCCAAAUUAAAUUCCCUAUCUAAAUUAUUUAAUUUAAUUAAAUAUGGAAUUUCCAAUUUACCCUUGGGGUAGGGGUAUUUUGGUAAUUCUCUUAUCCAGAGAGAUUUUGGAGCAACAAGUGGUAUUUUUAGGUAGAUCAUACUUAGACGAGUCCGUAGAUACGUAGUGGGCUCGAUUCGGAGUUGUAAUGAAGAAGUUACGAUCAAAACAAGUUUUUUUUUUUUUUUUUGGAGAAAUUCUAUAUGAUUGCAUUCAUAAUUCAGCCAAAAAAGCCACUAGCCACAAAUGGUCAAUACAAACUAGCAACAAAAGGGCCAUUACAAUAACGGAGCGGUCUAAUAUCAAAAUUAAGAAAAUCAGGUAUGUCUCCACUAACGAUCAGGCAAGAUCGAAGAAACUCUGGCAUAGGCAUCCCAACUAAGAUUGCAAACUUAGAAUAAUAAAAAAGAGAUAAAGCUUGAAAAAACCAAGCCAUAACAAUACAAAUAAAACUCUCACCAAGGAUAGAUGAAAAGCUGUCACAAAGGAGAAAUGAAAAACUCUCACAAAAGGAGAGGUGAAAACUACACAGACAACCCAAAGAGUCUCUGCAACUUAUUCCAAACAUAAAGAAAAUGCAAAAAAGAUGGUGGUGGAGAUCCGACGCCGAAAUGCAGGUGAAGAUCCAACGUUGAGCCGCAGCCGCCUAUAAUGGUUGGAUGAAAAUCCUAACAAAACUAAGAAAAUAGGGACAACCAUUUAUCUUUGAAAAUGGGGGAAGAGGUGAAAGGAGGAAGAAAGGAAGAGAAGAGGGGAGAGGAGGGAAGAACAAUGGCUUUCUCCCCCUUCAAAGUGGAAAAGGCUCUAAGAGUGUUUUUUGGGAGAAAGGGGGCACGAUCAAAACAAGUUUAAUAGCACAAUCAUAAUUAUUUCGAAGUUGGUUUUUAAUAAAUCAGAAAACACACACACACACACACACACACACACACACACUCUCUCUCUCUCUCUCUCUCUCUCUCUCUCUCUCUCUCUCUCUCUCUCCCGUGCGAUUCUUCCUCCCUCGUCAAACAGCAGCGGUGGUUUUUUCCACCGCCACUGCCACACGCCACCAUACGAGGUGGCACCGGUCCCAAAAGGACACCCAGCUCAUCCUCUUCCAACCCCAGCCAAGCCACGCCGCCAGCAGCAACGAGAUUUGCUGGAAACCGCAGAAAAUCCUGCCGGUUUUUCCUAAACUUCAAACCUCUCGUUCUCUCUCAUUUCUCCACCGAUUUGGAUGUAUAGGGUAUGGAUUUCCACCUAUUUUUCAUGAUCUAGCUGAUGGUAAGGUAGGAUUUCAUUAAUUUUGAGCUUAGGUUAGUUGAUUCUCUAUUUGAAAUUCUGCCGGUUUUGGGAUCGCGUUUUCGGCCAUUUCCGGUCACUUUUUGGGGUAGGCCCAAGAACAAAAGUAACUCCAAAUGGGGUUUUACACCUAGGGUAGGAGUCUGGGCCUGAUAUUUUGAGGUUUUUUCGGCAAGUGUUAUCGCUUUAGACACCCACGCACUGCCCGUGCGUGGGCACUGUAGCAAAGGUGCAUUUUUACCCCAAUGUGUUCCCCUACUUGUCACGAGUUCGUGGGUGUGCUCGGAUUCCAAUUCGUAUAUCGUUUGACUAUCGAACAGAUUUACGCCUAUUGUGUGUCAUCCGGGUUCAAUUUGUUCGGACCGUUGGAUCGAGUUCAAAUUAAUAUAUGUUGAUCUAGGCACUCCUAGGAUCGUGUAGGAAUUCACGGAUCGUGAAUCGAAGCCCCGGAUGUUCCUAUUCAAUAACUUAAAAUUUGUGUUAAACGAUAACCGUCCGAUCGUGCAAUCGCGAGCGAUCCGACUGCUCGAUCGAGACCAAACUCUUGGGAUGUGUUUAGGAAACUCUGUUGGACCUUUAGGAACUUUUGGAUUGUAAUUGGGAGGUUGUGGGCCCCGUGGGCCAGGUUGAUUAUCGGUUGACUAAUUUGACUAGUGGGACCGGAUAGUUGACCACGAGUCUUUGGAGAACAUUUUGUCUCUUGUUAAGUACUAAGAUGGCCUUAGGGUUUUACAAGGACGUGCACCCCCUGUGAGUCCUGAGAGUUAGGAUUUUGAAUUAAAGUUCAGUGUUGGAUUUGAGUAUUCAGUUAAUCUUGGUAUUCUCUCAAAUAGGUUCUUUGGCGCUAGGAAUCGUUCUUGACAAAACCGCGGAGGGUUGAAUGCGCUUUGGACCGUGUGUGAGUAGACAUUUAUUUUCUAAAUGGUUUUAUGAAACUCUUGGAUUGUGAUUAUAAUUUGUGUUGUUUUAUGGAUUUGAUGAUUUAUGGUUAUUAGUUUUCUAAUAGAAUAUUAUGCAUAUUCGAAUUUAGUUUGAAAACUAUUUUGAAAGAAUUAUAAAUGGUUUGAAUCAAAUAAUGAAAUUGGGGUUUUAUCUCGGUUUUAAAGAGAAUUUUGAUUAAUUAAUUAAUUAUAAUGCAUACUUGGAACUUUAUUUGGUUUUGAAAGAUUUGUGUUUUAUUUGAGAUAACUAAGAAGGGAUUUGAGAAACAGUGUGGUAAAUAGGGAUUUGUGGAAAAAAGAAAAGAAAAAAAAAAGGGCUUUUAUGAUUAAGUGUUGGAAUUGGAUUUCAAACCCACCCUAGAAACCUAUCCCUGGUUGCCUACAAAAUGUAUGAGAUGCCUUGGGAAUAAAUGAGUUGCCUCGGAAAAGAUAAAAAUGGUUGCCUUUGGAAAAAGUGUAAUAAGUUUCCUUCGGAAAUUAUGGUUGCCUUCGGUUAAGUCUGUGCACAUAACUAAGAUUGUCUAUACCUACAUAGAGACUACUCUGUAGGUAUCCGGCCAGAGUAUAUUGUCUGUACCUGUGUUGACUAUGCAGGUGUCCGGCCAGUGAUUUGCCUGUACCUACAUAGAGAUUACUUUGUAGGUGUCCGGCCAGUAUUUUGCCUGUACCUGCUUAUGUGGUUGUUCGGCCAGGAUUUUCCCACUACACCUAUCUGAUUGUCUAUAUAGGUGGUUGAUGUAACACCCAGACUCCAAAUUUAACUCUUAUUUAAAUUAUUUAAUUAUUUAAGGGGAAUUACAAAUUUACCCUUGAGAUAAGGGCAUUUUGGUUAUAUUCUUAACCGGAGAGAGUUUGGGGUAGGUCCAAGAACAAAAGUGGCUCCAAAUAGGGUGUUAUACCUAGGGUAGGAGUUUGGAGCCGUGGUUUUGAGAUUUUCCGGCGAAGCUUUAUCGCUUUGGGCACCCACGCGCUGCCGGUGAGUGCGGCGGCGCAUGGGCACUGUAGAAAAAGUGGCAUUGUGUCUCGAUGAGAUCCUUAGGUUGUCACGAGUGCGUAGGAUUUCGCGGAUCUCAAUUUGGACGUCGUUUGACUAUCGAACGAAUAUCGCCUAUUGUGCGUUAUCCGGGUUCGAUAGGUUGGGACCGUUGGAUGGUCCCAAAUUUAAUACAUGUUAAUCUAGGUAUUUCUAGGAUCGUGUAGGAAUUCACGGAUUGUGAAUCGGAGCCCUGGAUGUUCCAAAUAAGAAUUUUAAGUUUAUAUUUUAUAUUAACCGUCAGAUCGUGCGAUCGUGAGCGAUCCGACCGUCAGAUCGUGCGAUCGUGAGUGAUCCGACCGUCCGAUAUGAACCAAACUUGCAGGACGAGUGUCCUAUACCUUGUAAAACCCAUAGGGACUUUCGGAUCGGAAAUUGGAGGUCGUGGGCUCCGCAGGUCCGUUUGACCAGGGUUAAGGUAGUUUGACCCUUGGUUGACUGUGAGUCUCCCGGAGUAAAUCUCACCUACUUUUCAUGCUCUAGCUGCCUGUUGGGUAAGAUUGGAUCGAUUCUUAGCGUAGCCAAUUCGAUUUUCGAAUUGAAAUUCGGCCGAUUUUGGGAUCGCGAUUCCGGCCACUUCCGGUCAGUUUUUGGGAAAUGUCCAAUUUAUAGAGGAGACUCUGCCAAAAUUUCGGCAGGAAGUCUCGGUCUUUAGUAAGUGGGCCUGGCAUCGGGAUGAUGUCGGGAAUUCCAAAGGGUUUGCCUCGGGUUCUGAAAAAUUCGGGGCGGGUCCUUUCAGUUGAUCAGUUUUCCCCUAUUCUCGGUUACCUCAGUAUAUUGUCUGUACUUGUAUCACAAAUGCGAGUGUCCGGCCAGUGAUUUUUUCCCAGGAUGUUCCCCUGCCACCCUGCCGAUUUAUUACACAGGGUAGGCCAGUUAUUUUCCCCAUAGGUGUACUUGCAUGGAGAGAUUUCGUAUAACUUGGUUUGAGAUUGGAUUUUUGGAUGAUUUGUGUUUGAGCUUGCUUGAUUUAUUGGAUUCAAAUGAUGUUUUGAAACUGGAUUUUUAUGAAAUUAUAUUUUGAGUUGUAUUGGAUUUAAAUGUUAUUUGAAGUACAAAUUUGGGUCAAUGAUAUUUUAUUUACUAGAGUUUAUUUUACUUGCACAUGUAUUGAUUAUAUUUUGUUCCUGUAUAUAUACUUAUGUGUAUUAAUGAGUUUUCCAAAGGUUUGCAAAAACAGAGGGGUUAGUAUGUUCUGUAUAAUUACUUUCAAGAAAAACUUUCUUUUUGUCUACUCAUGCUUUUACUGUUUUGUGCCCCCAUGAAGUAGAUAGCUCAGCGUUCGGACAUCUACAUAAGCUACUCCGACGUCGGUGAAGUCCUUAUAAUUCUAAGUAUGAGACUUCAUCUUUCGUUCUCAUGGUUCAUUUGGAAAAUAAUUUUGUAAAUUCAACUUCUGUAGUUGCUCUGAUAUUUCCCACUUAGGAUUGAAAUUGAGGCCGGAGGCCAUGUGAAUUUUAUGUGUGCCUUAACUUGUGUGUGCUGCCUGUUGAGAUUAUUAGAUUGUCGGUAAUUGCAGGUGUUAAUUUGGAGAAAGUCCAUUUUAGAGAGGAGACUUUACCGAAAAUUUCGGUAGAAGUCUCGACCCUUUUAUCUUAAAAGUUUGGGUGAAAGGUGUAAAUUUAGUAGUGGGUCCGGCAUCUCUUAGGUGUCGGUCAGAUAGCAGGAUUCGACACGAGUUCCAAUGGGAAAUUCGGGUCGGGUCCUGUUAAUGGAGAUGGUUUGAGGUAGAAUUUUCUCCUAUUUCAAUUGGACAAUGAUGAGCUCUAUGUAACAACAAAUUUCUUUAAUAAUGAUAACUAAAAAAAGUGUGAUUCAUUGAAUAUUUGAGGGGUUUUGUUCUAAGUUAACACAUCAAAUUCCUUUUACACCAUCAAAUUCAAAAAAUUUAUUCAACCAUCUCGACCUUAUGCUAAAAAUUUAUUUUGUUCAAACGUAACGUACUAGGUAUUUAUUUUAUAUCAACGAGUACGAUGGUCCAUAUAAGUAUUCUAAUCAUUCACUCCAGUUGCAGGCCCUAAUAAUUUAGAAGGGCUGAUGGUCUUUUUUUUUUUUUUUUUUUUUGGUUGAGAAAUUCUAUGAUUGCAUUCAUAAUUCAGCCAAAAAAGUCACUAGCCAAAAAAGGUUGUUACAAUAACAGAGCGGUCUAAUAUCAAAAUUAAGACAAUCUGGUAUGCCUCCACUAACAAUCAAGCGGGCCAAUGAUCUUUCAUUUGAUGAAAGCUUCUAUCUACCGACCCCGCUAUAUGAACUAUGCAAUGGUGAUGGUGUUACAUUGCUAAAAACAAAAAGUCAAGGUUUCUUAUUAAUGUUAAUGAAGGCAUAGCAAAAAAUUUGUAGCUCCAAUAGUUCAGAGCAGUUACCCAUGCACUUGAAAUUCUGUGUUUGAAUGCCCUCUCCCCUAAUAUUGCUUGUAUAAAAAUAAAAACUUCUAAAAAGACAUUAAUAUUGUAUUCUAUAUUCUAUAAAGUGUUGGACAUGUUUUACAUUGUUGACAACCCCUUAACAUUUUGGUGGUGCCUAGUUAUAUUCAAUUCGUAUGUAUUUAAUUUGCCACUUACAUUCUUUCCUUAAUACAUUUAGGCUUAUUUUUAUACUAAUUUCUCUAACAUAACUUUUGCACAUUCUUUUAGUCUCUAAUAUAUAUAUUUUUUAAUAAAUAAUCUUACCCACUUGAGUUAUAAACUAUUUUCUUUUAGCACAGAAAAUUGACAUUUUGACAAAGAGUUGAAAACCACUCCCCAAUUUUAAUGUCAACCACUUGAAAAAAAAAACAUAAAUUUAAUGAAAACAAUUACAUUUAGCAAUGCAACCUAAAAACUCAACCUUUGCCCCCCUUUCGCAACCCAGAUAGCAGGGUGAGGAUAUUCGGAUAAGAACCAAGACAGAAGCCAAAGGAACUGCGAUAGCCAACCAGAGGCUCCAUUUCUUACCAUCUGAACAACGCCACCAUUUUGUUUGGUAAGUAUUUAAUAACAUUUCUUGCUCUACAUAAAGUAAUAUUAAAACGAAAUUUGCCUAAAUUUUUCUUACCAGCAAUCCAUAUGGAAAAAGAAAAAAAGAAAAAAGAAAAAUACAAUUAUACUCAAUAUAGGAGCCCAAAUUAUUUAUAGUUAAAAAAUCCCUAUAUGAAAUGAACUUUAGAAACACACUCAAAACCUAUUUACAACAAAACAAAAAGACUUUUAACUUCUUUUAAAUUACAAAACUAUCAUUGAUUUCUUAAACAAACCCAACCCCAAAACCUCAUAAAUAAAAAAAGCUCAAAAUACUCAAUAAAACAUCAAAGUAAUUUAAUAAUUAAAAUUAAAUUCAAUAGGGACAUCUGUUAUUUUUUGGGUUUUUUUGUUUGUUUAUAGAAAUUAAAUGAUGUAGAAUCUAUCUAUAUUAUUAGUGCUAAGAAUGGAUAUGUGACUAUAUAACUCAAAAAAAAUUUAUAGUAAAUCUACAAUUUUUUUUUAAACAAAAAUCUAUAGAAUCUUUUAUUAGAUCAAUAAUCAAUAGUCACUACUAGAAAAUCUUCAUAUAAGCCACUAAUACACCCGUAACUUAUACAAAUGUGAGCUACUGACAAACCUGUAGCCAAAGAGUAUUGGCCACCUACCACACGACAGUGGUCCAAGCAUAAUGUUGUCAUUCAUUAUUCCCCACAGCAACCAGCAUCCAAUAAAGGGCUGGGCCCCACCCAUAUUCCACCUCUCUUUGUGAAUAUAAAAGAAAUAUUUUUUAUUCAACAUGGACGCAGAAACUGUUGCUAAACUGCAAACUUCUUAAAAUAUUUGUCUCACUUUCUAGAUCCAUGUACUGAGAUUUAUUAGGGAAAUAUUGUAGAAACUGAUUAUUUUGAAAUAUUAAAUGUGAAAAACUGAACAAAAAUUUGAUGGAUUACAUAUUUCAACUCAUUUCAGCAGCUUAGAUUUUGAAGACCUCUGAAGAGGCUAUGCAAUGAGCCUGGCUAUAGUACACUGUUGAUCACUUCAGUGUCUACCGAUCUGUAAUUUUUCCAGAUUGGUUAUAUUUUCCUUUACAUAUGUAUGCUUAUAUUAUUCCCAGCUGUAAGUGUUUUAGCAACAGGGUUACAAACUUCUUCUACAACACACCAACAUGAAUCUAGCCCUGAUCCACUCUUCACAUACUUGAAAACAAAACAAAACACGAAAAACAAAAAACAAGAUAGGGAGAAAAUGGCCUUGAUCAAUAACAGAGAUAAUAGAGUACACUGUUUAGGGUGAGUAUCAGAAGAAUAAUAGCCGCAAAGAGAGAAAUAGCUGCCCAAGGUGUGUUGAAAUACUUUUGUCUCAAAUUUGCCUUCCAUCUGUUCGUGGUCUUCUUGCAGUACUCGUUUAGUUUGCCAGCAAGAUCACCAAAAUAGUAGUUUUCGGAGCAACUUUACUGCAAAGCUUGUUAAUCAUAAUGGAAACCUGAUUGUUGUCACCUAGCGUGUUUACAACAAUUCCAUUGUCAACAAGCAACUCUACAUCCUUUGGGGUGUUUACAAAUUUAUCCAGGAUGAAAACAUAAUCGCUUAUGUAUUUAUCCACGCAAUGGCAUUGUUCAAAGGCAAUGAGAUUUCUAUGUGUAAGCUCUGUGUAAUCAUGUAUUUCAAUUUUUGGAAUUUCCAAGGUGUUUUUCUUGAACUGUAUAUCGAAUAAGUUCUUGCUUGAUCCCACGUUAAACUUAACUCCGGCCUGGUGUAGUUUUGUCAUGCUGGGUGUACUUUGGAGCCCUACAUUUUCUUUUAGGGUCGGAUCUGGCAGAUGUAAAGGUUUUUUAGGAUCAGGUGGCAUAAAAGACUUACGGAAGGCUGGUGAGUUCUCCAAGUUUUUUCUAAACGGAAGAACCUGUAAGAGAGUUCAAUUAUUGAAGGCUCCCCAGUCUGAGCAGCUGUGAGAUUGUAAAGAUCCUCGAGAAUGAAAAAUGGCAGCUGAUUUUCGAGCAUAAGCAUGUCAGGCAAUAUAUUUUGUGGCACCCAUGGUUUUUUAAAUAUCCAAGCAUUAUCAUCCUGCAAUUUUUCUUCCUGAAAUUUUUCUUCGGAUUUAUUCCUCAACAAUAGCUCAAUGACAAAGGCGGCGUCAACUAGAAUGAUAUUCACAAAAGCAGCAAUGUUAAAACUUCUUAGUGUCUUCAUAACAAUGACGGAGAUCACCUUCUCUCUCCUUUAUUUUCUCUAAAUAAUCCUUCAAUCCUACUACUUUAGUCCGAUUAAGAAAGCAUUUUAGGUACCUGAGUUUGUGAUCUUCCAUGGCUUCUAAGUUUUUGCUGGCAUGGUGAAGUGGGUCUAUUGAGACUACUUGUGGUGUGUAGGCCUUUUGUUUUACGUUCCGUAGUCGCUCAGGCACCCUGUAGAUCCAGCAGGCAGGGGACAGGGCACGCAAGUUUGUCAACCGAUUUUCCAUGGAAGUUGCUUGGUUUUCUAUGUCAAAAGAAGCUUCAUUGCUGCUUUCUUCCACUUUCUUCAUCCCCGUAUGUGUUGUUCUGAUUGUAAGUGACGAGGAUGGUGAUGAUUCUAGACACCAUAAUCAACAAAUGUUUCAAUCAUAAUUGACAUUUCAAGAUGCUCCGACAAAAAAUUAGAAAACAUUCAUCACACAAUGCGAACUCAUACAAUAGAUGGGUUGAGAAGAUCCACACAUUGCAAUCAUACAAUCCAAUUGCACAGGGAUUAGUCCCUAUUCUCCUCUCUCUCUCUCUCUCUCUCUCUCUCUCUCUCUCUCUCUCUCUCUCUCAAAAAGAUUUUCAUAUCGAUAACAUCUUAUUGCAAGGGACUGGUACAUCAAGUAGUGAAGAACAGAAAUUCAUAUUCUUUCAAUCAAAAUGUAUAAAUUUUGAAAAAGUUUGUUUUAUUUUUGGGGGAAAAAAAUCUGAACAUAUAUGUAUGUGCAUAUUAUACGUAGAUCUAAGGUGAAAACAGACCAGAUUUUUACUCCAUUUUUCAUGAGGUUUAAGUUCAUGAUGUAUAUAUUUAUCUCAAGUGUAACAUCUCACAUCGAUCAACGGAGAUGAGGUGAUGUGUCUUAUAUGUACAUGCUCGCCUCCAUCUAGCACAAGGCCUUUUGGGAGAUCACUGGCUUCGGAGUCAUAGGAACUCCGAAGUUAAGCGAGUUGGGGUUAGAGCAAUCCCAUAAUGGGUGACUCACUGGGAAGUUGCUCUUGAGUUCCCAAAAACAAAACUGUGAGGACAGAGAGGGGGGCCCAAAGCGGCCAAUAUUAUUCUACGGCAGAGCCGAUCCUGGGAUGUGACAAUUUGGUAUUAGAGCCACACUGCCGUGUGGUGCGAGUGUGCCGAAGAGGACGUUGGGCCCUUGAGGGGGGUGGAUUGUAACAUCUCACAUCGACCAACAGCGAGGGAGUGAUGUGCCUUAUAUGUACAUGCCCGCCUUCAUCUAGCACGAGGCCUUUUAGGAGCUCACUCACUUCGGAGCCAUAGGACCACCAUCCCAAGUUCAAUAUACAACCCAACAACCAUCUUAGCCAUCUUCUCAUUGAUCUUCCACCCAGCAUCCAACACUAUCUUCAUAAACUCUUUAGCUUAAUAUCUCUGUUGCUUUUGUUUUUUGUUUUUUUUAAUUUAAAUUUUUUAGUUUUUUUUUUUGGUUGGUGCAGAUUCAAUGAUAAAGAACAUCGAACUCGUCGCAACAUCCUGCCCUAGAUCCGAACUCUACCACCAUCACAACCCUCCCUCUCUCGAUCUCCAACCAACCUUAACACCCAACUUCAAAUCUUGGUUGUUUGAAACUCAGCCCCCUUCUCAAACCCCACCCUCUCUCUCUCUCUCUCUCUCUCUCUCUCUCAAAAUCAACAAGAUUUUCAUGUCAAUAAGAUAAGAUCUCAUUGCAAGUGACUUGUAGAUGAAGUGGGAAAGAACAAAAAGUCAUAUUCUUCCAAUCAAAACGUAUCAAGUCUAACAAAAUUUCUAGUUAGUUUGCUUUAUGAUAGUUGUUUUUUGAAGGGGUCCUUAGAUCCAAUCUCAAAAAGUUUGACUUUUAUUAUGUUUAACUCUGGUUUUUGCAAAUUUUUUUUUUUAUCUCUACCCACUAACUUUUAUCUCUCAUUUUUAUUACCCAUUUUACCCUUUAAAAUAAAUAUGGUAAUAAACUAAAAAUUCUGAUUCAAUGCAUGUUCAUAAGAGAAUUAAGGCCCCGUUUGGGAUUGCUUUUUUUCGUCAAAAACUUGUUUCACUUUAAAGUUAAGCAGUUUAAGGUGUUUGGUAAAAAUAAAAUAUCCUGAUUAUUUUAAAAGCAGUGGCCUUUUGACAGCUGCUUUUAAAAGCAGGUUCUGGGUUGCUUUUCAAAGCUGCUUUCAAAAGAAGCAAAGAUGAACUUUUAAUGAAUGUUUUUUAAUUCCCAAAAUACAAUCAUUCAUUUUAAAAAAUGACACCACCUCCACUUCCACAUCCAACUCCACCACUUGCACCACCACAUUCACUACCUCCACAACCACCGCCAUUACCACCACCACCACAUCCUUCUCCUCCUCAUCCUCCGCCACCACCACCAGAAGCAGAUCCAGAAAUUUUUCAGGAGAGGGGCAAUAAUGAUUUUGAUACUGCCCAAUUAAAAACAUAUUAUGAAAACCAGACCCUUAGUUAAUUUAAAGAUUAAUUAGCACGAUAAAAUAAAUACAUAAUUAAUAAUAAAAAUAUAUUAUCACAGUGAAAGAUUAGAUCAACAAACAAGUAGUAUCAAUCAAAUCCUAAUUAAACAAAAACUCUAAUAUCAAAGUGUGAUUUGAGAUCAUUGUGCAAGGACUCUUCUUCGUUGUUGUUUUUUAUUAUUUAAUUUUUUUGACAGAUGGGCUUCUUCAAAUUGGGAGCAUUGAGGUAAGCCUUUUGGUAUUACAUUAUUAUUAUUAUUAUAAUGAAAUAUUUAUUAUAACAACCAAGUAAUUGAAGCCAAACAAUGAAUCUUGAAACGGUUUGCACAAAAAACGAAGAGUUUGAAUUUUUGAAAAACACUUCAUUUAAACCAUUAAACAUAGAUCAAGGACGACGCCGUUUGUGACAAAUAAAAAUAGGGUUGUCUUCUUCAUUCGUGAACCAGAGCCUCCAUCAGGACACACCUCUACAACUCCUCCUCUACAACACAGUGUGUGCCUCAAUCGUGUAACUUGCCAUUUGCGAUUCAGGAGGCCUUAGAUCGUCGCACUCACGAGAUGCGCCUUGAUACACUUUUAAACGCUAGANNNNNNNNNNNNNNNNNNNNNNNNNNNNNNNNNNNNNNNNNNNNNNNNNNNNNNNNNNNNNNNNNNNNNNNNNNNNNNNNNNNNNNNNNNNNNNNNNNNNNNNNNNNNNNNNNNNNNNNNNNNNNNNNNNNNNNNNNNNNNNNNNNNNNNNNNNNNNNNNNNNNNNNNNNNNNNNNNNNNNNNNNNNNNNNNNNNNNNNNNNNNNNNNNNNNNNNNNNNNNNNNNNNNNNNNNNNNNNNNNNNNNNNNNNNNNNNNNNNNNNNNNNNNNNNNNNNNNNNNNNNNNNNNNNNNNNNNNNNNNNNNNNNNNNNNNNNNNNNNNNNNNNNNNNNNNNNNNNNNNNNNNNNNNNNNNNNNNNNNNNNNNNNNNNNNNNNNNNNNNNNNNNNNNNNNNNNNNNNNNNNNNNNNNNNNNNNNNNNNNNNNNNNNNNNNNNNNNNNNNNNNNNNNNNNNNNNNNNNNNNNNNNNNNNNNNNNNNNNNNNNNNNNNNNNNNNNNNNNNNNNNNNNNNNNNNNNNNNNNNNNNNNNNNNNNNNNNNNNNNNNNNNNNNNNNNNNNNNNNNNNNNNNNNNNNNNNNNNNNNNNNNNNNNNNNNNNNNNNNNNNNNNNNNNNNNNNNNNNNNNNNNNNNNNNNNNNNNNNNNNNNNNNNNNNNNNNNNNNNNNNNNNNNNNNNNNNNNNNNNNNNNNNNNNNNNNNNNNNNNNNNNNNNNNNNNNNNNNNNNNNNNNNNNNNNNNNNNNNNNNNNNNNNNNNNNNNNNNNNNNNNNNNNNNNNNNNNNNNNNNNNNNNNNNNNNNNNNNNNNNNNNNNNNNNNNNNNNNNNNNNNNNNNNNNNNNNNNNNNNNNNNNNNNNNNNNNNNNNNNNNNNNNNNNNNNNNNNNNNNNNNNNNNNNNNNNNNNNNNNNNNNNNNNNNNNNNNNNNNNNNNNNNNNNNNNNNNNNNNNNNNNNNNNNNNNNNNNNNNNNNNNNNNNNNNNNNNNNNNNNNNNNNNNNNNNNNNNNNNNNNNNNNNNNNNNNNNNNNNNNNNNNNNNNNNNNNNNNNNNNNNNNNNNNNNNNNNNNNNNNNNNNNNNNNNNNNNNNNNNNNNNNNNNNNNNNNNNNNNNNNNNNNNNNNNNNNNNNNNNNNNNNNNNNNNNNNNNNNNNNNNNNNNNNNNNNNNNNNNNNNNNNNNNNNNNNNNNNNNNNNNNNNNNNNNNNNNNNNNNNNNNNNNNNNNNNNNNNNNNNNNNNNNNNNNNNNNNNNNNNNNNNNNNNNNNNNNNNNNNNNNNNNNNNNNNNNNNNNNNNNNNNNNNNNNNNNNNNNNNNNNNNNNNNNNNNNNNNNNNNNNNNNNNNNNNNNNNNNNNNNNNNNNNNNNNNNNNNNNNNNNNNNNNNNNNNNNNNNNNNNNNNNNNNNNNNNNNNNNNNNNNNNNNNNNNNNNNNNNNNNNNNNNNNNNNNNNNNNNNNNNNNNNNNNNNNNNNNNNNNNNNNNNNNNNNNNNNNNNNNNNNNNNNNNNNNNNNNNNNNNNNNNNNNNNNNNNNNNNNNNNNNNNNNNNNNNNNNNNNNNNNNNNNNNNNNNNNNNNNNNNNNNNNNNNNNNNNNNNNNNNNNNNNNNNNNNNNNNNNNNNNNNNNNNNNNNNNNNNNNNNNNNNNNNNNNNNNNNNNNNNNNNNNNNNNNNNNNNNNNNNNNNNNNNNNNNNNNNNNNNNNNNNNNNNNNNNNNNNNNNNNNNNNNNNNNNNNNNNNNNNNNNNNNNNNNNNNNNNNNNNNNNNNNNNNNNNNNNNNNNNNNNNNNNNNNNNNNNNNNNNNNNNNNNNNNNNNNNNNNNNNNNNNNNNNNNNNNNNNNNNNNNNNNNNNNNNNNNNNNNNNNNNNNNNNNNNNNNNNNNNNNNNNNNUACAAACCACAACCACCAACUCCACGUUCAUCACCACCACUACCUCCACUCCACCACUACCAUUACUACUACCACAACAUGAUUAGUACAUAACACUUUUAACAUCAUGUCUAUUUUAGUCAUUAUUCACAUUUACAACAAUUUUAUAUUAAAAUUUACCAAACGGUUUUGACACUGCUUUUUGUACUAACAGCACUUUAAAAAUAUUGUUUAUCAAACAUGGAGUGCUUUACUUUACAGCUAAUUAUUUUCAAAGCACAGCAAAAGCAAAUUUUUUUAAAAGUGACAGCAAUCCUAAAAAUUCUAUACUCUAACACAAAAAAUAAAAACUAAAAACAAAAAUUAAAAUGGUUAUCAAACAUACACUUAUAUUACAAAGAAAAUAUCAAAUAUUGAACUCAUCAUAAGAGAACACAGAAAAACCUCACCGCUUGCAACUCGUACACCACCACUACACGAACAACUGCUAAUUAAAAUGAGUCACAUGUGGUACUUAACUCUAAAAACUUAUUCAGAUUAUAUAUCGUACUCCUCGAUCAAAACAACCAUGAAACAUAAGUGAUUUAAACCUCUAGGCAAAUGGAAGGUAUAUAACAAUUUAUAGAACAAUACAGUAAUCCAGAAGAAAUAUUAUGAAAUAAAAAGAAUAAAAAGUAAAAAAAGAGAAGGAAAGGAAUUCCCACCUGAUAUGUAUAAGUAUGAAAGGAAGGACCAAGUUUGUUUUGCCUUUGGUUAAUGACUAGAAAAGCUCACUUGCAUAUUGCUUUCUCCGGCCGUAGAUGCAAGAGAAAUUUUCUCUUAAUAAUAGCACAAUGAUCGGGUAAUUGUAAGAACAAGUUGAUUUUAAAUUCAGGUCAAGUCGUAGAUUUCUUGCCUUUUCUAUUCUCCUUCCUUGGACAUGAGCUGUUUAAUCUUGGACUCUUCCCCCAUCAUGUUGGGCCUGUCUUCUUCUUGAGGAUUGUAUAGGCCCAGGAAAUGCUUCAAGGUAGUUUUUGUGUUUUGGGCCUUGAGACCCAACUUCACAAAAAGAAAAUAGAUUUGACCAAAAAACAAAUUUGAAGGAUAUUGAAAUUGUACCUGUAGGAUAGGUUAAAACACCAUAAGGGAGGUAAAUAGUACGUUUACAGAAUUUAAGUGUAAUAAUUGAAUAAAAACAUGCCCAGAGGAUUGAUAAGUGAUAUCAAUUCUUGAAUAUACAGAACGUAAAAUAAAGGAACACGUAGAAAAUUAUUUUAUGUGGUAAAACUCUAUCUCUGGGGAACAUCCACGGGGCUUUUUAGUCCAAAAUAAUCCAUUAUAGAACGAUGAUUACAAGAAGUAUUCACACACUUAUCCUAGACACAUUCUAGAUUAUGUUUACUGACCUCUUCUCAACUUCUGUCUCGAGAUGAUCUUUCGACACUCCUUAUGUUGAACGCAAUACUGGUCACGAUUUCUUCAAGCUCCCUAGAGUUCUUCCAACUCUCCUUGUAUUGAAUCCGACACUAGUCACGAUCGAUUCAAGCUCAUUGGAGAAAAACUGCCACAACGGUCUUAGUGCCCUCAAUCGUAUGAGUCACUGAACAUGCAAAUGAAUACAAUAUAAAUGAUAAAAGUGUUUGAUAAAUCACCAAGUUAUAGAACACUUGAUGAUUUAUCUCAAAUAAAAAUUCAGCUUUACAAAGUUUAUGAUGAAUUGAAAAUAUGAUCGUUAAAGCUAUCUAAACAAAGAAGACGAAGGUCUUAUUUUAUAGAAUUUUUCUUUACAAGAAAGAAAACACGUUGAAAACCAAAUCUCCAAUUUUCAAGGCUUGACAGAAAAUCACAAAAGUAUCUUUCCUAUUCUAGAGAUUGGUCACAUGUAGUUCAACCAAUAGGAAAUGAGAUAUUCAAGAAAGCAAGAUUUUGAUCAAUAUCAAUAUCAGAUCAAUUCUUAUACGCCUAGUCAACUAUUAAGGGUAUCUUGACUCCUUGAUGUUGUGAUAUGAUUGAAACAUGAUUUCCAUGUUAGAAAAUUAAAGGGAUGUUAAAACAUGAAAGUAAUAGAGAAUCAAAUUGAUGUGGACCAAAAUUGCCUAAAAAGAAAACACUCCUAAAUAAACUUCAAUUCACUUUUAAAAAACAGUAAAACAUGAUUGAUCGUUCUUUAAAACAAUUCCCUAAAUAUACAUGCAUGAUAAUGAUAUCACUUACCCUUAAAUCAAAUUGUCACGCCCCGGACCCGAGGGUCGGGUGGAAACCUCACCGCCCAGUGCGUGAGAAAAUAAAAAGAAAAUAAAAUAAAAAGAAGCCGAACAGGGUUUAAAAUAAACUUCUCUUAUAAAAAUAACUCCAAUCUACAACUUUACAAGAAAUAACUAANNNNNNNNNNNNNNNNNNNNNNNNNNNNNNNNNNNNNNNNNNNNNNNNNNNNNNNNNNNNNNNNNNNNNNNNNNNNNNNNNNNNNNNNNNNNNNNNNNNNNNNNNNNNNNNNNNNNNNNNNNNNNNNNNNNNNNNNNNNNNNNNNNNNNNNNNNNNNNNNNNNNNNNNNNNNNNNNNNNNNNNNNNNNNNNNNNNNNNNNNNNNNNNNNNNNNNNNNNNNNNNNNNNNNNNNNNNNNNNNNNNNNNNNNNNNNNNNNNNNNNNNNNNNNNNNNNNNNNNNNNNNNNNNNNNNNNNNNNNNNNNNNNNNNNNNNNNNNNNNNNNNNNNNNNNNNNNNNNNNNNNNNNNNNNNNNNNNNNNNNNNNNNNNNNNNNNNNNNNNNNNNNNNNNNNNNNNNNNNNNNNNNNGAUUUCAAUUGGUAUUCAGAGCGUCAGCUCUUAAUACAAAUAGAGAGAUCCUAGGAUUUGUUUUGGUGUUUAGGUGUGCUCACUGUGGAACGGGAUCGAGUUGCUGGAUCUUGCAACUCCCCUCCUUAUUUUGAUGGAAACAACUACGCUGCUUGGAGAGAAAAAUUUGAGAUAUUCCUUGAUGCUCUUGAUGAGUACGCAAGUGAGUAUCUCACAAAAGAGUGGGUUGCUCCUGUCAAGACUGUUGAGAGUAAUGUUGUGCCCAAGCCUAGGUCGGAAUGGACUGAAGCUGAGGUGUUUGCUGCAUAUUCAAACAAGAAGGCCAGAAAUGCCUUAGUUACAGCCUUGUCUAGCACACAAUUUUCACAUAUACAACACAUCCUAAAUGCGAAACAGGCUUGGGAUAAACUAAGGGUGGUUCAUGAAGGGGAUGACCAAGUUAGAUCCCUAAAACUUCAGAUGAUGCCUGCACAAUUUGAAGAACUUAGGAUGUCUGAAACUGAGUCUAUUUCUGAGUUCUAUGGGAGAGUUGAGAUGAUCACUAAUGAAGCCAUGAGUCUCGGUCAACCUAUUGAUGAGCUUCUUGUUGUUCAGAAAAUCCUUCGUGUUCUACCAUCUAGGUUUAGAGCAAAGAAAACCGCAAUCAUGGAGGUCCAAAACUUAAAUGAAAUUAAGCUUGGCAAGCUCGUAGGAAAAUUGAAAACCUAUGAGAUGGAGUUGAAUAUGGAAAAGAAUGACACUAAAAAAUCAAAAAAUGUUGCACUUCAAGGAGUGAAUGAUUCCUCUCUGAAAGGUGGUGAAAAAUCCUCAGGUUUUGAGGAUGAGAUGGCUUUGUUUGUCAAAAAAUUUAGGAGAAUUCUUAGGGAUAAAGGAAAGUUUGCUAGAAAGGGCAGCUCUGGUAGUGAGAGACAAGUUAGACCAUCAACUGAUCAGUCUAAUGAGAGGAACAAGGAUGUCAAACCUUUCACUAAAGAUUUUAGAAAAUCUGUCAAGUGCUUCACAUGUGGAGGCAUUGGGCACUAUGCUGCCCAUUGUGCAAACAAUCAGAAAAAAUACUCCAAAGGAAAGGACAAGGCCAUAAAAGUUAGCUGGAGUGAGAGUGAAAGUGAAGUGUCUCAAGGGGAUUCAUUUUUCUCUGAUAAUGAUGACCAACAUGUUGCUUUUGUUGCCUCUGUGCAGUCAGUGUCUGAUAAAUCUGAUUCUGAGUCAGAUGACCUGUCAUACGAGUGAUUAGGAAGAAAAUAUGAUUGUUUGUUCAAAGAGACAUUGUCUUUGAAAGAAGAGAGCCUCAAACUUGAGGCCAACAACCAUGAACUUCAACAUGAAAUCCUCAUCUUAAAAGAAACCAAAAAGGAGUUGAGUGACAAAUUUGUGUCUCUAGAAAAAGAAUUUGUUGCACUUGUGUCAAUUAGGAGUAAUCUUGAAAAUCAAGUUAAUGUGCUCAAGGAAAGUAACAUUGGUUUCCAGAACUCAAACAAAUUGCUCCUAGGUAAAUUGAAUGAAGCAAAAAAGUAAGGUUAUAUCUAUGACCAUUGGUGCCUCAAAAAUUGACAAAAUGUUGACUAUGGGAAAACCUCAUGGGGACAAAGGUGGUCUUGGAUUUAAUCAUUUUGAUUCUAGUUCGUCUAGCUCUACCACUAGGUUUGUCAAUUCAAAAACUCCAACCAUGGCUUCUCUUGAUGCUCAGCCGGUAGUCAAGAAACCUAAGUUUGUUCCAACUUGUCACUGGUGUGGGUUGACUGGUCAUAUUCGAUCAAUCUGUCUUAUGUACAAAAAGGAUAAGACUAGAAAAUUGUCUUCAAAAUCUAAAAAUCCAAGAUCUUUGCAAGAUCAGGUUGAUCAUUUGCUAAAAGAAGUAACUAAGAUUGCAAAACUUGUCUCCCUUAAAAUGUGUUCACCUAUUGUGCCUAAGUCUACUUGGGUUGAAAAAGGUCAUACCAAAUGUCUUGUUGUGCUAAAUGCUUUUGCUGCAUCAAACACCAACUCUUGGUACUUUGAUAGUGGCUGUUCCAAACAUAUGUUUGGUGAUAAGAGUGUCUUCUCAUCUCUCAGUCCUUUUGAUGGAGGCACUGUGACUUUUGGUGGAGGUCACAAGUCUCAAGUUUUUGGAAAAGGUACUGUUUGUAUCCCUGGUUUACCCGAGCUUAAGAAUGUUAGAUGUGUUAAGGGUCUUACAUCCAAUCUCAUUAGUGUGAGUCAGCUGUGUGAUGAUGGAGUAAUAGAAGUUAGAUUCUCCAAGCAUGGGUGCAAAAUCGUUGGAAAAUGUGGCAAUGAGAUUGUGAGCGUGACUAGGUCUAGGGACAAUUGCUAUUGUAUUGAUGGUGUCAAUGAUGAAAAAGAAGUAGUUUGCAAUAAGGUUGUGAAUGAAACAAGUGUCUUGUGGCAUCAAAGGCUUGGACAUGUGAACUUUAGAGACUUGCAUAAAUUGUCCAAGAAAGAGUUAGUGAGUGGAUUACCAAAGCUUGACAAAUCUGAUCAACAUGUUUGUGAAGGAUGUCAAUUGGGGAAGCAAGUUAGAGUGUCUCAUAAGAAGGUCAAACACAUUCAAACACAAGUAAGCCUUGAACUUGUUCACAUGGACAUUGUUGGUCCUAUCCAAACCUUGUCCCUUGGUGGAAAGAAAUAUAUUCUUGUCAUGGUUAAUGAUUUCUCUAGGUUCACUUAAGUCUCAUUCUUACGUGAGAAAUCUGAAACUUUUCUAAGGUUUAAGUCUGUUUGUCAUCUUUUGCAAAAAGAAAAGAUGACUAGUCAUCUGCCUCUUGUUAGAAUUAGAACAGAUCAUGGUUCUGAGUUUGAGAAUUCUCAGUUUCUGAAAUUUUGUGAAGAAAUGGGAAUUAAGCAUGAGUUCUCUGCACCUAUUACACCUCAACAAAAUGGUGUUGUGGAGAGAAAGAAUAGAGUUCUUGUUGAGAUGGCUCGGGUGAUGCUCAAUAGCAACAAUCUUGCUAAACAUUUUUGGGCUGAAGCUGUAAGUACAGCUUGUUAUAUCUCAAACAGGGUAUUUUUGAGGUCUGGUACCAAACAAACUCCCUAUGAGAUUUGAAAAGGAAAGAAGCCUAAUGUGUCAUAUUUUAGAGUCUUUGGUAGCACAUGCUAUAUUUUGAAAGAUAGGGAGCAUCUUCCUAAGUUUGAUUCUAAGUGUGAUAAGGGAAUAUUUCUAGGGUGUUCCACUUUAAGCCGAGCUUAUAGAGUGUACAACUGUAGGACCAGAACCAUCAUUGAGUCCAUAAAUGUCAAAAUUGAUGAUUUUGCUGCCUCUACUGAGAUGGCAUUAGAUGAGAAUGGUCUUUUUUCUCCUCAUCUCGUGCAAGAAUCUCUAGGUCUGGAUCUUGUAGUUGACCUGUCAACUUUCGGAAAUUUUGUCCCAGUUGACCUGUCAACUCCUUCAACCUCUAGUUCCAUCUCAUCUAUCCAAGUUGUCAGCUCCCAUGCUGAUCAUAGCCCUCUCACUCAAACUGAGAGUGUCAUUAUUGGUCCUCUUAAUCAGGGAGUGAGAACUAGGAAAUAAUUAGCUCAAGAAAUUAGUCAUGUGUGUUAUGUCUCAAAAGAAGAACCUAAGAAUGUGAAAGAGGCGUUGAACCAUGGUGAAUGGUUUCUUGCAAUGCAAGAAGAGCUGAAUCAGUUUGUUAGAAAUGAUGUUUGGUACCUUGUUCCCAGACCUACCAAUACAAAUGUUGUAGGUACUAAGUGGAUUUUCAAGAACAAAACUGAUGAGCAAGGUAAUGUUGUUAGAAACAAAGCUAGAUUAGUUGCUCAAGGUUACACUCAAAUGGAAGACAUUGACUUUGAUGAAACUUUUGCCCCUGUUGCAAGACUAGAAUCAGUUAGAUUACUUCUUGCUAUUGUUUGUCACUUAAAAUUCAAACUUUAUCAAAUGGAUGUCAAAACUGCUUUUUUGAAUGGUAUUUUAAAUGAAGAGGUCUAUGUUGAACAACCAAAGGGUUUUGAAGAUCCACAUCAUCCAAAUGAUGUGUUUCAGUUAAAAAAGGCACUCUAUGGUUUGAAACAAGCUCCUAGAGCAUGGUAUGAGAGGUUAUCUUCUCAUCUUCUAAGAAAUGACUAUGUUAGAGGGUCAAUUGACAAAACUUUGUUUGUCAAAAGGUUCAAAAAUGAUGUCUUGAUUGCUCAAGUGUAUGUUGAUGAUAUUAUGGUUGGUUCUACCUCUGACUUGCAUGUUCAAGAGUUUAUUCAUGUCAUGACUAGUGAAUUUGAGAUGAGUCUUGUAGGUGAGCUUAACUAUUUCUUAGGUCUUCAAAUCAAACAAAGCCAUGAUGGGAUCUUUGUAUCUCAAUCGAAAUAUGCAAAAAAUCUUGUGGAAAAGUUUGGUUUUGAGGAUGCAAAAUCUGCAAGAACUCCAAUGAGCACUAGUGCUAAAAUUCAUAGAGACUUGCAUGGCAAAAGUGUGGAUCAAACUCUCUAUAGAAGUAUGAUAGGAAGUCUUCUCUACUUGACUGCUAGUAGACCAGAUAUUUCUUAUAGUGUUGGAGUGUGUGCUCGGUUUCAAAGUGACCCAAAAGAGUCUCACUUGUUUGCUGUUAAGAGAAUCAUAAAAUAUGUGAGUGGGACUGUUGAGUUUGGGUUGUGGUAUACCUAUGACACUUGUGUCAGUCUGGUUGGUUAUAGUGAUGCCGAUUGGGCAGGUUGUAGAAACCCCUCCCGGGGGGGGGGGGGGGGGGGUCUUUUAUGUAGGCAACAACCUUGUUGCUUGGCAUAGCAAAAAACAAAAUUCUGUCUCCUUAUCCACUACUGAAGCAGAGGAUGUUGCAGCUGGGAGUUGCUGCACUCAACUCCUUUGGAUGAGACAAAUGUUGGAAGCUAUGGUCUUGCUCAAUCAUGCUUUCUCAUCUAUUGUGACAACAUGAGUGCCAUAGACAUUUCUAAAAAUCCUGUUCAACACUCUAGGACUAAGCAUAUAGACAUUAGGCAUCAUUUUAUUAGAGAUCUUGUGGAAGAUAAAAUUCUAUCUUUGGAAUUUGUUCCCUUUGAGAAACAGCUAGCAGAUAUACUCACCAAGGCCUUGGACUUUCAGAAACAUGUCACACUUAGGCAGUCCAUUGGCCUUUGCUCAAUUGAUUGAUUAGCUUGUCUGUUCCUUAUCUUCAGCACAUUGCAGAAUUGUUGACUAGUCAUCUUCGUUUUAGUUGACUAGUCAAAUAUUUUUUUGGUGUGUAAAUGUCUAAAACAUAUGCUUCUUCUGAUCUCUGGUGGUAUGAAGUUUGAAUCAUUUUAUGCUUUGCCUGAUUUGUGGAUAAUUCCCCCCUUCUUGUUUGGAGCCAUUAGAUGAAAUCUUUUGGUGUUCUUUCGUCCUCUUGUUGAGACAAGUGUUGUGAUCCAUUAUGGACAAUCAUUGUUAUAAUCUCCUAUCUUUUCUCACUCUCUUAGGCAAUUUGUUUAGCAUUAAACAAAAAAUAAAAAAUAAACAAAAAAUAAAAAAAAUAAAAAAAAGUGUGACCAAUGUAGUCACGACUCUAGGAAGGUAUAAGGUGUUAUGAUUGAAGAAUCUAGAGCAAGAGCCGCAAAAUUGGGCCACUCAAGCACUUAAGUCUAGGAUGUGCAAAUAACAAGGAUAAUAAAUGGCCAGAUUGAGUGAUGAAAAUCAAAUAGGUUGGGUUUAUGCCUUGAGUUUGUCUUGAAGGUUUAUUAUAUACUUGUCUCUCCAAGAGGGGUAUUUCUUCUUCUCUUGUGUUCUUCUUUUGGCUCUGAACCUCCUCUGUCCAUUUUGCCUUAUCUCUGAGCAUGAAAUCUAAUUCAUAUUCUAUCUAUCAGAGUUAGUUGCACUUGUUUUUGUUUGCACAUGUGGUUAUCUUCUCUCUCUCUUCCUUCCUGUGCUUGAAGAUUUGGACUAGGCUAUAGUAGCUAAUAGAUCGUUGAUCACUUGAUAUAUUUGCUAGUUCAUGUUUGUGUUUUUUUUUUAAAAACCCACAAUCUUGUCUUCCACAGGGUCGAUACUAACUUUGAUGCGUGUCAUGAUAUUGCCUUAGUUGACUAGUCAUCUAUGCUUAUGGUUGACUAGUCAUCCGGUUGUGUUAUAUUUGAUGCCCGUCAUGUUAUUGCCUUAGUUGACUAGUCAUCAUUUUUGUGGUUGACUAGUCAUCUAGUUCUGCCUGUUUUUGUUAUUGCCUUGGUUGACUAGUCAUCAUGCUCAUUGUGGUUGACUAGUCAUCAGGUUUUUCUCCUGAACAAUACGUCCUUUUCUUUAGCGGUUAUUCUUAUUAUUUUAUUUUUUUUUCAUUUUUUUUUCUUCUCUUUUUUGUGUUUUGAGCGGUUCUUUUUCAUUGGGGUCAGUUUUCGCAUUUUUUCCUUUUUAGGUCUGUUUCCCUCUUCUUCGUUAGAGUCUACUUUCACUCCCGUUCUCUCUCUGUUCUCUUCAGACACAAACCCAGGCCCCCGCUUCCCUUUCUCCCUCUGUGUUAGUCUCUUCGCCCCUUCUUCCCUCUGUUUUUCUCUUCCAAUUUCUUCCCGCUGACCACCAUGUCGUCCUCCGCGCCCUUCCUCACUUACCAGCGCCGCUCCAAAUCCAAAUCCAAUGACAGAGUGGAUUUUAUACCCUCCAUUCCUAGGGCUCCUAGGACUCGCUCUUCUCACUCUGUUCCCGCUGGAGACUCCUCCCCGUUUGUGUCUCCUGAGGCAGCCUCGUUCUUCGAUGGUGUUGUCUCUAAAAGGAAGUUUGUGCCUGAGAGAGCUUACCAAAUUGAUGCUCCCCCCUUAGCGGCCCAGGGUUCUGCAACUCAGAUUUUUGAGCACUGCCAUCUCCAUUCUCUCAACACUCUGUCUGGUAAGUUCAAUGCUUCUGUCGUUAAAGAGUUUUACUCGAAUUUUCCUGCUGAUCCUAAGGGGUCUAAUUAUCAGUGUGUUGUUCGUUAUGUGCCCAUUACUCUGAGACCCUCUGUCAUUAAUAGGGUUUUAGGUUUUCGGUCUUGCCCUGGUUUUGAUUCUGAUCAGUUUGCUCUUGCCUCUUCUCAAUACACUAUUGAUCUAUUUAAAACCAUGGCCUAUACUGAUCAAACAAUGCCCCUGACUUCUAAAGGUGUUCCUAUGAAGUCUUAUCUGUCACCAUUCUACAAAUUUCUAUGGGAUUUUAUCUGUCACAAUGUUCUCCCAACUAGAAAUAAUUCAAACCCCACUUUGGCUGGCUGUCAACUCAUGAUUUCAAUGGUGAAUCAUGAUAAAAUUCCCUUUGGGGAUAUUCUUUAUCAUGCAAUUCUUGGCAAAACCAUAGGUCAUGGUACAAAACACAAAGGGACUCUUGUCUUCCCAUGUCUUAUCCAGCGUCUCUGUGAGAGAAACCAGGUGGUUUUUCUUGACUCUGAUCAGUGCACUCCUCCUAUUGCUCCAUUUGGCAAGGCUUUUGUUGCCCUUAGCCAAAAAGUUUCAAAAACUUUUCUCACCUCUGUGUCAUCUACUUAUGAAAAUGACUAUCUUAGAUCUCAGCUUGCUACCAAGGAGAAACAUAUUCAACAUCUGUUAAGCCUCAUUCCAUCCUCUUUGGUUCCUGCUGCUGCUGCUGCUGAAGUACAUCCUCAGCCGACUCCUGCCACGGAGGUCUCAGAUGAUUCUGUAGAUUCUGAUGAGUCUGCUGAUUCUCUUGUUUUUUAGCUACAGUGAUCUUGUAGGCAAUGUCCUAGAUAGGGGGAGUAUUUUUGGACAAGUAUAUGUUUGUAAUUCCCUUGUGGAAAUUUGUUUUUGCUUGGGUAGUCUGUGCAUCUUGAUAGGGGGAGUUGUGUUGUAUUAUUUUGAACAAGUGAUUUUUGCUUUGUAAUCAACCUAUGCUAUGUGUUUUUCACUUUGUUCAAAUCUGAUUAUCUGCCUUGUGUUUCAUCCCCUUGUAUGCUGACUCUCUCUCCUUGCACUUUCCUUAUCAACAAGGAGGAGAACACUCUCAACCCCCAUAUUGCAUAUUGUUUCAAAAUUCUGUGAUAUAAUAUGCCUGUUUUUGUGCCUGGAAGAUUGGUUGUUCUUGCAGGUAUCCUCACUUCAUCAUCUCCUUAGGCUUGGUUUUGGGUUGAGUGUUGUUAGAGAGUGUGUUGUCAAGGAAAGCCAAAAAGGGAGAGAUUGUUAAUGUAUGCAUUUUGGGUUUUUCUUUUGGCUUCCCUUGACAACUUUGUAAUAGGAUCUCUAUUGUUAUUUAUCAAGCUCAAGUUUAGAUUGAGAAUAGCUUCUCUAGGUGUUCUUAACUAACAACUAUCAUAUGGAGGUUCAUGCAAAUUGGCAAAGGUAAAUUGUGCAUUGCAUAACAUUGCAUUAUACUGUUUUCAUAAAAUGAUGACUAGUCAUAUGUUUCUUGGAUGACUCGUCAUCCUUGCUCUCCAGCUUGAUAACCAACUUUUUUGUCCUAUUCCUUUUUCUCUCUCUGCUGCCACAUGGGAUUCUGACCUAAGGGUAUUUUUUGGUCUGUAUAGGCCUUGCGAUUCCUCUUUUGGCAAGCCGUCUCUUUUGUGUAGAAUUGGAGGAAAGAUUGGUUUUCUAUAUUUCCGUUCUUCUUCCACAAGAAAGAACAAUAUUUCAUCUAUGAGUUUUUCCAAAUUGAUUUCUUUAUGAAAAAACUGCAUUUGAAAUAUGAAUUUGCAUCUAGCUUCAUAAAAACAUUCUCUCAUUUAUAUCUAGGUCAGAUUCACUACUGAUUUCUUCAAGAGUAUGGUUUCUUGAAGAAAUUGGUUAUUCUCCCUUGAAUCCAAAUUUUGGUUUCUGUUUGAGUUGAGCUUGCAAGCUGGUGCCAUGGGAUGAAUGACUGAAGAAGGAGCUGCCAUUGCCAUGAAGAACUGGGCUUCAAGCUUUGCUAAGUUAGAGAAGAAGAUUGCACAAAGGAGGUAUUGCUCAUCUUCCUAAAUAGAUCUAGGUUUUGCUUGAGCUUGCUUGUGUUCCUUUGUAAGAAUCUUUUUCUACUUAGUUGAUUGCCUGGUCGGUUGAUGACCCCCAGUUUUUUCCCAAUGGUGGGUUUCUGGGUGAACAAUUUCUGAUUGCAUUCUUGUAAUUUUUCUGGGUUUGUGUUCUUGGUGGUCGACUAGUCAUCGUAUGAAUUAUGGUUGACUAGUCAUCAUUAUCUGCUGUUUGGUGUUUGCUUGAUUAUGCUGUCUUCACACGUUUUCACCAUAGUUGUUGCUAGCACAGGGGAUGCCUAGAUUGAUGGGUCUUUCUGAGUGCCUAGGUUGUCACUAGUAAUUCUCUAGGCCUGCAGGUACAUCAUGGUAUGUUCUAUGUAUGUUGUUGUUUGGUAUAAUUCAUAUCUGACAGUUGACUAGUCAUAAGAGUGUGUGAAGUUUGUUGCAUUUUUGGCUGAAUAUCUUUUAAGUUUACCCAUCGUCACCUAAGUACCGAUUUCAACAUGAGACCUUGCCACAGUAGAUUGAUAUAACUAAAUAUUAUCAUAAACAUAGAAAUAUAUAAGUAUUAUUAUAAUAGGAUUCAUAAUAAUUAAUAUAAAAGUAUAACAACAACAUUUACAAUUAUGUACCAAGAUAAUUACACAUAAAAAUAUAACCAAUAUAUAUUUAUAUAUAUUUUUUAAAAUACGGAUCUUUACGUAAAUGCCUUUCACGGGUCAAGCCACAAGUCUGUGUUUUGGGGAUUGCAGAGCUGCAUCAAUCUUGCCAAUGUCAAUUCUGACCCUGGGCUCUCUCAAAGCACGUUUAAAACCUAUGCUAACAUAUACUAGAGUUUAUGCUGUAUCUAGAAAAUGCCAACACUAAUUUCGUAACACAUAGAAUUGUUAGAGAUUAGAAGUUUUUAUCAUUUUUUCUUCCAGUCUCUCCACCACUCACUAAUACAGAUUACUCAUGUGAUGAGUUUACAAAACCUAUUUCUCUACUCUCGCAAAGACUAUACUUCUUCUCAAAAGACUAGAUCACUUUACCUCUAUCUCUGUGAAAUGUAAAAAGUUGAAACUUUAAUGUCAAACCUCGACAAAGUGUUCUACUUACAAACUUCUUGUGUCUACCAAUUUCUACAAAAAUUAAUUUCUCUACGGUGCUCAGAUUCAUCAUAUGUGUGUCCUUAAUUUUAGUGGAAAUUGGAAGUUUCCAUAAUUUUUGCUUUAAGUCACUCUUUUGAAGGAAGUUGAGAUUCCACUCCAUAAUCCAAAAUGUCAGGUUGACUUAUGGCAAACAAUGUAAAUAUGUAGGAGUACUAUGACCUUUUAUAGCAUUUUAAGUUUGAAUUUGGGUUUUAUACAUAGAUUUCGAAAUUAAUAGGUUGAUGCCUAGGAAAUAGAAAUUGUAAGGGCCUAUAUUAGACUAGCCCUCUUAAAAAAUAUAUUAAUUAAUGAAUAUUUGUUCUUCUUCUUGUUUUGAAGUAGUGGUGGGAGGCAGACCAACAACAAAAAUAUAGUGAAGGCUUAUAAGAGCAUUUACAAUUAUGCUCCCUAUUUUUUAGUUAAUAUUUAGGUAAAAAUAGAAAAAAGUUAUUAUAUGAGCUCUUUAUAAAAUUUGAACUCCAAUCAUACUCCCUAGUUUAGGGAGUCAAAAAUACUAUAGUUAUUUUUUAAUUCAAAUUGAUUUUGGUUAAUCUCUAUAAAUAAAUAAAAAUAUAAAAAAUAGUUAGCAUUAAUUAAAAGUUUAAACUAUGCAUAAAACAAAGAAACAUUAAAUUAUAGGGAGCCACUAUGAGUCAUUACUCUCUCUUCAGAUUUAGGAGCUCCUAGAGGUCUCCCUAUUUUAUGAGGUGGAUAAAGAGCAUGGUUGGAGUUGUAUUUCUUCAAUUUCCUCUCUAAAAUUUGUCUAAGGAUGUGGUUUAGGGAGCCCAUUGUGAAUGCUCUAACUCUGGUAAAACACGAGUGACAUGGACAACAUAUGUUACAUCGUACUGAAGAUUUUUGGGUUUCUUUAAUUGGUUAAGUAGCAUCCACAAUGAGCUUUCUAAAUCAUCUCCUUAGACAAAUUUUAGGGAGGAAUUGGAAAAGUACAACUCCAACUAUGCUCCCUAUCCACCAACUAAAAUAGAGAGACCUUUAGGAGCUCAUAAAUCUGAUGAGAGAGAAAGAACUCUUAAUGACCCCCUAUAAUUUAAUGUUGCUUUAUUUUAUGCAUAUUUUGAACUUUUAAUUAAAUCAAAUUAUUAUUUUUAUAUUAUUUUGAAUACAGCCGGAUCAAUUAUAUUAAAUUAAAAAAUAAUUAAAAUAUUUAUAACUCUCUAAACUAGAAAGCAUGAUUGUAGAUCAUCUUAUAUACCUUAAUUUGAAGAUUCUUUAUUUGGGUUUCUUUCAAGACUUAUCACCUUAGCCACACCACCUACACGUCUGCAAGCUUCCGUAAUCUAACAAGGAAGGGGAGGCUGCGCAAUACUUAUCACCUUAGCCACACCACCUACACCACAAGACCAAUAUGUGUAGUCCAGCAGGCUUUCCAAUUUUAAUAUAUAUUAUAAAAUAAAAUAAAAAUCAAUCUAUUAUCAUAUAUAUUAUAAAAUAAAGAUUAUUGCUCCAUCCUCCAUGCACUUGCAUGCCCUCUUACAAAGUGUGAAGUAGAUUUUGUGUGCUCCAAGUCAUUGACGAGAGCUGUAACAUGGUUAGCUGGAUUUAUAAGAUCUUUUCUUUUCUGGGAAUUUUCUGAAUUAAGAAAAAUCAAGUAAAAUUAAUAAAGCAUAAAUUAGAAAGGGAAAAUAUCUAGAGGAUGCAUUGUAGGAUUGCACAUGCCAAUAAUUGUAUCCUCUAAAUAUAUAGCGACACAUUUUUUUUGUUUUCAUGACUUGUGGUCCUAAAAUUAUUGUUCCUAGCGGGCUUUUCACCCUCUCUCGAUUGAAAAUCAAUUGUGUAAAUCUUCAAUCUUGAAUGAUGCACCUAAAACUCAAGUGUCCCAGGCCAAUUAUUGCUCUCAUACCACUUGUUGUAAUAAACAUUCACCCAUUCUAAAGGAAAGAUAACCAUCGAUAUUAUCUGAAAUUUAACCACUUAAGUUCAUUAUGAUUAACUAUGUAUCUUAUGGACCAAUCCAAUCGUAAGGUUUUAUACUCAAUUAGAUCGACCAAUACAAAGUUCACACUGGAUUAAAAAGGGCUAUCGGUAGGGGAGUGUUCGGCACCCUUUACUGUGGAGCGCAACACAAGACCCCUUGCAUGCCCUCACUAAGUUGAGCCCAACUAUUUUUGAGCAUUAACAAUAUAUAUAGAUUGAAAAAAUAAAAUAAAAAUCAAUCUAUUAUCAUAUAUAUUAUAAAAUACAUAUUAUUGCUCCAUCCUCCAUACACUUGCAUGCCCUCUUACAAAGUGUGAAGUAGAUUUUUUGUGCUCCAACUCAUUGACUAGGGCUGAAACAUGGUUAGUUGGAUUUAUAAGAUCUUUUGUUUUUUGGGAAUUUUCUGAAGCACGGAAAAUCAAAUAAAAUUAAUAAAGCAGAAACUGUACCCUUUAAUUAUAUAUGGACAUAUGUUUUUUUGUUUUCAAGUCUUAGAUGACAUGGGGACCCCUCUCAAAUUUAAGUGGUCCAUUAUUGUUAACCACAUAUUUUAUGGACCAUCCAGCUUCGGUACAUUUCUCCCACAUGCCACAAUUGUAUAUUCACAAUUACGUCUGAUACAUCACAUCAUGCCACUUGCCUCACAUGCCACAAUUGUAUAUUCACAAUUACUUCUGGGUACCCCUCAUCAGUCGUCUAUAAAAUGGUGAAGCCAGUUGCUACUGUUACCAUAAGAGCCAGCUCCGACUUUCUUUAAUUUCUUGCUACAUCUGUUGCUAAGUUAAUUUCAGUCCUAAUGGGGUUUCAUCUCCCACUCAUCUUUGCUAUUCUCAGUGUAAGCUCUGCAAUUUGAUUAACUUUUCCAUUCUCUCUCAUUGUACUCUAUAUAUAUAAAUGAAAGUUUUGUGUUCCUAUAAUUCUCUCCGAUUUUAUUUAGUACGUACUUAAGUGUCGUCCACUAAUUAAUUACACUUUGUGAGAUUUGAUUUUAAUUAGAGUUCGAAUUAAUGUUGCAGCUAGCAGCGGUUGCACUGGCAAACAAUGCUGCUCAACCAGCACCUCAACUUUACUGGAACUCCGUCCUGCCAAACACACAGAUGCCAAGAUCUAUCAGUGAACUUCUGCAUCCUGGUUUGUGUUCAGCUCUUUAUAAUCUUAGAUAUCUCUUCUACCUGCCAUUUUACUAAACUAUGUUCGACCACAUAUUUAUCAGUUAACUACUGUCAUUACAAGAAUGACACUUAUUUUCCAAUAUAAUUUGCAGACUCCACAAAUGAAGAAAAGAGCAAACCUGAAAUUUUCCCAUUGCAGGGCAAUAGAGUUUACACUCAAAGCCAUUAUAAAAAACGUCCUCCUCCUCCAUCUGACGAGGGCAAACCUGAAAAUUUCCCAUUGGCCAAUAGCUUUUACACUCAAACCCAUUAUAAAAAACGUCCUCCUCCUCCAUCUGACGAGGGCAAACCUGAAAAUUUCCCAUUGGGCAAUAGCCAUUAUUCUCAAACAGGGUAUGCAAAAGGUCCUCCUCCUCCUCCUAAAAUUUUCCCAUUUUCAGGUUACAGUCGAAAAAGGUAUGGAGGAAGUCCUCCUCCUCCUUCUCCAUUCGUUCAAAAAGACUAUGGACAGAACGAUAAACAUUACGUUCAAAAAAACUAUGGAAAAGUUCCUCCUCCACCUGACAAUCAACUACUCCAUUAUAAAGACUUGGCUAUUUUCUUCUUCGAGAAGGACAUGCGCCCUGGCGCAACAAUGAAGUUCCAAUUCCCUAGAAAUUCAAACACGGCUACUUUCCUGCCACGCGAAAGUGCUCAAUCGAUCCCCUUCUCCUCUAAGAAACUACCAGAAAUUUUCAACCAUUUUUCAGUGAAGCCAACAUCUGAGGAAGCCAAAACAAUUAAGCAAACAAUCGAAGAGUGUGAAGCUCCAGGCCUUAAGGGAGAGGAAAAAUAUUGCGCCACAUCUUUAGAAUCAAUGGUUGAUUUUAGCACUUCGAAGCUUGGAACAAGAAACGUUGAAGCAAUCUCAACGGAGGUAUUGGAAGAAGGAGCCACCAAGUACAUGCACAACUAUACAACAAUGCCGGGACUGAAGAAGUUGGAAGGUGACAAAGUCGUUGUGUGUCAUAAGGAGAACUAUCCCUAUGCUGUGUUUUUCUGCCAUGCAAUAAAACAAACAGCAGCUUAUGUUCUCUCCCUGAAAGCCGAUGAUGGGAUGAAGGUGAAAGCAGUAACCAUCUGCCAUCUAGACACAUCAGAAUGGGACCCAGAGCAUUUGUCCUUCCAAAUCCUCAACGUUAAGCCCGGAACCACUCCCAUCUGCCAUUUCCUUUCCACUGAUGCUAUUGCCUGGGUUCCAAAACACAAGUCUGCAUGAUCAUCACUUAGCACUGUACGUAUAAUAAGCUUGGUCGGGUUGCACCCUAGGCCUGCAUAAUUAUCUCCCUACUUAUUUCUGCCUCUUUAUCAUGCGGUGUAAGAUAUAUGAUGAGAUGAAGUUUUCUCUUGUAACUAUGUAGACUACUUCAACUUGUACUCAUAAUAAAGCACGCUGUUGGGGGGUUCUACUUAAUUUCGUUCUCUCCAAUGUUUGAGUGUUGAAUUGUUACGUUGGAAUAGGCUGCUAAUGCAUGUAGUUAGAGAAGCCUUCAUUUAUAUCAAAGUCCUCAAACUAUCAAGAAUUAAUGUAUCCAGAAACAUAUACCAAGACGCAAAAUGUCACAUCCCGGAAUCAGCUACUUCCCAGUGGGUCACCCAUCCUGGGAUUGCUCUAGCCCCCAACUCGCUUAACUUCGGAGUUCCUACGAUUCCGAAGCCAGUGAGCUCCCAAAAGGCCUCGUGCUAGAUGGAUGCGGGUGUGCACAUAUAAGGCACAAUACCCCCUCUCCGUUGGUUUGAUGUGGGAUCUUACAAUCCACCCCCCUUAAGGGUCCGACGUCCCCGUCGAUACACUCGCACCACACGGCAGAGUGGCUCUGAUACCAAAUUGUCACAUCCCGGGAUCAGCUCCGCCGUAGCACGAUAUUGUCCGCUUUGGGCCCCCCUCUCUGCCCUCACGGUUUUGUUUCUGGGAGCUCACGAGCAACUUCCCAGUGGGUCACCCAUCCUGGGAUUGCUCUAGCCCCCAACUCGCUUAACUUCGUAGUUCCUACGAUUCCGAAGCCAGUGAGCUCCCAAAAGGCCUCGUGCUAGAUGGAUACGGGUGUGCACAUAUAAGGCACAAUACCCCCUCUCCGUUGGUUUGAUGUGGGAUCUUACACAAAACAACAUAUUUUCCAUUCUCUGUCUGUAACACCAAGGCAAACUUCCUUUAUCACAUCAUUUAAAGGAUCAAAUUCCAGUACUAAUCUAAUCCAUCAUGUAAAGCAUACAAGUGCCUACCUAAAUUUGUCCAUUGGAUAUAUAUGUCACUUCUUAUUUUUUGAUAGAGAUAUAAAUGUUGAGAAAAUUAGAGUACACAACUCCAAUAUAGACUUGUUAGAGACAAAACAAGUAAACAAAUUCCUUGUAUUAGACUCACAAAAUAUUAAAACAAGACAACUCUCAAAGAAAAGACAAACUCUCACACUUCUCACAAGGACUACUUAACUUUAUAGCUUAUUGCAUAUAGCAUAUGCAAACACAAUUACAACAUACCUACGUACACUAUGGAAACACUCGUGUAUAUUUGAACACAAGAAAACAUGUGCACCGUGCACGGUUCACAUGAAGUAAGAAAUGAAGAGGAAAUAAAGGAGAAGAAUACAAAAGAAAAUGGAGAUGAGAAAAAAAAAACACGAAUAAUGAAAAAUGAAUUGACAAUUAUAUGUGGUUGACAUUAGAUCUAAUAUUAUAUGUAACAACUAUUGAUCUAAAAUAAACAUUAAAUCAAACAAUAAUUAAAAGAUUUGACAAUAUAAAAAUUUAUUGAGGACAAAAAAAGGCAAAAACUUAUGAAAAAUGGAAACAAUAAAUAUGAACUGAGUCAUCAACUCAUCAUGGUAAGUUUGCUGACGUAUAAAAAUAGUCAAUGAACUACAUCGAAAAGUAAUUGGCUUACAUCAAAAAUUAAAAUCACGUGGUCUACCUACUAUAUAGGAUGAAAAAAUUACGUGAACAAUAUACUUACACCAUGGGAACACUCCUAUAUAUUUGAACACAUGAACACGUGUUCAAGGUUAUAUAUUUCAUUACCUUCACAAUAGGUACCAAACCGUACCAUGCGAACAUUCAUAUACGCACAACAUACUUAUAACAUACCUACACUAUGGGAACACUCGUGUAUAUUUGAACACAAGAAGACCUGUGCACCACCGUGCACGGUUCACAUGAAGUAAGAAGAUGAAGAGGAAAUAAAGAAGAAGAAUACAAAAGAAAAUGGAGAUGAGAAGAAGAAAAAAAAAACACGAAUAAUGAAAAAUGAAUUGACAAUUAUAUAUGGUUGACAUUAGAUCUAAUAUUAUAUGUAAUAACUAAUGACCUAAAAUAAACAUUAAAUCAAACAAUAAUUAAAAGAUUUGACAAUAUAAAAAUUUACACGUAAGCAAACUCACCAUGGUAAGUUUGCUGACGUGUAAAAAUAGUCAAUGGACUACAUCGAAAAAUAAUUGGCUUACAUCAAAAAUUAAAAUCACGUGGGUUAUUCCUAAGAAACCUUAAUAUUUUUGGGUUUAUAUAUUUUUUGUAUUUUUUUAAAAUAAAAAAAAGAAAAGAAAUCUGACCAUGUAUGUAUGAUGAUGAUAUGCAUGUUAUUUUUAGACCUAAGGUAAAACAGACAAACUUUUUACUCCAUUUUUCAUGAGGUUUAUCACAAUAAUUAAACUGUUAUAUCCUCCAUUUUAGAUCUCAUGCUUCCAUUUAAAGAAAAGAAUAUCAACAACAAAAAAAAGAAUAAAGUUACAACAUUGAUCAAUUCAAAUGUCCAACUACCGGAUCAUGAGCUCCUGCACUUAGCGAUAUGCAGAUAAAUGCGUAGUGUCUUAAUGCAGAGGCUCGGGAUCCCCAACUACCAUUGAAACAUAAGAAACUAAAAUCUGCAAGAAAAUGCUAUCAAUUGAAAAAACAAUAAUUAAAAAACAAAAAAAGGAAGGGAAUUCGCACCGCUAUGCAAAAAAGAGCAAGUCGGUUCAAUGAUUUUUUUUCUUCUUCUUUUUGUUAUGGAAAUGAAAAGCUCAAUGAUGGGCUAUAUAUAGGAAGAAGCUCAAUGAUUGAAUUAUUAUCUUCUAUCUACAUUCUACCCUCUUCCUCGCUACAUACACAAAUGGUGCACACCAGUAACUAAGCUUGUUUUGGGUUCGGUGGCUCACUGUAAAAGCUCAAUGGAGAUGGUUUGAGGUAGAAUUUUCUCCUAUUUCAAUAGGACAAUGAUGAGCUCUAUGGAUUUUUUUUGUUUGUUUAUAGAAAUUAAAUGGUAUAGGGUCUAUCUAUAUUAUUAAUGCUAAGAAUGAGAAUAUGACUAAAUAACUCAAAAAAAAUUUAUAAUAAAUCAACAAUUUUUUUUUUUUAAAAAAAAAUCUAUAGAAUCUUUUAUUAGAUCAAUAGGCACCACUAGAAAAUCUCCAUAUAAGCCACUACUAAUACACCCGUGACUACUGACAAACCCGUAGCCAAAGAGUAUUGGCCACCUGCCACACGACAGUGGUCCAAGCAUAAUGUUGUCAUUCAUUAUUCCCCACAGCAACCAGCAUCCAAUAAAGGGUUGGGGCCCACCCAUAUUCCACCUCUCUUUAUGAAUAUAAAAGAAAUAUUUUUUAUUCAACAUGGACGCAGAAACUGUUGCUAAACUGCAAACUUCUUAAAAUAUUUAUCUAACUUUCUAGAUCCAUGUACUGAGAUUUAUUAGGGAAAUAUUGUAGAAACUGAUUAUUUUGAAAUAUUAAAUGUGAAAAACUGAACAAAAAUUUGAUGGGUUACAUAUUUCAACUCAUUUCAGCAGCUUAGAUUUUGAAGACCUCGGAAGAGGCUAUGCAAUGAGCCUAGCUAGUGCACUGUUGAUCACUUCAGUGUCUACCGAUCUGUAAUUUUUCCAGAUUGGUUAUAUUUUCCUUUACAUAUUCUUAUAUUACCGAUCACUUCAGUGUCUACCGAUCUCAUAUUUCUGGCAGAACAAUAAAUCUUUCAACAUUAAAAGUUUAAAACUCCAAGAUGCUAAAUUUAACGUUAAAAUAAAUAAUUAAAAGGGCUAAUGAAACCUAUAUGCCCAGGUGAGGAGCAUGCCACAAACUUAUUUCAACCCCAAAACUUCAUUAAAAAGCCCAAAACACUCAAUGAGGCAUCUAAGUAAUUUAAUAAUUAAAAUUAAAUUCAAUAUGACCAGCUAUCAUUUUUUGGGUUUUUUUUUGUUUGUUUCUAGAAAUUAAAUAGUAUAGGAUUUAUUUAUAGUUUUAGUGCUAAAAAUGGGUAUAUGACUAAAUAUCUCUAUAAAAAAAAUACCUAUAUGUUUGAGAAACAAAAUAAUAAAACUACAACAUAGGUUAAAAACAUUCUAAUAAACUCAAUACAUAUGGUCUACGUACUAUACAGGAUGAAAAAAUUACAUGAACAAUAUACCUACACCAUGGGAACACUCCUGUAUAUUUGAACACAUAAACACGUGUUCAAGGUUAUAUAUUUCAUUACCUUCACAGUAUUCAUCAAAACCCACCAUGGGAACAUUCAUAUACACACAACAUAACAUACCUACACUGUAGGAACACUCGUGUAUAUUUGAACACAAGAAGACAUGUGCACGGUUGAUGUGAAGUAAGAAGAUGAAGAGGAAAUAAAGAAGAAUAAUACAACAGAAAAUGGAGAUGAGAAAAAAAACACGAAUAAUAAAAAAUGAAUUGACAAUUAUAGAUAGUAGACAUUAGAUCUAAUAUUAAAUGUAAUAACUUUUGAUCUAAAAUAAACAUUAAAUCAAACAAUAAUUAAAAGUUUUGACAAUGUAAAAAGUUAUUGAGGACUAAAAAAGGCAAAAACAUUUGAAAAAUGGAAACAAUAAAUAUGAGCUGAGUCAUCAGCUCACUAUGGUAAGUUUGCUGACGUGUAAAAAUAGUCAAUGGGUUAGAUUAUUAUUUGUGGGUAACUAAAAUCUCGUUUAACAACAAUAGUUAACGUUUGUUUAGAGAAGGAAAAAAACUUGAUGAUGUGUCAUGUUCUAAAGGGUUAGAUUAUUGUAAUGGCUUAGAUUUAAUGAAAUACAGGUAAAUGCGUAAUGUCCAAAUGUAGAGGCUCGGAAUCCUCAUCUACCAUUGAAACAUAAGAAACUAAAAUUUUCAAGAAAAUGCUAUCAACUGAAAAAACAAAAAACAAAAAACAAAAAGGGAAGGGAAUUUGCACCUGCUAUGAUGGGUUGAAUGAUUUUUUCUUCUUCUUCUUCUUUUUCUUUUUCUUUUUGGUUCUUUAGAUCUAGUUGCACAUUCCAAAGAAAUAAAACCUCAGGCAUGCAUGCAAUGCAAGCUCUUUUCCCAUGUUUUCCUCUGUUUUCCUCCUAUUUUCCCAUGCAAACUCUUUUCUUAUAUGGAAGUGAUUAAAGUGUGAUUCAUUGAAUAUUUGCGGGGUUUUGUUCAGACCUAACAAAGUUCUAAGUGAGCACAUCAAAUUUCUUUUACCCAAUCAAAUUCAACUAGGUUUAUUCUACGACCUUAUGCUCGAUCAUUUUCCACAAGCAACCGUCCACGUACCAAGUAUUUAUUUUAUAUCAACGAGUACGAUGGUCCAUGUAAGUAUUCUAAUAAUUCACUCCAGUUGCAGGCCCCAAUAAUAUAGAAGGGCCAAUGGUCUUUCAUUUGAUGAAAGCUGCUAUCUACUGAUAACAAAGUUCAAUGAAGACGUAGGAAGAAACUUUGAGAAGAAGCUUGCAAUUUCUUUUAUUGAUUUUCUCUCUUUUUCGAUCUACUUCACAAUGAACAGUAUCUAAUAUUUAUAUGACAGAAGCACUUAGCUUCUCAGCUACGACUUAACAAACACGUGAACCCACGUGAACUUCUAACUAACUAAACGCAUUAUAUACAUGUCUUUUGCCAAUCAUCCCCCCUCAAUCGCAGUGGUGGCUGGACCAACACUAAGAUUGUGACAGUGUUUCAAAAACAAUGGACUAUGCAGGCCCUUUGUGAAAAUGUCGGCAACUUGUUCUUCAGUAUUGACAUAUCGAACCACCAAAUCAUGACGCUGAACCCGUUCUCUGAUAAAGUGAAAAUCAAGUUCUAAAUGCUUUAUGCGAGAGUUUAAAACUGGAUUACUACUUAAGGCCAAUGCUGAUAAAUUGUCACUAUGUAAGACUGGAGCUUCAGGAACAAUAAUAUGUAAGUCUUGAAGAACAUAUCUGAUCCAAGAGAUAUCAGCAGCACAGUUGGCAAGAGCUCGAUACUCUGCCUCUGUAGAACUACGAGAGACAGAAGAUUGCUUACGAGAGGACCAAGAGAUAGGAUUCUGUCCAAGAAAUACAACGUACCCUGUAGUAGAGCGACGAGUAUUGGGAUCCCCAGCCCAAUCUGCGUCACUAUAGCCAACCAAAACAGAAGAACCAGAUGUAAAUGUCAAACCAUAAGAUAAAGUGCAUUGCACAUAUCUCAGUAUACGCUUAACUAAAGUCAUAUGAAUAUCAGUAGGAGCAGUCAUAAACUGGCAUACGGUGUUCACAGCAUAUGCCAGAUCUGGGCGUGUGAAUGUGAGGUAUUGAAGAGCUCCAACCAAGCUGCGAAACAUUGUAGGAUCAGGAAGUAAUGUACCAUCAGUUGUCAGAACAUGACAAUGAGGUUUACAAGGUGUAAUUGAUGGUUUACAAGUUUCCAUGCCAGCUCUCCUAAGUAAAUCACGAGCAUAUUUAGCUUGGUUGACAAACAAAUCACCAUUGGACUGAUAAGAAACCUCCAAGCCCAAGAAAUAAGUAAGCUGGCCAAUAUCUUUCAUAUCAAACACUUGUCCCAAAUCAUCAAUCACAGAUUGCGCUAGGGUAGAACUUGACCCCGUGAUGAUAAUGUCAUCCACAUACAGCAAAAGAAUAACCACAUUAAGACCAUCAUGCUUCACAAAGAGACUAGGAUCGGAGUGUGAAGAAACAAAGCCCAAAGCUGGAAGAUAUCCAGUGAACUUGGCAUUCCAAGCACGUGGUGCCUGUUUAAGACCGUAAAGAGACUUUCGUAGCCGACAUACAUAAUCUGGAUAAUGAUCAUCAAUGAAUCCCAAAGGCUGUUUCAUGUACACUUCCUCCUGUAGGUCACCAUGAAGAAAGGCGUUUUUAACGUCCAAUUGGCGCAAACACCAUCUAUGAGAUGCAACCAAACUUAAAAUCAAUCGAACUGUGGUAUGACGAACUACAAGACUAAAGGUUUCGUCAAAAUCUAUACCUUGUUCUUGACUAAAACCUUGUGCAACUAAACGAGCUUUAUAUCGAGCAAUACGUCCAUCAGCAUGUCUUUUAAUUUUGUAAAUCCAACGACAACCAACAAUAUUCUUAUCAGAGGGUGAAGGAACUAAAUUCCAUGUACCUUGAGUUUGUAAUGCUUUAAUUUCCUCUGUCAUAGCCUGCUGCCACUCAGACUUUGUACUAGCUUCUCGAAAAGUAUGAGGCUUAUCAAGAGCAGUAAUUGUAGAUAAACAAGUGGAAAAACAUUGAAAAUCACCAAAAUCUUUCUUCUUGCUAAUACCACUUUUAAGACGAGUUUGCAUAGAAUGACCAUGCUGUGGAAUGGAAAUAUGAGAAGAAGAACUAGAGGCAUCUGUGACAGAGAGAGGAAGCAAAACCUGUAAUUGAGCAGGAUCCAAAAUAGGUUGCAUAGUCUGAGCAGAACCUAAGACCUCUUGAGCCUCAUAUGUAGAUACUGAAGAAGAUGAAUUCUCAUUUGAACAUGGGAGAGGAGAGUGAUCAGACUCUGUGGUAGUAACAUAUCUAUAAGGCAAUGAAACUGCUAUAGCUGAGGGAGACAAUUGUGUCAUGACAGAAGAAGAUUAGGUUGAGGAUACUGAAUAAUUCUUCAUUGGAAACUGAGUUUCAUCAUAAAUCACAUGUCUUGAAAUAACCACUUUAUGAGUGUCAGGAUGAAAACAAAUAACACCCUUAUAACCAAGAGAAUAUCCAAGGAACACAUGCUCUGCUGAUCGUGGCUCUAACUUGUGAGAAUUAUAGGGUCGAAGAAGUGGAUAUACUGCAGAUCCAAAAACCUUUAAUGAUUGAAGCUCAGGAUUAUGACCAAACAAUUUGAAGUAUGGAGAUGUCAUUUGAAGAAGCUGACAAGGCAUACGAUUUAUGAGAAAGGUAGCAUGAGCUGCAGCAUAGUACCAAAACUUGUCAUUCAAGGCAGCAGUAGCAAGUAAUGUAAUUGUGGUUUCAAUAAUUUGCCUAUUCUUCCUCUCAGCAACCCCAUUUUGCUGAGGGGUAUAAGGACAUGAAAUCUGAUAGAAGCCAAGAAAUCUUUAAAUGCUUUACUAUUAUACUCCCCACCACCAUCAGAUUGAAAAUAUUGCACAGAAGCUUGAAAGUUCUUAGUAAUAUACGCAUGAAAUUUCACAAGUGUGGGAAAAACCUCAGAUUUAUUGAUUAAUGGAAAAAUCCAGAGAAAUCGAGUACAGUCAUCGAUGAUUGACACAUAAUGUCUUUUCCCAUGUUUUCCUCUGUUUUCCUCCUAUUUUCCCAUGCAAACUCUUUUCUUAUAUGGAAGUGAUUAAAGUGUGAUUCAUUGAAUAUUUGCGGGGUUUUGUUCAGACCUAACAAAGUUCUAAGUGAGCACAUCAAAUUUCUUUUACACCAUCAAAUUCAACUAGGUUUAUUCUACAACCUUAUGCUCGAUCAUUUUCCACAAGCAACCGUCCACGUACCAAGUAUUUAUUUUAUAUCAACGAGUACGAUGGUCCAUUCUAAUAAUUCACUCCAGUUGCAGGCCCCAAUAAUUUAGAAGGGCCGAUGGUCUUUCAUUUGAUGAAAGCUGCUAUCUACCAACCCUGCAAUAUGAGCUAUGCAAUGGUGAUGGUGUUACAUGACGUCAGAAUGUCGUAGGGAAAAUAAAAAAUAAAAAGUCAAGGUUUCUUAUUAAUGUUAAUAAAGGCAUAGCAAAAAAUUUGUAGCUCCAAUUGUUCAAAGCAAUUACCCAUGCACUUGAGAUUCUGUGUUUGAAUCUCCAAUUUUCUCUAAUAUUGUUUGUAUAAAAAUAAAAACUUUUGAAAAGACAUUAAUAUUGUAUUCUAUAUUCUAUAAAGUGUUGGACAUGUUUUAUAUUGUUGACAACCCCCUAAUACUUUGGUGGUGCCUAGUUAUAUUCAAUUCGUAUUUAUUUAAUUUGCCACUUACAUUCUUGCCUUAAUACAUCUAGGCUUAUUUUUAUACUAAUUUCUCUAACAUAACUUUUGCACAUUCUUUUAGUCUCUAAUAUAUAUAUUCUAAUAAAUGAUCUUACCCACUUGAGUUAUAAAUCUUUUUUUUUUAAUCAUGAAAAAUCGACAUUUUGACAGUGAGUUGAAAAGCACUCCCCAAUUUUAAUGUCAACCACUUGAAAAAAAAAACAUAAAUUUAAUGACAACAAUUACAUUUAGCAAUGCAACCUAAAUACUCAAAACCUUUGCGCCCCUUUUGCAACGCAUAUAGCAGGGUGAGGAUAUUGCCAAAGGAACUGCGAUAGCCAAUUAAAAAAAAAAGUAAUGAAGGCUUAUAACUCUGGGUUAAGAGAUUGGUCGUGGAGAAUUUACAUAAUUGGAGAAUGUACCAUCCCACAUCGACCAACGGAGAGAUGGUGAUGUGCCUCAUAUGUACAUGCCCACCUCCAUCUAGCACGAGGCCUUUUAGGAGCUCACUGCAUUCAGAGUCAUUGGAACUCCGAAGUUAAGCAAGUUUAAACUAGAGCAAUCCCAGGAGUGGUAAUCCACUGGGAAGUUACUCGUGAGUUCCUAGAAACAAAACCGUGAGGGCAAGGGGCCGAAAGCAGACAAUAUCGUGCUAUGCCCACCUCUAUCUAGCACGAGGCCUUUUGGAAGCUCACUGGCUUCGGAGUCAUGGGAACUCUGAAGUUAAGCGAGUUUGGGCUAGACCAAUCCCAGGAUUGGUGACCCAUUGGGAAGUUGCUCGUGAGUUCCCAGAAACAAAAUCGUGAGUGCAGGGAGCCCAAAGCCUACAAUAACGUGCUAUGGCGAAGCCGAUUCGGGGUAUGACAGAGAAUAUUCAAAUAUUCAAAAUAUUUAUUUCUUUGGAGUGGAGAUUUCAGCUUGAAGACCAACAAUCAAUGAUCAUGAUUUUAAUCCAAGAAGGCAUAAAUUCAACGACAAAUUUUUGUCAACCCGGGGAGAAUGAUGCAGAUAAAAAGCCAUUAAAGUUUAUGGGGCAUUUGAAUCAAAAGCAUUAAUAAGUUCAAUGCAUGAACGUUUUGUUUUGGCUUCUAAUAAAUUCUAUGUAUUUGGAAUGGAAUAGCUAGAGUCGUAAUUAUUUGGAUGGGGCUUAAUGUAUUUGGAUUAAUAGGUUAAUUAAUUUAGGUGCUAGUUCAAUGUGUGCGGUGAGAGAUUAAGUCUUUAAAUACUUGUAUGCUCAUAUUUCUCAAAGGAGUGGUUGUUGAUAAUUGAAAUUGAAAACAAAGAGAAUGUUCUCUCAUCUUUGCUCAUAAUCUGGAUAUUCUUAGAAUUAACGGGUUUGAGUAUUUUAUUCUAUCUUUUAUGCCAAGUUUCGGGUAUUCUUAGACUAAACGGGGCUUGGUGGUUCGUGGUUCGUGUUUUCCAAUAUCCUUGCUCUUUCCAACAUCCUUGCUCGAGUGCCGCUGCACUAGUUGGUAUCAGAGCGGGAUUCAAUUGCAAAACUGAAAUCCUGUGGAGGAACUGCACCCUAGUUGUGUAGUUAGUCAAAUCUACAUCAGCUGUUAUUAGAAAUGGUUAGUGGUGAUCAUACAUUUGAUCAUUUAUUAGAUUUGGAUCUCCCUCCAGUAUUUGAUCAAUGUUCAGAUGGUUCUUGCGAGAUUUGUUGUGAUUAACAUUUUAUAGUGGAAUGCAUUGAAGAAGUCGUGGAAAAUUAUGUCAACCUUCAUAUUGCAAAUGUCGAUGAUUCCAUCGCUUUAUUCAACUCUCAUGAUACUUUCGAAGUUGUUGAAUAUAUUGAUUUCACGGGGGUUGAAAAUUUCAGUCAUCGUAGUGCAACCACUUUGGUUGAUACCAUAAUUCAUAAUAUCUGGGUUAAGAGAUUGGCAGUGGAGAAUUUACACAAAUGGAGAAUAUUCAAAUAUUCAAAAUAUUUAUUUCUUUGGAGUGGGAGAUUUCAGUUUGAAGACCAACAAUCAAUGAUCAUGAUUUUAAUACAAGAAGGCAUAAAUUCAAGGACAAAUUUUUGUCAACAUGGGGAGAAUGAUGCAAAUAAAGAGCCAUUAAAGUUUAUAGGGCAUCUGAAUCAAAAGCAUUAAUAAGUUCAAUGCAUGACCGUUUUGUUUUGGCUUCUAAUAAAUUCCAUGCAUUUGGAAUGGAAUAGCUAGAGUCAUAAUUUUUUGAAUGGGCUUAAUGUAUAUGGAUUAAUGGGUUAAUUAAUUUAGGUGUGUUUAUAUCGGAAAUAAACGGCCUAUGAUCACCGAACACGUGGACAGGAUUGAUAUUGAUCACAGAACCCCUUCGGCAUGCUUCCUACCGAAGCCAUCUAUCUUGGCCCUUUUUACCAUCGGACACGUGUCAUGCUCACAAUCCAUGUCCACAGUCCCACAUCGGAAAUAUGAGCACAGUGCACACCUCCCAAGGCCUAUUUAAGAAGACCCCUAUCCUCAAAAGGAGGAGAUCAGAACGAACGGUACGCUACCGAUUGAUCUAUCAGUUAACAUUACUAAAACUGUACUUACUAAAGCAUCGGAGAGCCUUCGGCCGGUACCACACCGGUACCCCAAGGAAUUACCGAACGUGUCCUUUUGCAGGUACUUACCCUUCUGAAGUAGAACAUCUUCCGAAGACAGUCACCUGCCGAAGGCAUAAUAUCACUAAGUUGGCGAAAUACGUGCCGAACCACUUUUUCGCAUCAACAGUUUGGCGCCGUCUGUGGGAAUCCAGAAAAAUCAUCAACCCACUAUCUCCAAAACACAUGGGGACCACUUCAGUACCCACGUUCUUAUCGGAAGAAGGGGUACCGUUCGGAAGGUAGACCGGAGCUAGCCCAGCGCUACCCCCAUCCACUCCCUUCGGAAACGCCCCCGCAACCCAAACAACCGCCGAAGCCGAGCUGUUAGUCCAAAUCGCGUCCCUACGGAAGGACAUAGCGAGACUUCAGGAACACAACAACCUUCUUUCGUCCAAAGUGGACGAAACCCAGCAGCUGCUCCACCAGCAGCACACGCAGAACAUCCAAGCAACUCACUCUUCCCAGAGCUUGCAGACCCCCCAUAGGAAGAAGAAACACGAGAAGGUAGCGAGGGCAACGCCCGCACCUUCCAAACAGUUGGUAGUUCCGGCACCCAGGGAUCAGCCGCACAUCCCCAAGAAAGUCUACUCCGAUUGCCGACAUCGGAUUAACGAUCGGGAGGCAGAGAGACAGAGGUCUCCGAUCAGGAUUAGCGCUCGACUAAGGGACUCACGGAUGAAAAUCCUAGGAAGCAAGUCGCCUAUUCGGAAGGUCAGAGGGCUGGACUCCGCAGAGGAGUCAGAAUCCGAAUAUAUCCCUUCCAGGACGCAAGCUUCCACCUACCGUUCGACAACGCCUUCACGGUACUCGGGGGUUAAUUCAUUAAGUCUAGAAAGACGAUCGGAAGAUUAUGGUUCCAAGGAAAUCUCUAGUCGAGACCCUGUUGUCCGACUCCUUUUUCAGAAAGUCCAAAAAAUGGAAAACGACAAAGCUCGCUCCCAAGAACCGGAAUGAGGAAGCUUCGGCCCGGACCAUUCACCAGGCGCAUCCGAGACUCUCGGUAGGAUAAGAAAGUGCAGCAACUGCGUAUACCGUUCUAUAUGGGAACGGAGGACCCCUUAACACACCUCCACUCAUUUCAGUCCGCCAUUGGAUGCAAGGGCCUGAGCGAUGAAAGGCAGUGCCUGCUAUUCCCGUCUUCCCUUACCGAAGCAGCCCUGAACUGGUUCUACCGGUUGGAGCCGGAAACGGUAAAUUCCUUCGACGAGCUGAAACAAAUUUUCCUCAAUCACUUCAUGAUCCAAACGGAUCGUCUUUACUCUGCCGAUGAUCUGUACACGAUUCGGCAAAGAGAGGAUGAACCGUUGAGAGAAUACGCGGUGCGCUUCAGUCACGAAUACUCAAGGUGUCCGAAAACAGACGAUAGGGCAACCUACGGCGCCUUCAAGAGUGGCCUUCGGUCCUCGCAUUUCCGAUACCUAGUACACAGCAGCAACUGGCGCACGUACGAUGAACUGAUGCAGGCAGCAAUCCAUGCCAAAGCCGAAUACUUCAACUCGAAACCCGCGGUUUCGGCACGGCGAGGAGAUGCCGAACCAAGUGCUUAUCCGGUAAAGGCGCCACCCUACGAGAGAGUCGACCCAUAUUUGGCAGGUCAUAAGAGGAAAGACGACCGUGCCGAUCGAAGAGAACACCCGAAGAAGGGAAAAGGGAGGUAUGGUCGCAACGACCACCGAGCGCCCCUGCCGAAUCGUGACCACGGCAAUGAAGUCUUCACCCUAUUGAACACUACCUACGAGGCCGUCCUAAUGAACGAACAAGAAAUAAUACCAAAGCCGAACCUGCGAAGAUCCAAUCGGCAAGACAACCGGGAUACCGGUAAAUUCUGCCGAUACCAUCAGCAUAACAGCCAUAAUACGGAAGACUGUAUAAGCCUAAGAAAAAUUGUCGAACGGUUGAUCAGAGAGGGGAAGCUAGAUCAGUAUAUCGCCCGGCAGCCACCGGCGCCGGUACCGAAUCCAAUUCGGCAGAUAAACAUGAUAAGCACUAUCAGCGGUGGCCCCACCAUCGCAGGAAUGAGCAACCGUUCAAUGAAGCAAUACGUGCGCGCCGCACAAUUUCCGCAGGUAUUCGGCAUAGAGGUGAAUCGGUAUCAUGAAAUACCGAAAGUUCAUUGGGAACCAAUCACAUUUUGCGAAGAGGAGGAAGAGGGCAUCCUCUAUCCCCACGACGACCCAAUGAUCAUUCGAGCAGAAAUUACCGACUACGAUGUAGGACGGGUACUGAUCGAUACCGGGAGCUCGGUGAACAUGAUUUUUGCCGAAGCUUUCCGAGAGAUGGGAAUAAAGGACAGCCAGGUCAACCGGCAGUUGACACCUUUGUUAAGUUUCUCUGGGGACCUGGUCCAACCGGUCGGUAGUGUAAAACUGCCAAUUACCUUCGGCACCGCGCCAAGGAAAACGACGGUAUACAAUCAGUUCCUCAUCAUUGACUGCCCGACAGCGUACAACGUCAUAGUUGGAUGAACGGCACUCACCAGGGUCAAGGCACAUCUUUUCCCCCACAUGCUAUUGAUGAAGUUCCCGACCCCCAACGGCAUAGGAGCUGUCAAGGGAAAUCAGCUAAGCGCGCGGACUUGCUACGCCACGGCCCUCAAGUCAACCUCUUUCAAAAUCCCCAACGAGACCAUGUCUGUACAGGGGAUACCGAACGGUACGGGACCCGUUGACGACCCAAGAGAUGAGCCCCCGACUCCUCACACACAACCCGCCGAGGAACUGGAGACGAUAACCCUGAGCGAAGAGCAGCCCGAUCGUUGGGUUAGAAUCAGCACCAGACUCACCCCUGCCCUCCGAACGCAGUUCAUAGACUUCUUGCGGCGCCAUUCGGAAGUAUUCGCAUGGUCCUACGAAGAAAUGCCCGGCAUCGCCCCAGGGGUCAUCAGCCAUAAACUCAGCAUCUCUCCCGCUUAUAAGCCUGUAAGACAGAAGCGCCGUUCGUACGAUACCGAGCGAUACGAAGCCAUGCGUAAGGAGGUUGACAAACUUCAAACCAUCGGCUUCAUCAGGGAGGCUACGUAUCCGGUAUGGCUGGCAAAUUCGGUGAUGGUCCGGAAGGCUACAUGCGGGUGGUGAAUGUGCCAAGACUAUACCGAUAUGAACAAGGCCUGCCCAAAGGACAGCUUUCUGUUGCCACGGAUAGACCAGCUCGUGGACGCCACCGCCGGCCACGAGCUGCUCAGUUUCAUGGACGCCUAUUCCGGAUACAACCAAAUUUUCGUGCACCCUUCCGACAGCGAACACACCGCCUUCAUAACGGACAGAGGGUUGUACUGUUACAAUGUCAUGCCGUUCGGCCUGAAGAACGCGGGGGCAACAUAUCAAAGGCUCGUCAACAGAAUUUUCGCCAAAUACAUCGGCAGCAUCAUGGAGGUUUACGUUGACGACAUGUUAGUAAAAAGUAGAACUGCCGAAGAACACCUGCACAAUUUUUCAAUCAUGUUCGACACACUGAAAGACUACCGGAUGAGGCUGAACCCGAUGAAAUGCGCCUUCGGUGUAUCUUCCGGGAAAUUCCUCGGAUUCAUGAUUAGUCACAAGGGUAUCGAAGCGAAUCCCGAAAAAAUAAAGGCAAUCAUCGAUAUGAAAGGUCGAAGACGACGAAGGACAUUCAAAGCCUUACCGGACGCGUGGCGGCCUUAACUCGCUUCAUAUCCAAGGCUACCGACAAAUGUGUACCGUUCUUUAAAGCCUUGAAAGGGGAUAAACAGAAUAUCAUAUGGACUGCCGAGUGUGAUAAAGCGUUUCAAGACUUAAAGGACUACAUGGGCAAAGCACCCCUUUUAUCAAAACCACUACCUGGGGAGAUUCUCUCCCUAUACCUUUCGGUAUCUAGCACUGCCGUCAGUUCGGUAUUGAUUCGAAAACCAGAGAAAGCAGAGUUACCGAUUUUCUAUGUCAGUAAGGCACUCCAGAGUGCUGAACUUCGGUAUCCCCCAUUAGAGCAGCUUACACUAGCCCUUGUGGUCUCGGCACGAAGACUUCGGCCAUACUUUCAAGCACACAGAAUCAAAGUUCUGACUAACCAACCGCUCCAGCAAGUGCUCCAAAAACCAGAGACUUCUAGCCGAUUGAUCAAGUGGGCGAUCGAACUCGGAGAGUUCGAUAUACAAUUCAUGCCAAGGCCCGCCGAAAAGGGUCAAGCCAUUGCCGAUUUCAUCUCCGAGCUCACCCCAUCAACAGCACAGGAGAUACCCGAGACCGGGUUGCUAGAGGAACUUGACACCGAGCGCUUUGGUGCCUCAACUCCCGUAUGGAGUCUGCACGUUGAUGGUUCGGCAAACCAACAAGGAUGCGGAGCGGGCUUGGUACUGACAACACCGGACGGACUCAAGAUCGAGUACGCCCUCCGAUUCGACUUCCGAACCUCCAACAAUGAAGCGGAAUAUGAAGCUCUCCUGGCCGGCCUUCGGCUAGCCAAUAGCAUGAAUGCAAAACAAAUCAGAAUUCAUAGCGACCCCCAGCUCAUUGUGAACCAGGUAACGGCGGACUUCGCUGCCAAAGACGCCUCCAUGUAUGCCUACCUUUCGACUACCCAUCAACUGCUCUGAAGCUUUCGAGCCUACGAGAUCAAGCAGAUCCCCAUAAGCGAAAACAGCCAUGCCGAUGCAUUGGCACAUCUGGCUUCGGCAAUUAACGACAAAAUCGGAAGAAAUGUGCCAGUAGAGAUUCUUGCCCAACCGAGCACGGUAGCCUCCGAAACAUGUACCGUACGGUACGAAGAUACAUGGAUGUCUCCUAUCUACUCGUACCUGACCAACGGCACCCUUCCAGAAGACAAGGCCCAGGCCCGAAAGCUUAGGCACCGAUCAGCAAAGUACACCGUCAUCAACGAUGUCCUUUACAAACGUGGCUACACAACUCCAUAUCUCAAAUGCCUUACGGCAGAACAGGGGGACUACGUCCUUCGGGAGAUCCAUAAUGGUGUGUGCGGCGACCAUUCUGGGUCCCGGUCACUCGCCCACAAAGCCUUUCGGCAAGGAUACUUUUGGCCGACCAUGCACCAGGACGCUAAUUCGCUAGUGAAAAAGUGUGAUAAAUGCCAGCGCUUCGGUAACAUACAGCAUAUCCCUGCCGAACCCCUGACACCGAUCGUGAGUCCUUGGCCUUUCGCACAAUGGGGACUAGACCUGAUCGGUCCGAUGCCACAAGGUAAAGGCCAGGUAAAAUAUGCAGUGGUUGCCGUCGACUACUUCACCAAAUGGGUAGAAGCCAAACCUUUAGCAACCAUAACGGCAGCAAAGAUGGAGGAUUUUGUCUGGACUCACAUUUCGUCUGGAUUUCGGUAUCCCAUAUGCUAUCAUUAUCGAUAACGACAGGCAGUUCGAUUCGGAACUCUUCAGGCAAUUCUGCACCGGCCUGAAAAUCAACUUGUUUUUCGCAUCACCAGCUCAUCCCCAAUCGAACGGUCGGGUCGAAGCAAUAAACAAAAUCAUCAUGAAACUACUGAAACGGCAGCUGGACAAAGCCAAAGGAGCUUGGUUGGAGAAGCUUCCUGAAGCACUAUGGGCCAUUCGGACAUCUUACCGAACGUCCACUGGAGAAAUCCCUUUUUCCCUGACUUUCGGUUCGGAGGCUGUGGUGCCUGUGGAAAUUGGCGAACCUUCCUACCGAACGAAAACCUUCGCACCAAAGCCGAAUGAAGAAGCACUUUCUCUAAGCCUUGAUCUUCUUAAAGAGCACCGGGCACAUGCCAACCUUCGGAAUGAAGCCUACAAGCAACGUGUCUCUCGGUACUACGACUCUAGUGUCAGGCACCGCUCCUUCCGAAUCGGAGACUGGGUCAUGCGCAAGGUAUCCCUAGCAACCAAGGAUGCCACGGAAGGAACCCUCGGACCUUAAUGGGAAGGACCCUAUGAGAUCAUCGGGAACCUACCGACUGAGAGACUCCAACGGCAAGACCCUCGGUCAUCCUUGGAACGUGGAACAUCUCAAAUACUACUACAAGUGACCUAGCCUACGGCAGGCCCGAACUGUAACCGCUCAGAAUGUAUUUGUCCUUCAACUGAAAAUAAUAAAAGUCUUCAGCACUAUUACUUCAGAACCUCUUUUUAAUUAGUCUACUAGCCCACGACUGCCAAUAAUGUCGAGUUAACGUUCUACGGCAUCUUUAUUAGCCUACGGCAAUAAAUGACUUUCGGCGACAAUACGUUCGACAAUUUAAACACAUGUUCAGAUUGUUCAAACAACAGUAGAUAAAAACAUGCAUUUGAAUUAGAGAUGCCCUCGGCAUCAAUGUGUUCGGUACACAAAAUAAAAAUAGAAAAAAACUAAUUCUACUAUUAUAAAUAAACGGCAAGGAGCCUCAAGUUUCAUCGGCGGCGACAGCCUCGGCAGAUCCGGAGCCCUCGGCGGCAUCUUCCCCUCGUAUUCUUCAAUCAUGUCCUCCGUCAGCCCUUCCGGUAGAGGAGUAGGAUCAGCGAUGAAGUUCAGAUUCAGCUUCUUCCCGAGGUUGUACCGUUUGAACCGGUACAACAGGUCCGCCAUCUCCGAGCCCACUUCCUUAUCCAGGAGAACAGUGAACUCUUCAGACGAGCGGUACCCCCGGAUAGUUGACCGAAUGGCAGCCUCAAUCUCCGCAGCCUUGGCCCGCUCCGACUCCUCCAAGGCCACCUGCACCGCCUCUUUGGCAGCCUCGGCAUCCCUCGCUGUCGCCAGCGCUGCCUCCAGGAGACCCUUCAUCUCCUCCACCUUCGCCUCCGAAGCGAGACCCUUUUCAGCAGAUGGGCGUGGUCCUGGAGCGCUUUGCCAGCCUCGGCAACCUUGGCCCUGCCGUCCUCGUACGCCUUCUUGGCACGCUCGGCAGCAGCAAUGGCCCGCUUGACGCAGAGCCACAUGUCCAUGGACGCCUACACAAAACAAACAAAGUUAGAAGCAUGCCCCACUUACCAAAAAAAAAAGGACGAAGGAAGAAAGAAAAUCUUAUCGAGGCUUGAAGCCGGAAGGCGCGUCCGGCCUCCUCCCGAAGAAGCUUCUUCGGUAGUUCGUCGAUCUCCAGCAGCUCCAUCUGAGAACCGAGGAUCAUAUGGUUGACGAACUGGACCGUCUUCGCGGGGCAGGCGAUGGUGACGGCUUCGGAAGGACCGUCCACGUCCUCCACCGCAAGGAAAGCCCUUGGGACCUCCGAUUGGCGAGGGCGUUUGGGGACUGGCUCGGCUUCCAGAUCGACUGUCUCCGGCCGCUUGCCGGCAGCCUUGGAAGCUGCGGCCUCGGUAUCCCGAUGCCUCGGUGCAGAGACCUCACCGGCAGUGCGCCCCAGAACAGGCUCGGUGCCCAGCUGUCGCAGGCGCUCCGCGAGGGUCUGAUCCUCCGGAUCCACCACCGCCUGCCGGACGGAAGCUGCCUCGGGCUGCUUUUUCUUUUUCUUGCCCUCCAGGCCCAUCAUUAGGCGCCUCCUGGAGGACUCGUUCAUCUUCUUCGCCUCGGCAGCCUUCUUGCGUCCGUCACUGGUCAAAAGUGUUUGGUCAGUUGGCAAACAAAAGCAACACACAAAAACAAAAAAAAAAAACAAAAAGAGAGAAGGAAAGAUAUACUUACUCUCGGCAGGGUGGACGAGGCCGGCUCUGACAAGGUUGUCGGUGGAGAAGAAGCGUGGGUAAACUCGCUCGGCAGCAGGUACUCUCAGCCUCACUCUGUCGAGCUGCCGGAUCUCACUCUGCUUGGGGCUCGGCUGUUUGAGUUUACCUGUCGGAAGAAGGAAAAUUAGUAAAAUAAAGCAAGAAAAAAGAAGAGAGAAGAGAAGCCAGCCUAUCAAUCGGUAUUUCGGAAACCUACCGGCAAUCUGAAAUGUCGUGGGGACCGGGAAGCGAGGAGGUGUUCCCGAUGGCGAUUCCCAAUCGCCGGAGAGUAGCACCCGCCGAUUCCUCCACGACUUUUGAGAAGUCGGCACCGAGCUGAUGAAGUGCCCCUGCUCGGAAGUCUUCAGGCAGUUCGCCUGAACCCAGCCGCCGUGAUCGGCGCUCUUGGACUUAGUAAUGCUGUAUAAGUACAAGAACUGCUCGUAGGAAGGCUCCCCCUCCUCGGCAAUCCCGAACGCAGCAAUUACCCCGAUCAAGGCCACCCAGAAGUUGGGGUUGUACUGGCCGGGAGCGUACCCGAUCUGGGCAAGGAACUUCUGCACGGCAGGUUUCAACGGCAACCGAACCCCUUGUAGAAGAACGUCGGUGAAGAAGGUCACUUCACCGUUCACUGGGUCGCUGAGGGACUCGACAGGGCUCGGUAUCCUCAUCUUCACCGAGUCCGGAAUGAGGUACUCGGCCCUAAUCCUCUCCAGCUCUCGUUCGGUGAUCUUGUUGGGCUCCAAUUAGUCGACCCCGAACAGAGUCUUCCUAGGCACACCCACCGGUAUCCUAGGCUGCUCUCGAUGGACGAUCGUCACCCUCGGCCGGGAGGGACCGGCAAUGCCCUCACCACGACCGGAGGUGGAGGCCUCAGGCUGAUGCUUAAACGGGCCGACGCGGGUACCGUCCUUGUACACCACGGUCAAGGGUAGCGGUUGCCCCGUCAUAAGCCCCUUGCCGAUGCCAUGGGUGGGAAUGGAGUUCACCUCCUCACCGAAUAACUCAACAUCGGUGUCUUCUCCACCCUCAGCGUCGAGGCUCACAGCCCCGCUGGACGUAUCCCAGCCCGAUGACAACUCCCCAUCGAACGCGUUGGGCUCACUUCCGAACGGCGACUCGCUAUCAGACAUCUACAAAACAAAGAAAGGGAAGCUAAGGCCCGUGCCACAAACUACUCUACCGAUGCCUACAUCGCUACCUAUGGCCACUAGACUACCGAAGAAAAAUUCUAUUUUACGUUCGGCUAGCCUACGCCAUGAAAAGACGUACAAUUAAAUAAAUUGAGAGUAUUUUGAGGGGUACCGAACGGUAUCUUACCUUGAGUAGUGUGGGAUGAGUUGAUCACCGAUCAGAGACUUCGAAAAUUGCCCUGUAUGCCGAGAACCGCUGUAAAAAUCGCCUUGAUUGCCGUUCACUCUCUUCGGAAAUCGCCCGCACAGAGCUCUCGCGUCAACUCACAAUUGCAAAGUGAGCCUUACAUCCGGAGCAACCUCUAUUUAUAGGGAGAAAGCUGUAACGGUACACCUCGGAAGACUAAACGGCUCUUUAAUGCGUCGUCAGACGUGCUGUUGCUGGCCACGUGUCACCCGACGAAUGGCGCCGCUGACUGCACGCCAGGCACGGAAGACGAAGCGUCUCUCUGCCCUUUUGCUCUCAGCAUCGACGACCCCUCAAGUCCCAGGUCAAUCUCCCCCGAACGAUCCUACCGAACGGCAGGUCAACCUCCGAACCGCUAUAGAGAACUAAAUUCCCUUCCGAAGGACCUUCGGAAGAGAACUUGGGGGACUACUGUUUAUACCGGAAAUAAACGGCCUAUGACCACCGAACAAGUGGACAGGAUCGAUAUUGAUCACAGAACCCCUUCGGCAUGCUUCCUACCGAAGCCAUCUAUCUUGGCCCUUUUUACCAUCGGACACGUGUCAUGCUCACAAUCCAUGUCCACAGUCCCACAUCGGAAAUAUGAGCACAGUGCACACCUCCCAAGGCCUAUUUAAGAAGAUCCCUAUCCCCAAAAGGAGGAGAUCAGAACGAACGGUACGCUACCGAUUGAUCUGUCAGUUAACAUUACUAAAACCGUACUUACUAAAACAUCGGAGAGCCUUCGGCCGGUACCACACCGGUACCCCAAGGAAUUACCGAACGUGUCCUUUUGCAGGUACUUACCCUUCCGAAGUAGAACAUCUUCCGAAGACAGUCACUUGCCGAAGGCAUAAUAUCACUAAGUUGGCGAAAUACGUGCCGAACCACUUUUUCGCAUCAACAAGGUGCUAGUUCAAUGUAUGCAAUGAGAGAUUAAGUCUUUAAAUACUUGUAUGCUCAUAAUUCUCAAAGGAGUGGUUGUUGAUAAUUGAAAUUGAAAACAAAGAGAGUGUUCUCUCAUCUUUGCUCAUAAUCUGGGUAUUCUUAUAAUUAACGGGUUUGAAUUUUUCAUUCUAUCUUUUAUGCCAAGUUUCGGGUAAUCUUAGACUAAACGGGGCUUGGUGGGUCGUGGUUCGUGGUUCGUGUUUUCCAACAUCCUUGCUCGAAUGUUGCUGCAUCAAAGGCAGACCAAUAAAAAAAAGAGUAGCAAAGGCUUAUAACUCUCGUAAAACAAGAGUGACGUGGACAUAAUAUGUUACGUCGUACUGAAGAUUUUUGGGUUUCUUUAAUUGGUUAAGUUUAUAUACAUUCAUUUGAAGAUUCUUUAUUUGGGUUUCUUUCAAGAUGAAAACCAUAUCCACAACCAUAACCACAACUUGCCAGGGGCGGAUCCACAGAGGAGCAAGGGUGGUCAAUUGACCCCUACAACCUCUGAAAUCUGCCAUUAGAGGAGCAAAAAUUGACCCUCGCAAGAUGUUCGAUGAAAUGCCCCAAAGGGGCAACUUGUCUGUCCAUGCGCUCCAGCGCUGCUUGCGCGCAGCGCGCGAGCCUUUUUUUUUUUUUUUUUUUGUUUCUCUCGACUUCAAAGGUCGGGUGAGGUUGUUGAGUUCCAACUCGUCUCCCAUCUUGAUUGGAAGUGUAGCUUGCUUACUUUUAUCUUGACGGAGAUAACGAAGUGUGUUCUCUAGUUUAGGGUCAUAUGGUAUAAGCUCGUGACUCUGCGAACGACGACCCAGCAUAUACCUGAAAUUGAAAACAAAACUCAAUUAGAUUGACAAUCCCCGGCAACGGCGCCAAAAACUUGUUGGUAAUUUUUAACAACAAUAUUAAAACCUUGAAGUGCACAAAUCAAAUGAUAGUAUAGUAACCAAGCAAGGGUCGAUCCCACAGAGAUUGUGAUCUAAAGAGAUGUUUAUCAAUGUCACACAAUGAGAACUAAAACACAAUUAAACACGAAAACAAAAUAAAGAUUGAAACCACAAGGACUUCCACACACACGCCAACACCAAGGGGGGUUUUGAUUUGAUUUUGUGAAUAAAACAAAACAAGGAAAAGAAAAGAAAACAGAAUUUAAAUUAGAGUUUAAGAGAAAUUGGUUUAAAAUCAAUCAAGAACAAUAGCUAGGACUUACUAUCCACCUCCAAACAAUCAAUCAAUCAAUCAAUCCAUAAACAACAAUAGAUAAUCAAUUUCUAGCAAGCACAUGAUGAUGACACUCACAACAAGAUCAUGGCAUUUGACUCGAGUUGUGUGAUUCCCUCUGAAGUGUAUGGCAUUUACAUCAAUACGUGUAUUCUUAAUUAAAAUCUAGUAUGAUAUUUACUCAAAUUAACAAUCAAGAAUCCAUUAAGAUCAAAGAGAAUAUGUGUGUCACAAAAACCCUAAAACAUGGCAUUUGUUAUUAGGAAUUCAAGAAUCAAUUUCUCAUAACUAGUUCUGAACUCAAUUAUUCGUUGCAAACAAGAACACAUUCAAUAUGGCAAUUGACCUAUGUUCUACAACAAUUUAAUUCCAAACAUGCUUCCAAGUUAGCUACUCAAAGAAACAAAAUAUCAGAAUUCACAUAACAUAGAGAAACCAAAAUCAUCACGCUUGUAGAAACUGAAAAUCCAUUCAAACUUGUUUAUAAAAUUGAAAUUAUGUUUAGGGCUUCAAGAUUAAGCCCUAACUAACAAGAAAUUAGUUACUCAUAUUCUUGGAUGAACUCAAAAAUAAAUACAUAAGAACUGAAAAUUAAAAGAAGGAAGGAAAAGAAAGAACUCGUUGGCAGCUUUCUCCUUUUGCGCUGUUGAUCUCUUUAGGACGUGAAUUCCCUGUAUGAGGGCCUUGGCUGGCUUUUAUAUCACUUAUAUCAGAGUUCUAAACCCUAAUAUUGACUGAAAAAGUCAUCCAAGAAGUCUUGGUAAAUAAGGAAUCCAAAUAGGGAAGUAAAGAUCACAAUUCCUAACUCUAUAGGGAAAUACAGCUCAGCCCAAUUGUUACACGAUUUGGGGAUCUUCGGCCUUGUAGAAAAAUCAUUAAAAAUAUAUUUUAGAAAGAUAAAUGUCUUAUCUUUCCAACCAUAUAUAGCACGUAACUUGAACAAUUCGGGAAGGCUUCCGUUUCUUCGUAUUCACGUAAUAUGUACGAAACUGUCCUGUCUGCACGUGGGCUAACUUUACUUGUAAUACUCUACCAAUUGGCUUGGUAUAAAAUUCUACAAAAUCACAGAUUGAACUUCAAGAUGUUAGCUUUCAUCUCCAAUUGGCCUUGCACUAAAAUUCCUCUGAAAAGUUAAUUUUCCCUUAAAAACCUUCUAAGAGCGCAGAAAAGCUGAAAAUCAGAAAAGUAAAGUCAUAAGCCCUUUUUAAAUCCAAUUAUCCUACAAAACCUAAGUAAAAAGAGUACAUAAAUGAGUAUAUUUAUGGACUUAUCAAAUUUCUGGCGUGUAAGGCACUUCCCAUACAUGGCGUUGGAAUUUCCGGCUUAUGGGAAGAUUAUGUGAUUAUUAGGUCUCACACGUGGCGUUAGAAUUUCCGGUGUGUGAGACACUUCCUAUAGGUGGCGUUGGAAUUUUCGGCAUAUGGGAAGAUUAUGUGAUUAUUAUGUCUCACACGUGGAGUUGGAAUUUUCGGCGUGUGAGACACUUCCCAUACGUGGUGUUGGAAUUUCCGGCGUAUGGGAAGAGAAUAAGGAGAGGAAAAAAUAAUUAUUUUACUAUAUCGGGGAAAGAUUGAUGCUUAAAAGAAUAAUGUCUUGUGUGUUGUGAUUUAAGGAAAAGGAAUAAUUCUAUAAUUUACUAUUUUAUUUUGCUGUAAUGGAUUGUAUGUUAUUGGAAUCGAGAUUCUUGUAGAAAGAACUACAUGUGGCUUGAUCCCUCAGUAAGGAUACGUAGGUAGCUUAGGGUCUCACCCAGGUGCAGCCGCGAAAUAACUAUAUAUAUAAAAGGUUUAACCGGUUUUGAAUGUGUGAAUGAAUUUUGAGGUGGUUGCGGGAUUUGAAUCCUAAUUAUUACUACUACUAGGUUCAGUUUUGAUUAUGAUGGAACGCCUGAAGCUCGACUCAAACUUGAGCGAGAUUAAAUGCUUGUUUAUUUCUCGAUUAACUUGAUUGGACUUUAUUAAAUAGAAUAUGUGGUUCUGAUAUGUCUGAGAUCCAUUUCGAAAUAAAUGACUGAUAUUAGGUUGAUUAUAUUGAGUAAUGGGCUUGAGGCCCCUAGAACCGAAAAUCGCGUGCCCUUAUUCCUUUUUGGGAAAGGAGGCUAUAGUUUUAGUGACUGGGCCCGACAUCGUGGUGAUGUCAAAUUUUCCACAGGAUAUGUUCUGGGUUCCGAGGAAUUCGAGGCAGGUCUUGUCAACUAAUCAAUCGUCACAUCCCAGGAUCGGCUCCGCUGUAGCACGAUAUUGUCUGUCCGCUUUGGGCCUCUCUCUCUACCUUCACAAUUUUAUUUCUGGGAACUCACAAGCAACUUUCUAGUAGGUCAUCAAUCUUGGAAUUACUCUAGCCCCAACUCACUUAAUUUCGGAGUUCCCAUGACUCCAAAACUAGUCAGUUCCCAAAAGGCCUCGUGUUAGAUAGAGGCGGGCAUGUACAUAUAAGACACAGCACCCCCUCUUCGUUAAUCAAUGUGGGAUGUUACACCUCCCUUCUAAUCUUGUACUAAAAAAAAACUUACACUGAGAAGAGCAAAGAUGAGUGGUAGAUGGAAACCCAUUAAGAUUGAAAUACUUAUGCAACAGGAAGGUGAUGAAUAUGAAGGAAAAAUAAAACUUAAUAUAUAUAAGAUCAAGUGAAAAACAAAAUUAAGUCAUCAAACACUGACAGAGAAAGUAAAACCACUUUAGUUGAUCAAAUCCAAAUUUUAUAUAAUCUGUAUUAAUGAGUGGAGGAGAGACUUGAAGAAAAAAAUGAUAAAAACUUUCAAUCUCUAACAAUUUCUACGUUUGUCCUUCAAAUUUGCUUUUUGGCAACUCUUUUUUCUUUUUGUGAAGUUGGGUCUCAACUUCCAAGGCCCAAAAUGCAAAAACUACCUCAAACUCAAAGCAUUCCCUGGGCCUAUACAAUCCUCAAGAAGAAGACAAGCCCAAUGUGAGGAAGAAGAAAAGAAAAAGGCAAGGAAUCUAUGAGUUGACCUGAUCAUUAUGCAAUUAUUCAGAGAGAAUUUAUGUCACAUCUACAGCCGGAGAAAGCAAUCUGCAACUGCAAGUGAGCUUUUCUAGUCAUUAGCCAAAGGCAAAACAAACUUGGUCCUUGCAUACAUAGCUUAGCAGGUGCGAAUUCCUUCACUUCUCUCUUUCUACUUUUUUUUCUUUUCAUUUUCAUAAUAUUUCUUCUAGAUUAAUGUAUUGUUCUAUAAAUUGAUAUAUAUGUUUCCACAUGUCCAUUUGCCUGAAGGUUUAAGUCGCUUGUGUUUCAUGGUAUGUUUUGAUCGAGGAGUAGGUUGACACACUGGUCAAAGUUGAGGGGGUUCUUUGUAUCUUAUACCCUAUCGAUUUUCUUAGGGGUGUCCUUUCGUGCCGUCACUAUGGUUUUGCUCAGCAUAGCACAUCAACAGGAAAAUGGAAGAAUGCAAUCAUGCUGGUCCAAAUGACACAAUUAACAUGCCAUACGUUCCAUUAGAAACUUCAUUGAGGGAGGAGUUAGAUAGCUUGCCUGCCUUGUCCUCUUCGUGUUGUAUCUACAGAGUUCCCAAUGACAUACGACGUCUGGAGGAAAAGGACUACACACCUCAAGUCAUCUCCAUAGGUCCACCUCAUCAUGGCAAGGAAGGUUUAGAAGCCAUGGAAGAGCUGAAAAGAGGUACCUACGAGAUUUUAUGUGUCGGACUAAGAUAAGCUUGAAAGACUAUAUCAAGAAAAUAAGGGACCAAGAAGCAAGACUGAGAAGUUGUUAUGCAGAACCCAUCAAAUUUAGCAUUGAUGAAUUUGUAAAAAUCAUUCUAGUGGAUGCUGCCUUCACUACUGAGUUCUUAUUGAGGUUCUAUCUGAAAGAAUCUGGACAUGAAGGAGACCGUUUGUUAAACAAUCCGUGGAUGUUCAGGUAUGUACAGCCUGACAUGUGGUUGCUUGAAAAUCAGCUCCCAUUCUUUGUUCUUGAGGAUCUUUAUCACACAUACAUAAUAACCGACUCUUUUAGGAAUUAUUACAGUACUCAUGAUCAUGAGAGGCUUUCAAUAAUUAAUAUUUCAAAGAAUUUCUUCACAGCUGGAAUAUUGAAUUUGGAGGGUAAAGGAGACAAAUGGAACAGAAUAUCAUCUUCUUCUAGUUCUAUUAAUGUGCAACACUUUGUUGAUCUUAUAAGAAUUUUCUAUCUACCAUUGGAAUCAGAAUUAAGAGAUGCAGGGGAGCUCAAAACCUUGAACAUACCUAGCAUCAAAGAGAUGCACCAGGCUGGAGUCAAAAUUAAGGUAGGAUCAAGCAAAAACUUAGUCGACAUACAAUUUGCAAGUGGAACUCUCAUAAUUCCUAAAAUAAUGAUAACUGGUGACAAACUGCGGACCCUGGGAAAUGUCCUUGCCUUUGAACAAAGCCAUUGCAUGGAAGACAACUACUUAAACGAUUAUGUUAGCAUCAUGGGUCGUUUUGCGAACACUCCAAAGGGUGUGGAGUUGCUUGUUGAGUUUGGAAUUUUUCAAACUGCGGGUACCACCAGCGUGGUGUCAUCUAUGAUUACCAAACUUGCCUCUGAGGCUCUUUUCUUUGUCGAUAGAUUCUGUUACGCGACUCUUUGUGAAGAGCGGAACAACUUCUGCAGAUCGUCCUGGAACAAAUGGAAGGCAAAUUUGAGACAAAAUUAUUUCAACACACCUUGGGCAUCUAUUUCUGUCAUUGCCGCUGUUGUUCUCCUCACACACACUCUCAGACAAACGGUGUGCUCUGUUAUCUCUGCUACUUAACCAUUAAAGGGUAAGUCCCUGCUUUGCCGCUUUCUCUUCUGACAAUAAUAUGUAGACUCAUCUCUGUUUUUAUUAUUUAUUUAUUCACUCACAUGGUUCUAGCAGGAACACUUUCGGGAAACUAGUAGUAUUUCAGGUCCUCAUCAAGUAAAGGGAUCCGAGGAAAGCCUGUGAACUCAAGUCCAGAUGAUGAAUGUAAUAUUUCUAUUGUUUGUCCAAAUUUUCACAGUGAAUGAAUUCAAACUGCAGGUUCUUCCUAUCCAGAUUGUUUCUGAUGAAAUAUUAUUUAUUUCUGUGCUAUAAAUUUUUUAGUAAUGAAAAAAGAGAGAAAAAAAAACUUCCAAUGUCCACCAAUCUCUGUAAAAAUUAAUUUGUUUUAUGAUUAAUUUCUCCAUGGUGGUGAUCAAAUCUUUAUUCUUUUUGUGGUUAAGUUGGAUCCCAAGGCCCAUAAACACAAAAACUAACUCAAAGCAUUCCUGGGCCUAGAAACCGCUUGGCAUCCUCAAGAAGAAGACAAGCCCAACAUGAUGUGGGAAGAGUCCAAGACUAAACGGCUCAAGUCGAAGGAAAAAGCAUAUAAAGAGAGUUUGAUAUUUUUCAUCAUCAAAUCCGUUAAGAAUUUUAUGUAUUUAUUAUUAGUAAAUUUAGGUUUUACCCAUAAAAAAAUUUUCAUUUUUGGAAAAAGCCAAAGCUUUUUGAAAAAAGACAGAAUAACCUCUUAACUUUCAAACCAAAGACAUGCAAAUGUAAAGGAUUUCUUAGGAAAUCAAAAAAUAAAUAAGGGCAAUUUUGUCCAUUUUUGCUUGUUUUAAAAAUUUUCUCUCUCCUUUGGGCUUUUCCAAAGUCUCCCUUUAUUAUUUUAUAUUUUUUUAGUACAAGCGAUAGGGAGGGGUUUCUCACACACACAACUAAUGUCAUGGGGGUUUGAACCUGAUACCUCUCUGGUCUACAAAUCAAAACCCUUUUUCACUCCACUAGACCCUGUUGGCUUUUUUUUUUCUUCUUAAGAGCAUUUUAAAUCUAGUAAGAAACAACCUAAUUUUUUCCGGAACAUUUUCAUGGAAUAAGCAUUGCACACUCCGCACAAAGGACACAGAAACUUCACCGAAACACAAAAGCAGAUUUUACUUAUAGUCGACAAACCCUUGUACAAAAUGUUGAUUUUUAGUUGUCGUGGGACCUGCAAUGGAUUAUUCAAACUUCCCCAGGACGCGCAUAGACAUGUCAAAGCAAAGGCAAGGAAGCUACAUGAGGAGUUGACCUGACUUCCAAACCAGAUUCACUAGUUCUUAUACUGAAAUCUAGCAGAAGAGCAAGCUAUCUGCAUUGAGCUUUUCUAGCUACUCAUCUACCAACUGCCAAAAAAAAAAAAAAAAACUUGGGUUUCAAUCCAUAGCAGGUAUGUUUUCAAUGCCCAAACUCCUUUCUCUGUCUUUCUUUAUUUUUCUAUGUUUGCUUGCACAUCCAAUUUCUUGAAGCUUUUUAAGUGUCUUGUGUUUCAUUUUAGUUGGAAAUUGGAAUUGAGCAAAAGGUUAUGUAAAUGUCGUAUAUAAUUUUCUUCUCUUGUAAUGGGAUUUUGGUUUGUCUAUGUUUUGACUGGAAGCAUAAUCUACUAUCUGAUAUCAUUACACAAAGAAUUUGUUUUAUUAGAAUCUCCAAUAAUGCAGAACACGAAAAAGAUUUUUUUUUUAUUUUUUAUUUUUUAUUUUUAUAAAUGUAAUAAUUCAUUCAAGACUUUCAAUUCUUUUCCUUUCGAACAAAUAAAAAAAAUGGUGUCUCUAUGUUAAUGUGAAUUAAACUUUCGUACUGAUUCACAUGAUUAGUAGGAAUUUUUCAAUCAAAACUGCAUUAGAAUCUUCCAAGAAUAAUUACAAGAAACAGAGUUGACCAGAAGAGUUUUGAAUGAAUUUGGUGCAUUCAAAUCAAAUUCUUAAGGCACUAGUGUGGUAUGUAAGAGUUACAAGGAUCAAAAGUCUUUGUGUGUUUGGUCUUAUAGUUGCAAUGUUUGUAUUAAUUUUCUCAACCAUCUUGAAAAUUUGUUUAUUGUUGUGUCAGUGACUAUCAUUUCAUUAUCAUCCAUUACGAUUGACAACAACAAACACAUCAGCGGAAAAUGGAAGGAAGCGAUCAAGCUCCACAUGAUAUUGAAAACCCCUGCAUUCCAUUAGUAACUUCAAUGGGCGAGGAAUUGGAUGGCUUGUCUCCCCUCUCCUCUCUGUGUUGCAUUUAUAGAGUUCCUGAACGACUACGGCGUGUGAGUGAAAAGGCCUACACACCUCAGGUAGUCUCUAUAGGCCCACUUCAUCAUGGCAAGGAAGGCCUAAAAGCCAUGGAAGAUCACAAAAAGAGGUACUUACAAGAUUAUAUACGUCGGACCAGGGUAAGCCUAGCGGAUUAUGUACAGAAAGUAAAAGACCAAGAAGCAAAACUGCGCAGUUGUUAUGCAGAAACCAUUCAGGUUAGCAGUGAUGAAUUUGUGAGAAUCAUUCUGGUGGAUGCCGCCUUCAUCAUUGAGGUCUUGUUGAGGUAUCGUUUCGAUGAAUUGCAGGAUGAAAAUGACUGCAUAUUUAACAAACCAUAUAUGUUGCAGGAUGUAUGGCCUGACAUGCGGUUGCUUGAAAAUCAGCUGCCCUUCUUCAUUCUUGAGGAACUUUUUGACCCCGACAAAAUCGAAGUCUCUUCUAACAAUAACAAUAUUGAAAGGCUUUCGAUACUCAACCUUUGCCACAAUUUCUUCAAAAAUCUAAUGCAUAUAGAGGGAACAGAUGGCAAUAUGGAGAAAUUAUGUGCUUCUAAAGUUGAACACUUUGUAGAUUUUUGUAGAAAUUUGCAUCUACCUCUACCAUUGAAACCACAUGCUAAAGGGCGACUUGAAACUCUAAACACACCCAGCAUCACAGAGUUACACAGAGCAGGAGUCAAGUUUAGGGUGGGAUCACCCAAAAACUUAUUCAACAUAAAAUUCGCUAAUGGGAUUCUAAAAAUUCCAAAAUUAGCAAUAAGUGAUGAGACAGAGCUUACAAUCAGAAACCUCCUCGCUUUUGAACAAUGCCAUUGCAUGGAGAAUUACAUAAACGAUUAUGUUGUCAUCAUGGAUCGCUUUGUGAACACCGCAAAGGAUGUGGAGUUGCUUGUUAAGCAUGGAAUCGUCGAAAAUAGUCUCGGUGACAGUAGUGAAGGGUCUACUCUGAUUAACAACCUUGCGGAUGGGGUCAUAGUGGACCCUAAUGACUUCUAUUUUGCUAUUCUUUGUGCAGACCUCAACAAGUACUGCAGAACGUCUUGGCACAAAUGGCAGGCGAACUUGAGACAAAACUAUUGCAACACACCUUGGGCAACUAUUUCAAUUGCUGCGGCUAUUUUUCUCCUCAUACUCACUUUUAUACAAACAGUGUGCUCUGUUAUCUCUGCUCUGCCUUCUAAGCGUUGAGAGUAAGUCUCCUCUUAGCCGUUUUCCCCUUGUCAUUUCCUUUUGGUCCUCCGCAUGACACGAGCUGGGUUUGUCACCAGCCUAGAGGUGCAAGAGAGCUGGAGAAAGAAAAAGUUAGUGUAUAUGUAGAAAAUAUAGCCUCUGUUAGUGAAAGUGAGCUGUGCAUGUAGAGUGAUGGAAGCAAUGUGGUUGUUUUAUUUGUUUCUCCAUGCUUGUUCGGUAUGAAACUGUUCAAAUUUUAUAACUUUAUUGUUAAUCCGAGAGCUGUUAUGUUGGGUACUCCAAUGUAACAAAUCAUUGAAAAUCUCAUGUCGGUAGAUACUAGUCUUUAAUCUAAGACAUCCUUUGUCAAUGGAGGUUUUGUGCAAAAACUAUUUUAUACACAUAUUUUAUACCCUAAGUGAAGCCCCUAUUUUAUACCCUAAGUGAAGCCCCUAUUUUAUACACAUGAAAAACAAUUUUUGAUCUUCAAAAAAAGCAAUGCAUAUUCGAAAUAUAACUGAAAAAAAGUGUAUUGUCUAUGAUUUUAUUUUUGUAUUUUAGGUGCAUACAAUUGGAUCUAAAAUUGCCACAUAACUAUCAUAAACUUAGAAGCCAUAUAAUUACGCUUACGAAAUAUGCUAGCGUGCGUCGCAUGUGGGCAUGUGUCACCCUAUUACCAUACUGUAUGUCCUGGACGGUAGAUGACUGGACCUUUGCCUCC
rnacentral:lncRNA from 1 species